rnacentral:lncRNA from 1 species
AUUGGAUAUGUGCCUUCUGCUUUGGGGAAGUUGCAAAGUCUUACUGCCCUUUUCUUGGGUGACAACAGGCUAGAAGCAAACGACAGUCAAGGGUGGGAAUUCAUCACUUCACUGGCAAACAGCUCCCAACUUCAGCUUCUUGUUCUCGGCAACAACUCUUUCAGCGGGCAACUGCCUAAUUCAGUCACAAACCUGUCAUCAACUCUGCAAGGUCUUUAUUUGGGAGACAAUAUGAUUUCUGGGAAUAUUCCAAUAAACAUCGGAAAUUUGGUUGGUCUUACAGUAUUUGAGAUGGGAAAUAAUACUUUUGUAUCUGGACAGAUUCCAGAGAGCAUUGGUCAGCUAAGAAACUUGGGUGUGUUAGGCCUUUACAACACUAGCUUGUCAGGCCUCAUACCUUCAUCACUAGAAAAUCUUACACAGUUGAAUCAUCUUUAUUUAUACUAUGGAAACUUAGAGGGGCCAAUUCCAUCAAACUUGGGGAACUUAAAGAAUGUGUUUGCCUUUGAUCUCUCAACAAAUCGACUCAAUGGUUCAAUUCCUAUAGAGGUUUUAAAACUUCCUCGACUUUCCUGGUACUUAGACUUAUCAUAUAAUUCAUUAUCCGGGCCACUUCCAACUGAGGUUGGUACCAUGGUGAAUCUUAACGAACUGAUUCUGUCUGGAAACAAGUUGUCAGGCACCAUACCAGCUAGUGUUGGGAACUGUAUAUCGUUGGUACGGCUGCUGCUCGAUAACAACUUAUUAGAAGGAAGCAUACCUCAAUCUCUGAAGAACUUAAAAGGUCUUGCAUUACUGAACCUAACAAUGAACAAGCUAUCUGGUAGUAUUCCUGAUGCCCUUGCUAGCAUUGGCAACCUGCAACAACUGUAUCUAGCACACAACAACUUGUCAGGUUCCAUCCCCAAAGUUCUACAGAAUUUGACAUUGUUGGCAAAACUGGAUUUGUCAUUCAAUGAUCUGCAAGGCGAAGUGCCAAAAGGGGGUCCUUUUGCAAAUGCAACUCACUUGUCAAUUGAUGGAAAUGAUGAGCUUUGUGGUGGAAACCCUCAACUUCACUUAGCUCCGUGCUUCACAGCUGCUGCGGGGAAGAACAGAAGGCGAAUGUCAAGGUCAGUUAUGGUCACCGUAGCGUCAAUCUGCGCACUUCUAUUCUUAGGUUUAGUAGUUUUUCUUAUCCAUUUGAUCCACAAGACGCUCAGACAAGGAAAGGAAAAUCAACUCAUUCCCACAGUAAUUGAUGAACAGCACGAAAGGGUUUCAUAUCAAGCAUUAGCAAAUGGGACUGACCAUUUUUCGGAGGUUAAUCUGCUCGGACAAGGAAGCUAUGGUGCAGUUUAUAAGUGCACUUUACAUGACAAGGGAAUUACCGCAGCUGUAAAGGUAUUCAACGUAUGGCAAUCUGGUUCUACUAGAAGUUUUGUGGCUGAAUGUGAGGCACUGCGAAGGGUGCGCCACCGAUGUCUCAUAAAGAUCAUCACCUGUUGCUUAAGCAUUGAUCACCAAGGCCAAGAAUUCAAGGCACUGGUUUUUGAGUUCAUGCCCAAUGGUAACCUAAAUGGUUGGCUGCAUCCAGCAUCCAAAAUACAGAGUCUGAGCAAUACGCUCAGCUUAGCUCAGAGACUGGACAUUGCGGUAGAUAUCAUGGAUGCUCUGGAUUAUCUUCACAAUCAGUGUCAACCGCCUAUUAUCCAUUGUGAUCUCAAACCAAGUAACAUCCUCCUUGCCGAAGAUAUGAGUGCUCGGGUUGGAGAUUUCGGCAUAUCAAAAAUCCUUCCUGACGACACUAGCAAAACUCUGCUGAAUUCAGUUAGCUUCACUGGACUAAGAGGUUCCAUCGGAUAUGUCGCUCCAGGUAACAGAAACUAACACUGAUAUUGCUAUGUUCAGUUUUUUAACUUCCAUUUUGCCAAGUCCAGUUAUCUCGGCAUGCACGUUCAUAAGUAGCUUGCCAUGAAUCCACUGACCAAAUAGUGUCUGAAAUCUGAAUUGACUGCAGAGUACGGCGAGGGUCGCGCUGUCUCAACUCUUGGAGAUGUUUACAGCCUCGGCAUACUGUUGCUUGAGAUGUUCACCGGGGUGAGCCCUACUGACGACAUGUUCAAAGACUCCUUGGACCUUCAUAAGUUCGCCGAGGCCGCUCUCCCGGACAGAGCCUUGGAGGUAGCCGACCCGGCAAUCUGGCUUCAUGAAGAAGCAAAGGGGAAAGACCCUGCCACGGUGAGAAGCAGAAGCGAGGUGUGCUUGGCUUCAGUGAUCGGGCUUGGCGUGUCCUGCUCAAAGCAGCUGCCAAGGGAGCGGACGGCGAUGCGGGAUGCUGCCGCUGAGAUGCGUCCGAUCAGAGAUGCCUUCCUGGUUCAAUGUGCAACAGAGACUUGGGCUGCAGUCGGCACCACCGGCCUUGGAAGCGCAGACAGUUGAAUGGUGGACGGAGCUACGGUCUCUUGACGCACCAAGGAGCACCGGACUAGCAACUCUGCAACUAACAGAGUGGAGAAAGCGCCCCUUAAUGAAAAGAAAAACAGCCGGUGCAAGGCUUUAUACAAAGAAUGUGACAGCCACUGCGUGUAUCCGAGGCUUUAUACAACUCUGCCUUAUCUAAUCUACCGAGGAUUGUUGCGUAUGGAUGCGUAUAGAUUAUGCACGUACUCCCUCCUCCGUCCUAAAAUAAACGCACAUCUCGUUUCUCGAGGAGUCAAACUUUUAAGUUUGACUAAAAUUUAUAAAAAAAAUGUACUACUAUUUAUAAUGUAUAAUAAAUGUCAUUAUUGAGCAUUGGGUAUACUUUCCUAAUACAUUUAUUUGAAGAUGCAAAUAUUGUUACUAUUUUCUAUAUUCUUAGUCAAACUUAAAAACCCGUCAUGGGGAUUAGUCACGAUAUAAGUAGGGACUAGCAAGCAUCAAAACCCCAUUCACUGCCCAUCUAUCGCUCAAAUAAAAGAAACCAUUGCAUAUGGUGGCGAUGCGCUCGCGAGCCUUUCUCCAACCUUUCUGCUCUCGCGAGCCUUGAACUCGCAUGGAACAGUUUUAGUGAGAGUGUGCCUCCAACUUUGGGAAGAUUGUGAAGCCUUAUUUACCUGUCCUUAAGUGGCAAUAAGUUAUGAUCGAAUGAUAAGGACGGAUUGGAAUUCAUCACCAUGCUAGCAAACUGCAGCCAGCUUCAGCAACUGGCUUUUGAUAAUAAUUCAUUCAUCGGUGAACUUCCUAGCUCAAUAGCAAAUCUAUCGACAACUCACCAAUUACUCUAUAUAGGAAACAAUUGGAUUUCGGGAUUUAUUCCAUCCAGCAUAGGUAAUUUGCUUGGUCUAGAACUGCUUACGUUGGCAAAUACUUUCAUAUCCGGAGUGAUUCCAGAUAGCAUUGGUCGCAUAGAAGACAUGUCCGUGUUAGGCAUUUACUACGCUAGCUUGUCAGGCAUCAUACCUUCAUCACAAGAAACCUUACACAGUUGAAAACUCUAUGCAUACGAUAGCAACUUGGAGGGUCCAAUUCCAGCAAGCUUGGGGAACUUAAAGAAUCUUUUUGUUCUUGAUCUUUCAACGAAAGUGUGUUACCCGUUAAGAUUUCAUGUCGAAGCAGAGCAUAAACCUCUCUCAAGACUGCAAAGCUAUCAUAGAGCAGAUCAGUCUGAGGGCCGGGCUAUGUACCCUUUCGGUAAGAUUACCCCAAACUAGAGUCUGUAAUUAAUUAGCCAAGACUAGAAUUACGUAGUUCUUGUGGUUGUACUGUUUUCCUGGGUGGCCGCUCCAUGUUCCAAUUAAGCAUGAUGAUCUUGUAUUAAUAAAAGGUAUAUCAUAAAUAAAACAAGUUUAAUCAUUGAGUUCAUUAAAACCAUCACAACCCAAGGUAUUGCAACUAAGCAUAUCUACCAAAAAAAGGGUAAAACCCAGGUUGACAAAGAAUGAUCAUAAAAACUAGGUAAACCUUAAUAGGGCCCAUCAAUUUUAAGUGCACAGCAAUGCAAAAGUGAUUAAAUAUAGUUAUUGGGACAAAAGCACAUGGACACACUUGCCUUUCUCCAAAGAAUAGCUGCUCUGAUUAUCUUCAACUCUUGUUCCUCAAAGCUCUCGAACAACGUUCCUUAUACUCACAUCAAUCAUUGGCACAAGCAUACAAAGCAAACAACAAUCACAACUAAGAACAAUACAUCAAUCAUAGGAAAGCUUUAAAAGAGCGCACUAAAGGAUAAGGCUUGAAUCUGAAACACUGGGAACUAAACUAUGGUUGAAAUGACAAAGCUAUCGAGAGAUUUGAAUUAUAAAAGAAAGAGAAAAGCCUAUGCGCUUCAUAUAUUUCAAUAAAGAAAAUAAUGUAAAGAUAUUUUAGAGAAACAUCCUUAGCAAGUUAUAUUUAUAUAUGAAAAGAUAAUGUAGAACUUAGUCAAAUUUUAUUUAUAAACAUUCAAGUACAAUUUAUGCAAAUUAAAAAUUUAAUUUGAAAAUAAAGUAUAUGGAAACAUCUAAGCGCAUAGCUUUAUGAUUCGGGUUGAACUAACCAAAUAUAAUUCAAAAACAUAUUUAUAUUUAUAUUAAGUCAAAUUAACAUAUAAUUAUGAAACCUCGAGAUAUAACUUAUGUAGCUUUUAUUUAGAAAACAAAUUGAAUAAACAUUAAUCAAUUUAAGUUCAAUUAUGAACCACCGUGGUGCAUCUCUAAUUCACUUUUAAUUGAAAGAGUUAUUUAAAUAAGCAUUAACUAAAUUAAUAUUUAUUAUGAAAAGUGGUUAUAACACUAAGUAGCUUUUAAUUAAGGAAGGCAUGUUUAACAUGCAUUAAUUAGAUUAAUAUUAAAUUUAUUUUAAAAACAUGCAUGAUGGAAAGAUCAGUACUAACAUGUAAUUUGUGUUAUCACGAACCUAACUCAACAAGAACGGAUAUAAACGGAGCUGUAACGAGGAGUCUAUGGGUUAAACAAGGUUGCAGGGCCUAAUCACGAUUAACGGAAGGUUGUUGGGGCUAGCAAGGAAGAUUUGCAAGACACUGGAAUAGAGCUCGUUAUUAGGUCAAAGCAUAGGGUUAGAUCUGUUAAAGUGCUCAGGUUGGACUUGGUUGCACGGAUACAAUCUAAUCAGGGACAUGGAUGAAAAAAACAAGACACAAGGAAAAACUAACUAUAUAUAGAGCUUUCUAGGGGCCUAUGCGCAAAAGCACCAUAGCUCAGCAUCCAUGGUGGACGGGCUCCUUGACGGCAAAAUCCUCAUGCUGGAUUUAUAAGCCUGGUAGUCCACCAAGGGGUUUCCCAAGUAGUUGAUUUGUAGGUGAGGGUGAUUGUGAAACCAAGAACUCGAAGGUGAUUGUGAGAACACGAAGGGACACAAAGGUUUUAGACAUGUUCGGGCCUCCGAAGAGUAAUACCCUACGUCCUAUAUGCUGGUUUGUAUUGCUUGAGAUUGAUGUGAUUGUUGCGAUAUCCUCGGGGGUGCCCUUGGCCACCUUAUAUAGGUUGACGACCAAGAGUUAAAAGUCGGUUUGAAUCUAAUCUACUCGGUAGUUACAUGGAAAGUAAUCUGAGUUGGACUACAAUACACGUUCCAUGAUAUCCGAGCAGAUUUGAACUGUCUUGUUGCCUUGACUUGCACUCCAAGUAACUUCAUAUCCUCGGCCCACACGCCCUGGUCGAGCGAGCCCUACUUGUCAGGUUCGGCCAGUAUCCUGGUCGGCUGGGGCCCAUGGGGUACCCAUUUCUCUCAAGCCCCCGAGCGUUGUGUAGGCAAAUAGAAACUUGAGGUCACCAAAACGAAACUUGAAAUGAAGUCGGCUGAAGCUGCGAAGGCGUCAUUGCGACGGAGAGGCUGCGCAGUGCUUAAAAGAAGAAAAUCUGAGCAAACACAGAGCCAACGCGUAGAGCGAAGACGAGUGCCGAGUUGAUGGAUGCUGGCAUCCAGUAGGUCGGAGCGAAGGUUACGGAGGGCGUCGCAAGAGAAACUCCGUAGGAGUAGCCCCCGAGCAUUGAAACGAUUAAGAUAAUCGGUACAUUGGUCAAAGUACAAAAAAUUAUCCCAUGAUGUAGAUCCUAGUGCUCGAACACAAGGAUGGGUGCAGCCAUGGAGGCCCGCCCACUAGAAGUAGGCACCCAGACCCAAGGACGAGGACUGAUAGGACCGCGUAGCCACGCUGACCUGAAAUAGGCGUCCAACCCCCGAGGACGAGGACUAGCGGAGCCGCGGAGGCAUGCUGACCUGAAGUAGGCGCCCAGCCCCCGAGGAUGAGGACUGGCGGAGCCAUGAAGGCACGCCGACUUGAAAUAGGCACCAAGUGUAACAACUCUACCUAAAUUAAGUGCUUUUAAAUAUAAACUAGUGGCUAAUCACUAAGUUAAAGAAGUAAAAUGACCAUUUUAACCCUAAGAAGCUCUUUUUGGAGUUUGAAAUAAAACUUGGAAUUUUAUAUGCAAACUUAAAAUUUUGCCCAAACAAGAGUUGUAAAACUUUCAAUUUCAAACAACUUUUGUUAAACGAACUUUGACUAAUUCAGAGUGGGAGGAAGUCAAAAAUAGCAAUCAAAACUGGAGUACUAAAGAACCCUAUAAACCUCCUAAGUCCUGGUUUUCAAAUUUUCCCUCCAACUUUGCAAGCCUUUAUCUCAUGAUUUCUUAUCCAAACUCAAGUCAGGCUCUUAAUAAAAGUUGUAGUCCCUCGAGUGUGUUCCAACUUUGUUACACUGACCCAGGUCCAAAUCGGGCCAGAACCUGUUCAAAAUCUUGGUCAAAGUGAGGUAAAACAGUCAACUCAUCCCUUGAGCCCCACAACGCUAAGUCUGAAAAACUGCUCAGAGUGCACCUCUUGGCGAGGGCGUUCCUCCAAAUUUUUGAACUAAACUCAAGAAAUACCCUAAAUAAAAGCUUAAACCCAGGGACCCCUACGUAGUUAAACCUUAAACCCAGGGGCUUGCUUGCAACUUUGUCACAGCUUUUCUUUUAAAUAAUAGGCAGAAAUAUGGUUGAAUUUUGUAAAUGCCCAGUAAAUCGUAGAAUAAUCAUAAAAAUGCCAAACUACUUUUGCUAGAAUCCUUUCUCUGUCUAGUUCCUAAGAAAAAUAAGUUUGCUCAUGUUACUGUUGUAAAUAAUAUCCUACGCUUUUAAUCAUGUUGUAGGCCUUUUAAAUCCUAAUAAAUAGAAGAAAAGUGGGAAAAAUGUGGAACCAACUCUGUGAUGCUUGUUUCUAUGUGUAGAAGCUUAGAAAAAUAGUUAGGGCUCUGGUGUAGCACUUUAAGUCACUGUUUUGACUUUAAAUUGGGAAUCUAAGUAUAAAUCUUCCUUUUUGCAUAAGUUUUGAUCUAGAGCUUAGAAAAAUGUGAAACUAGUUGGGUUAAUUUUGUUUUGCUGUAAAGUUCUCAGGAAAAAUAUAAAUUGUUGUGCAAAUCAGAAAUAAAAACACCUUCCUUGCUAAGCAUGUUUAAUUAAGAAAAGAAAUAGAGUAAAUAGUAACCUUGUCCAAAAAUUACGAAAAAAUUCACCAAAGCACCUGUAACAUACCCUUAACACACUGCUUAAGUUUCACCCUCUGUUGCACAAUAAUUUUGAAGAUGGAAAAAAUUAAGCUCAGUUUACCUUUAAUAAUAAAAUGCAUGUAACUUCUUUUUAAGUCAUCCUUUGGCCCCCAAACUUUUACAGUAACCUAGUGAUGGCUUAAGUGAGGUGCUGUAAUUUUAUCAAUGACUUUAACUACUUUUUGGAUAUGAAGUCAUUUUGGUUAAUUAAUCAACCUAAAGGAAUAAAAGGAGAGCGCGAAUUCUAAUACGAUAAAUAAGUGGACACUGAAAGAGGUACAUAAAAACAUUCAGAAGUAAGUAAUUAUUCCAAUGCAUCCAAACCACCCAACACGACCUUUCACACUCUUUAUGCAACUCUAAAUGCAAGAAAGCUAUAUAUGUACACAAUCGCCAUUCAACGCGAACUCAAGUUUAAAACGACCACUUUCGUUUGAAGUUAAAAAAAGUAAACCUCAUCAAAGUGUUUGUGGCUGUUGUGACUCUUGUCUUAAGCCAUGCCUUGUGUCGUUGAAUAAACGCGCGAGUCCAACUAAAUUUUUGUAUGUGCAUGUCGUAUAGAAGCAACUCUCGCCGACGGAACCUACGAGCUCCACCCGGCACCAGAGAAAGACCCCGCUACGGAGCUUCACCACUUGGAAGGCGAGCCCGAACCGGAGCAAGAUCCUGAGGACCCGCUAACUUUUCCUGAAGGCAAGCCCCGGAGCAUAAAUUCCUAUCUUUGAAUACUUGCAAUAUUAUUGAACACUUUGAUUGCGCAUUUACGUUUCUAGGAGUUGUAAUGAAACCUUAGAUGCAUGAACUUAGUACCUUGUUUGAAUACUAGUUGCUAAAGUCGAGUAGUUGCAAUGCUUAAUAGGUUCCGGUAAAAGUCGAGUGAUUUCCUAUCACUCGCGAGUUAUAGGAGUUGAAUGUUUACUUAUGUUGCAACUAUAAGGACGAUGGAUGUGGUCGGGCUUAUGUUCGAUACUUGGUGGUUUUUCCCCGUCUGUCUAAAGGAAAUUGAUCUAAGGUUGAAAUGUGUCGGCGUUCGUGAUCAAGUGUUUGAAAGUACUAAUCUCAUACCUAGUAUGGGAUGGGGAAGCCUAGUACCUGAUUGAACUGGGGCAUGGCAUACUCCCCCAGCUGCCUUGGAACACCGUUCCCAUGGUGCAUCAUGUGGGUGCAAGUGCGGUCAUAGUACGGCAGAGGCCGGGAUUAUGGAGCAUGGCAUGCCAAAGGCAGUUGGCCCUGACACGUGCCUAAGGGAUCGAUGGGGACGGCUGACAAAUGAAGCAACCCUUCGUGGUGCGCGGAUGUCGUGAGAUUAGGUUCGCCAUGCAUGGUUAAUAAAUUCGAAUCGAUUCGUCUGCCUCUCACAGUUUGGGACUACUUGAUCGCUAUUCUGCACUGAGUAACGAUGAAACAUGAUUACGAGAUUAAGUUGAUGCUUGUUAUUUAACUGCUUGGAAAUCAUGCUUGUUUAGCAUAAGUGGCUAAUCUAGAAUGGUUAAAGAACGUAGAACUUGAGCUAAAAUAUUGAAAGUAAGGACUGAUUGUAGACGCUUGUGGCAAAGAAAUCGCAGAGCCAGAAAGCCUUGCAUGUCUAGGUCUUGGUAAAGCUUUUCACUCGACGGGUCAGUCUUGCUGAGUAUUAGUUGCUCAGCCUUGUUGUGGCUUAAUCUUUUCCAGUGAUGUCAAUAGUUUGGUUGCGGGCACCACUUGGCCUACCCAGCUCCCUCCGGGCUGGACAGUCGAGUGGGAUCCCUCCUCGGACGGCGAGGGAAGGGAUUUUUGAUGUCAUGAUUGGAUCCGUCGUGAUGUCAUGUAUCGAUGUUUAGCUUCCGCUUGUUUUAUCCGACUUUUCGAACCUUGCAACUUGUUUGAAUUUUCAGAAACUCUGAUGUAAUAAUUUGUGACACUAAGGAAUGUGAUGGAAUGUAGUAAUCUCUGUGCUACUCACCUUCAUGUGAGCGAUGCUUCUCGAUCCUGUUUAGGUGGUUCAUCGGAUGAAAUCCAACGGUCGACCAGUUUGACUUGCUUAAAGUGCAUAAUCGCGUGUCAGGCGACUUCAACGCAUUUUAGUCAGGUUAAUUUGGGUGGUUCCGCCACAGCUAGCAUCAGAGCUCGAAGCACGGUAUGGAGAACAACAAACCUUAAAACACUUUUCCUGACUAAAACUUGCAAGAAACGAGUUGAAAAAUUCGUAAGUUCGUUAAGGAUGAAUUUAGUACGAGGAGCCCUAGGGGAAUUUUGGGUCUUUUAAGGUGGCUAAUAAUUAUUGGUUAUCUUCUGACUUCCAGCACUUGUUACCACGUCUAUCAUACGUGUGCCGAGAUCUGCAUCGCGAGUGUGCGAAGGGUGAUAGGAAUUCGAUUCCAACGAGCCUAUCAUCACGGUUGUUUCGCCCACGUCUAUUAUACGUGCGCAGGUUCCGUAUGUUAAUUCAUGCGAAGGAUGGUAUGGUUCGAUUCCAACGAGCCUAUCAUCACGGUUGUUCGCCCACGUUUAUUAUACGUGUGCAUGAUUCCGCAUCACGAGAAUGUGAAGGGUUAUAUGGUUCUAUUCAAGGGAACCUAUUUCCACGGUUGUUGCGCUGUCCAUGCAGCGUUAAACGCAUGGGUGCCGUUUCUAUAGUGAACGGUAAUGAUUGUGGACGCUUUUGUGAGUACUGGCACGGAAAGUUCAAGCUAUGAUGUGUUUUUCUGCGGGUACACUAACAACGUUGCGUACGAAACGAUGCUUAGCAACUCGACUAGUUAUUAUAGUGAGAGUCGUAUUGUUGCCUUGCCACCGGCACUAACCACGUAAGUUCAAAGAUUUUUGGCGAUUAUUUUUGGUUGAGAGGAUGACUAGGACGUGCAUGCAUUAAGAAAUAAAAACCGCAACCUAAGGAAAUAAAACCAAGCUCGAGUGUGUCGUAAAAAGAAAUGCACCGCGAUAAGGAUCGUCUAGUUGUCCUUUUUUUUCCGCCAUGCACGUUUAAAUAAAUCUUUCAGGUUGUUCCAUAUGAUAACUUCAGAAACUUUAUAUAAGAAAUUUGUGUUAAAUCUCCCAAGUAAACUGCUGAAAAUUUUUCACAAAGUACUACCACUUGGGUUGAGAGUUGUGAUCAGUUUUGUGACCCCCUGUUGGCUGUUAGCCCUGAGUGCACACCAGUUGGAAUUCUGCUGUUUCGACCACCUUAAGAACUUUUUCUGCUAGGAGUCCCUUAAGAAACGUUUCUCAAAACUUAAUAAAGAACUUACUGGUAAAAUUGCAGCUUCAUUAGGUCUCUUGUUUUGAAGUUAUGUUCAGUUUACUUUGACUCGGGUCUGAAAAAUUCUAGCAUGUACACUUAAUGGGAAUCUGAGGUUAUCACCUUGUUAGGUCCUGUUCUAGCCCUACCUUUGAAUACCAAACUUGUUACGCACUAUCUAAAGAACAUGCUGGUAAAAUUUGAGAAAUUUUGGAUGAAUAAUUGCUGAGUUAUGAGCUUUUCUCUAACUGCUAGAAAUCUGUUUUGAUUUCCAAGUGUUAACUCCGUUUCUCACUUGUCCUUUGGUUACAGUGGCUCAGCCUGUGCACGUUGCAGUCGGUACGGAUGGCACCACCUACUCACGGUGCCUUCACUACGAGGGUUUCCUAGCCGUACUGUGGGACACCCUGCGCUCUUUUGGGUACCCGUCACCGCCAGUUUACGCGGGACGUGCAUACCAGGACCGCGGGAUUCCGCGGAGUCGCGUGCACGUGCGGGUGCCCCCGCCUCCGGGUCAGCCACAGUGUCCGCUUUUGGAGGUGGUGGCCGAGGGAUAGACACUACAGGACACCUGGGAGUUCGCAGCCUUGCAGACCCUGACACAGUUUUGCCGGGCACACCCUCUUGAGAUCGUGCUGGACCCGAUUGGGUUGUGCUCUGCUCGGGAUACGAGGGACCCGGAUUGGUUGGAUCGUAUGGAGCAUAUGGACUUACUCAGGGUUAUGGAUCCACAACGCACGAUUUUUGUUUCAGCUCGUUGCCUGAACGUGUUCUUCCGGAUGGUUGAGAUGCAGAGCCGAGCGAUGGCUACGGUGAUCGGGAUGGCAGUGGCCAACCAGGUCGCUUUAUCUGCCGUGCAGAGUGGCAUGGUGGACCAGUCGCUUGAGCUAGUACAGAAGGAUGUCCAGAUUGCUGAGAUGCAGGACAAGAUCACUCGUUUGGAGGAGGAGAUUGUGGAUAUGGAGCAUGAUAUGGAGAUCUUGGCUGACCAGUUCUAUGAUGUGAACAUGGAGCCGGCGAACGUCAAUGAGCACCUGCAGGAGCAUCACGAUGAGCUUAAUGCCAUUCACACCUUAGAGAUGCAGCAGGAUGAGCCGAUGGCCCAGGAGGAGGAGCCUGAGGAGAUCGAGGGCUUUUCGAGCAUGGACUAUGAGGAGGCCUCUCCGCAGCCUCCAGUUGGCGAUGCUCACUCUCCUGCCCUUAGCUUUGCCUCCGUGGGCAACCUCGACGACUUCUAGUUGUGUUGACUUGUUGUUGAGGGGUUCUCUUUUGUUUUUACUCCUCGGCGACCUAUAUUUUGGCUAGUGAUAUAAUAGGUUAGCUUGAGUUGAGUAUUUGGGAGUUGAGAAACUGAUUCUAUGUUGGAUUGCCGUUGCUAUCUUUAGUGUAAUGUCUGAAAUUUAUGGCAGAACUGCAGUGACUGUUUCUCCUCAGUUUUACCCCUGUCUCCACUCGUUUUUGAGCCAAAGUUUGAAUACCAAAGUUGUGCAAAAACUUCUGUUCUAACUAUUCGUAAAUUUUCAGCUCCUUCGGAUCUGUCAAACGCCCGCUAGAGCCAAAACCCCACUGUUCAGCUUGCUGAAAAAUCAGCCGGACAGCAACUUGCUAGAACGUCUAAACGACCUCUUUUCCUUCCUUUUCGGUCGACAAGCGUAACAUGAAAGUGGUUGUGUACGAUAUAUUCUAACCCUCACUUAAGGAUGAGAACCUUGUGCACUUCGAAGAAGAGAUAUGCACCUACUCAAUAAAAGUUUUGAUUGUUGCUUUUGCACCAUCGGCAAGACUAGCGUUUAUCAUUUCCGCACAUAAUGUUUCCUUAUGGUUAAACAAGAUUUUGGGGCUAUGUGACUAAUGGAAAGGUGAAUCUUGCAGAUGGCACAUCGCAUAUGCUCCGGCUCCAUUCCUAGUGGCAGCGAGGUGCCUCCCCCACCUCCGCCUCCAACCACCCUCGAGGCAAUCUUGGCGGCUCAAACCGAGCUGCUGAGGCACAUCGCUCAGGGACAGCAGCAGCAGCAGCCCUAGGGAGGAAGAGCCCAUCAGCAGCCUCAUGUUGCUCGCUACGAGGACUUUCUGGGGACCCAGCCUCCUCUGUUCCACAAGACGGAGGACCCGCUUGACGCCGAUGCCUGGAUUCGUGCCAUCGAGUCCAAGUUCUCCCUUCUCACCGCCCAUUGCCCGGAGGAGAACAAGGUUCGGUUCGCCGCGCAACAGUUGCAUGGUUCUGCUCUCCUGUGGUGGGAUCACUACCACGCCAUGCAGCCGGCCGACCACGUCGUCGGCUGGGAGGAAUUCAAGACAGCGUUCAAGGGCCAUCACAUCCCUGAGGGUCUUCUGGAGCGCAAGCUCAAUGAGUUCCUGGCUCUCACCCAGGGAGGCCGCGACGUCCUGCACUAUGCGCAGGCUUUCAAUGACCUGUGUCGCUAUGCAGGCUAUCAUGCAGACUCUGAUGAGAAGUAGAGGGACCGCUUCCACAGAGGCUUGAGCCUGGAGCUCAAGGAAAGCCUGAAUCCCAUCAAGGUGGAUUCCUACAAUGAACUGGUGAACCUGGCAAUUUCCCAGGAAGAUUGCAUGAGGGCUCUCAAGGCUGACCUGAAGCGAAAGGCUCCAAUGCCGGCACCCGGCCCACCGGCCCAGAAAUACAAAGUGGUUCCCCCACAGGCGUCUCACAGGCCCGCACAACCUAGGAGAUGGGUUGCUCGACCUCCACCGCAGGCAGCACCUCAUUUCCCUGGAUUCCAGCCGCAAGGGCCCCGACCUACUCUUCCUAUGCCGCCAUGCCUAGUCACUGGAAACCGCUGUUUCACCUGCGGGAACCCAAGACACUUUGCCAAGAACUGCCCCCGCAACAAGAAUCAACGACCCGGUCAGAGCAAUGCACUGAGCAACAAGGGGAAGAAGCCGAGGGUUCAGGUCCGACAAGGCAGGCUGAACUACACCACCCUUGCUGAACUUCCAGAGGGUGCACCAGUGAUGACGGGUACCUUUUCUAUCUAUAACCAACCCGUCCUUAUUCUGUUUGAUUCGGGAGCAUCUCAUAGUUUCAUUGGGACUAGAACCAGUGCUAAGUGUGGGUUAGAUUUCUGUCACACAAAAGGUGCUUAUAUAAUCUCUACCCUGGGUAGGAAAGUAACUUCACACCAAGUGAGCCGCAAGGUGCCUAUCCAGUUGGGGAGAACCCUUUUUAAGGAAAACCUCCUUAUCCUUGGGAUAGAAGGAAUAGAUAUUAUCUUGGGUAUGGAUUGGAUGACUCGACAUCGAGUGGCACUAGACAUCCCUGCCAGAGCCGUCCAUAUAAACUCACCCAUUUAUGGUAGCUCAAUCAUACACUUACCCCCCCGAGAGUGCCAAACUUUUUGUGCCUAUCCCUUGACUGAAGCCCGUUUAGAAGACAUCCCAGUGGUGUGCGAGUAUCCCGAUGUGUUUCUAGAUGAUUUGCUGGGUAUGCUGCCUAAUAGAGAUAUCGAGUUUGCUAUUGAGUUGCAACCAGGUACUGCCCCAAUUUCAAAGAGACCGUACCGGAUGCCACCAGCCGAGCUGGCAGAAAUGAAAGCUCAGUUUCACGAUCUGUUGGACAAAGGUUUUAUUCAUCCAAGUACAUCACCUUGGGGUGUCCCCGCCUUGUUUGUGAAAAAGAAGGACGACAGUCUGCGUAUGUGUCUGGACUACUGCCCUCUCAAUGCGGUGACGAUAGAGAACAAGUACCCACUACCCCGCAUUGAUGUUCUGUUCGAUCAGUUAGCUGGAGCUAGAGUGUUUUCCAAAAUUGACCUCCAUUCUGGCUACCAUCAAAUCAAGAUCCACCCGUGCGACAUUCCUAAGACUGCUUUCUCUACACGGUAUGGACUCUAUGAGUACUUAGUCAUGUCAUUUGGGCUUACUAAUGCACCAGCUUAUUUCAUGUACCUCAUGAAUUCGGUGUUUAUGCUCGAACUCGACAAAUUCAUCGUGGUUUUCAUUGACGAUAUCUUGGUGUACUCAAAGGAUGAGGAAGAACAUGCAGAGCACCUACAUACUGUACUCCAACGCUUAAGAGAUCACCAACAAUAUGCCAAAUUCUCUAAGUGUGACUUCUGGCUGGACAGUGUUAAAUUCUUGGGGCACACCAUAUCCAGAGACGGUAUAGCAGUAGACCCAAGCAAAGUGCAAGAAGUAAUGGACUGGAAGUCGCCCACUUCAGUUCAUCGGAUUCGAAGUUUUCUCGGGUUAGCAGGUUACUACCGUCGCUUCAUUCCUGACUUCUCAAAAAUAGCUAAGCCAAUGACGAAACUGCUAAGGAAGGGAGUUAAGUUCAUGUGGAGUGACAAAUGUGAAGAAGCCUUCCACACCCUGAGACAAUUACUGACCUCUGCGCCGGUUUUAGCUCAGCCCAACACCACUAGGCUGUUUGACGUAUAUUGCGAUGCCUCUAGCACUAGACUGGGUUGUGUUCUUAUGCAAGACAGCCGAGUCAUUGCCUAUGCCUCACGAGCGCUACGGCCACAUGAGUUGAACUACCCUACCCAUGAUCUCGAGUUAGCAGCAAUCGUUCAUGCUCUGAAAUUAUGGAGGCAUUAUCUUAUGGGAACUCGAUGCAACAUCUAUACGGAUCACAAGAGUCUUAUGUACAUCUUCACUCAAGCAGACCUCAACAUGCGCAAGAGAAGAUGGUUAGAAUUAAUCAAAGAUUAUGACCUAGAAGUGCACUAUCACCCAUGCAAAGCCAAUGUAGUUGCCGAUGCUCUCAGCCGCAAGAUCCAUUGUAACUGCUUAUCGGCAAUUAAUUAUGCCGAGACCCUCUGUCAUGAAAUGGCUAAACUCAACUUGGAAAUUGUUCCCCAUGGCACCUUAAGUCAUAUUUCUUUAGAGCCUACCCUGCUUGACCAAAUAAUUUUAGCACAACUAGAGGAUGAAGAGAUAAACCUUAUCAAGGAGAAACUCGCACAGGAGGAUGAGGGAUAUAAGCAUUUCUGAUAGGAUUGGAGAGGAGUGGUACAUUAUGAAGCUCGACUCGUAGUUCCAAAUGAUCCCGAUCUUAGGAAACAAAUUCUGGACGAAGCACACCUUUCCAAGUUCUCGAUUCACCCUGGUAGUACCAAGAUGUACCACAACCUCUGACAAAAUUUCUGGUGGAGUGGAAUGAAACCCGACAUUGCACGAUAUGUUUCAGAGUGUGAUACCUGUCAGCGAGUCAAAGCAAGCCACUUAAGGGUAGCUGGCCCCUUGCGGCCACUGCCUAUUCCCUCGUGGAAGUGGGAGGACAUAAGCAUUAUAGUCAGACUACCCAAUACCUCCCGCAAACAUGAUUCGAUAUGGGUUAUAGUAGACCGACUUACCAAAACAGCGCAUUUUCUUCCAGUACACACCACCCGCGCCAUACAGAAAUAUGCAGAACUGUACCUUGACCGGAUUGUUUCCUUGCAUGGUGUACCUAAGACGAUCAUCUCUGAUCGAGGUAGUCAGUUUGUAGCACGCUUUUGGGAGCAGUUGCAGUUUUCACUUGACACUAAAUUUAUUCGUAGUUCCACAUAUCAUCCUUAAACCGAUGGACAAACUGAAAGGGUUAACCAGAUUUUGGAAGAUAUGCUACGCGCCUGUGCCAUUCAUUAUGACAAGAACUGGGAUAAGUGUUUGCCAUUAGCGGAAUUCUCAUACAACAAUAGUUACCAAGCUAGCCUGAAAAUGGCGCCUUUUGAAGCCUUGUAUGGACGUAGAUGCCGAACCCCGCUAAGCUGGUCGCAACAGUGUAUGGACCUGACCUGGUCAUGGAGGCCGAAGAAAAAGUAAGAGUUAUUCGUGAAAAUCUCAAGGCCGCCCAGUCUCGACAAAAGAGCUAUUCCGAUCAAAGAAGAAGACCUAUCCAAUUUGAGGUUGGGGAUUUUGUAUACCUGCGGGUUUCACCGACCAAAGGCGUACAACGUUUUGGAGUAAAAGGAAAGUUGGCUCCGCGCUAUAUUGGUCCCUAUGAGAUUGUAGAAGUUUGUGGACCCGUAGCGUAUCGAGUUAAACUUCCAGAGAAGAUUGCAGCGAUACACGAUGUUUUCCAUGUCUCACAACUCAAGAAGUGCAUUCGGGUUCCAACUGAAAUCAUCGCCUCGGAAGAAUUGGAGAUUGAACCCGAUUUAACAUACAAGGAGUAUCCUGUUAAGAUCCUUGACCGGAAGGAAAGACAUACUCGUAGGCAAAUGGUAAAAAUGUACAAAAUUUGGUGGAGUAACCAUACGGAAGAUGAAGCGACCUGGGAGACGGAAGAGUAUCUCAACACUAACUUCCGCGGUUUUCUUUUCGACCAGGAAGGUACGUUGCACCGGCCACACUAGUUCCUUUCUGCACUUGAAUCUCGGGGCGAGAUUCCUUUAAGGGGGGUAGGCUGUAACAACUCUACCUAAAUUAAGUGCUUUUAAAUAUAAACCAGUGGCUAAUCACUAAGUUAAAGAAGUAAAAUGACCAUUUUAACCCUAAGAAGCUCUUUUUGGAGUUUGAAAUAAAACUUGGAAUUUUAUAUGCAAACUUAAAAUUUUGCCCAAAUAAGAGUUGUAAAACUUUCAAUUUCAAACAACUUUUGUUAAAGGAACUUUGACUAAUUCGGAGUGGGAGGAAGUCAAAAACAGCAAUCAAAACCGGAGUACUAAAGAACCCUAUAAACCUCCUAAGUCCUGGUUUUCAAAUUUUCCCUCCAACUUUGCAAGCAUUUAUCUCACGAUUUUGUAUCUAAACUCAAGUCAGGCUCUUAAUAAAAGUUGUAGUCCCUCAAGUGUGUUCCAACUUUGUUACACUAACCCAGGUCCAAAUCGGGCCAGAACCUGUUCACAAUCUUGGUCAAAGUGAGGUAAAACAGUCAACUCAUCCCCUGAGCCCCACAACGCUAAGUCUGAAAAACUGCUCAGAGUGCACCUCUUGGCGAGGGCGUUCCUCCAAAUUUUUGAACUAAACUCAAGAAAUAACCUGAAUAAAAGUUUAAGUCCUCAGUUUGGAGAGCAACUCCUUCAAUAACACUUCAGUCUAAUUCAACUUGGAAGCUGCCCUAAAUUCGACUCAAACAUAGCUAAGUUCCUGAAAUUCCACCUCUCCGGCCAAAAUUGGCUAAGUCUGGAUUUCCAGAUUUUUAGCAAACUUUGGCACGAGAUAUCUUCAAAUCCUUUCACAAUCUAAACCAGCACCUUAAACCAAGUUUGAACUACGUCCAGAGUUGAACAAGUUUGUUUAAAGGAGUUUUGGAAGAUGUGUUGCAAAAUCUUAAGUUAGGAUCUCCCAAAGCCGGUCGGGCUUGCUGCCCGAAGGGGGCCUCGACGCCCGCGCGCCAGAGCACGUUCGCCCGCGCGCCACGCGUCGCGUGGCCGCCGGCCACCGGCAGUUCGCCGGCGCCCUAUCACCGGCAAGACAACGAUAGGGCAAGGGCCACGGCGCCCAACCCGCGCUUGCGACAGGACGGUGCGAAUGCCGGGCUAGCGAACCGCCGGCCGCGCGGGUGUCCUUUUCCCCCUGCCACGGCUCUGCUCCGCCAACCGUGCUCCGCCCGUCCGCGGGAGAAGCCGCCACGCCGAUGACAUCCCGCGCCUCCGCCCGCUCGCCCAACCCCAAUGGUAGCCCUCCGCUUCGCCCGCCCGACAGACCGGAAGCCUCAGACACGCAUCGCCCAAGGCCAAUCCCCGCCGGAGACCACUCGGAGCUCCGACUCCUCUGCCCAAUGGCGCCGCUGGCCAAUGGCCGCCUCGCCCGCGCACCCGCCGCACCUGGCCUUAUCCUUCCUCCACCAGAGCCCCGCCUCGACCCUCCGCUCCACCGCUGCCCUAUAAAAAGGUCCCUCUCACCGGCAACGCCACCCUUUGCCACCACCCACAAUCGCGCCACCGCUUCCUCCUCUGCGCCGCCACUAAUCUUCCGUGGAGCUCACCCCUCCGCGCCACCCCGCACUCCGGCGACUUCACCGCUUGCUUUGCCAACCCACCGCGCACGUCUCCGAGCAGCUCGUGGCCUCCCCGACGCCGCCGAUGCGCCGGAACGUCGCCUGCACCGCCGCCAGCCAAGCUCUGUUGCCGCCGCCGCGUUCCGAUCCCCGUCGGCCAUCUCCGUCGCCCCAACCCCGCCAAACCGAGCUCAGGUGAGCCCCCGCACCUCUCCGGCCACUUGUUGCCCCAUCCUCGCCGGCGAACCGCCGGGGAUUUCCUCACCGCCGCCGCGCGCGCCCCGGGGACCACAUUGCAUCGUCCCCAUUCUUUCCAGGGGCUUGAGCGCAAAACUCAAGGACCCCUGUGUAGUUAAACCUUAAACCCAGGGGCUUGCUUGCAAGUUUGCCACGGCUUUUCUUUUAAAUAAUAGGCAGAAAUAUGGUUGAACUUUGUAAAUGCCCAGUAAAUCGUAGAAAAAUCAUAAAAAUGCCAAACCACUUUUGCUAGGAUCCUUGCUCUGUCUAGUUCCUAAGAAAAAUAAGUUUGCUCAUGUUAAUGUUGUAAAUAAUAUCCUAUGCUUUUAAUCAUGUUGUAGGCCUUUUAAAUCCUAAUAAAUAGAAAAGUGGGAAAAAUGUGGAACCAACUCUGUGAUGCUUGUUUCUAUGUGUAGAAGCUCAGAAAAAUGGUUCGGGCUCUGGUCUAGCAUUUUAAGUCACUGUUUCGACUUUAAAUUGGGAAUCUAAAUAUAAAUCUUCCUUUUUGCAUAAGUUUUGAUCUAGAGCUCAGAAAAAUGUGAAACUAGUUGGGUUAAUUUUGUUUUGCUGUGAAGUUUGCUGGAAAAAUAUAAAUUGUUGUGCAAAUCAGAAAGAAAAACACCUUCCUUGCUAAGCAUGUUUAAUUAAGAAAAGAAAAGGAGUAAAUAGUAACCUUCUCCAAAAAUUAUGAAAAAUUCACCAAAGCUCCUGUAACAUACCCUUAACACACUGCUUAAGUUUCACCCUCUGUUGCACAGUAACUUUGAAGAUGGAAAAAGUUAAGCUCAGUUUACCUUUAAUAAUAAAAUGCAUGUAACUUCUUUUUAAGUCAUCCUUUGGCCCCCAAACUUUUACAGUAACCUAGUGAUGGCUUAAGUGAGGUGCUGUAAUUUUAUCAAUGCCUUUAACUACUAUUUGGAUAUGAAGUCAUUUUGGUUAAUUAAUCAACCUAAAGGAAUAAAAGGAGAGCGCAAAUUCUAAUACGAUAAAUAAGUGGACACUGAAAGAGGUACAUCAAAACAUUCAGAAGUAAGUAAUUAUUCCAAUGCACCCAAACCACCCAACACGACCUUUCACACUCUUUAUGCAACUCUAAAUGCAAGAAAGCUAUAUAUGUACACAAUCGCCAUUCAACGCGAACUCAAGUUUAAAACGACCACUUUCGUUUGAAGUUAAAAGAAAGUAAACCUCUCCAAAGUGUUUGUGGCUGUUGUGACUCUUGUCUUAAGCCAUGCCUUGUGUCGUUGAAUAAACGCGCGAGUCCAACUAAAUUUUUGCAUGUGCAUGUCGUAUAGAAGCAAAUCUCGCCGACGGAACCUACGAGCUCCACCCGGCACCAGAGAAAGACCCCGCUGCGGAGCUUCACCACUUGGAAGGCGAGCCCAAACCGGAGCAAGAUCCUAAGGACCCGCUAACUUUUCCUGAAGGCAAGCCCCGGAGCAUAAAUUCCUAUAUUUGAAUACUUGCAAUAUUAUUGAACACUUUGAUUGCGCAUUUACGUUUAUAGGAGUUGUAAUGAAACCUUAGAUGCAUGUACUAGUUGCUAAAGUCGAGUAGUUGCAAUGCUUAAUAGGUUCCGGUAAAAGUCGAGUGAUUUCCUAUCACUCGCGAGUUAUAAGAGUUGAAUGUUUACUUAUGUUGCAACUAUAAGGACGAUGGACAGGGUCGGGCUUAUGUUCGAUACUUGGUGAUUUUCCCCGUCUGUCUAAAGGAAAUUUAUCUAAGGUCGAAACGUGUCGGCGUUCGUGAUCAAGUGUUUGAAAGUACUAAUCUCAUACCUAGUAUGGGAUGGGGAAGCCUAGUACCUGAUUGAACUGGGGCGUGGCAUACUCCCCCGGCUGUCCUUGGAACACCGUUCCCAUGGUGCAUCAUGUGGGUGCAAGUGCGGUUAUAGUACGGCAGAGGCCGGGAUUAUGGAGCAUUGCAUGCCAAUGGCAAUUGGCCCUGACACGUGCCUAAGGGAUUGAUGGGGACGGCUGACAAAUGAAGCGACCCUUCGUGGUGCGCAGAUGUCGUGAGAUUAGGUUCGCCAUGCAUGGUUAAUAAAUUCAAAUCGAUUCGGCUGCCUCUCACAGUUUGGGACUACUUGAUCGCUAUUCUGCACUAAGUAACAAUGAAACAUGAUUAUGAGAUUAAGUUGAUGCUUGUUAUUUAACUGCUUGGAAAUCAUGCUUGUUUAGCAUAAGUGGCUAAUCUAGAAUGGUUAAAGAACGUAGAACUUGAGCUAAAAUAUUGAAAGUAAGGACCGAUUGUAGACGCUUGUGGCAAAGAAAUCGCAGAGCCAGGAAGCCUUGCAUGUCUAGGUCUUGGUAAAGCUUUUCACUCGACGGGUCAGUCUUGUUGAGUAUUAGUUGCUCAGCCUUGUUGUGGCUUAAUCUUUUCCGGUGAUGUCAAUAGUUUGGUUGCGGGCACCACUUGGCCUACCCAGCUCCCUCCGGGCUGGACAGUCGAGUGGGAUCCCUCCUCGGACGGCGAGGGAAGGGAUUUUUGAUGUCAUGAUUGGCUCCGUCGUGAUGUCAUGUAUCGACGUUUAGCUUCCGCUUUUUUUAUCUGACUUUUCGAACCUUGCAACUUGUUUGAAUUUUCAGAAACUCUGAUGUAAUAAUUUGUGAAACUAAGUAAUGUGAUGGAAUGUUGUAAUCUCUGUGCUACUCACCUUCGUGUGAGCGAUACUUCUCGAUCCUAUUUAGGUGGUUCAUCGGAUGAAAUCCGACGGUCGACCAGGUUGACUUGCUUAAAGUGCAUGAUCGUGUGUCAGGCGACUUCAAUGCAUUUUAGUCAGGUUAAUUUGGGCGGUUCCGCCACAGCAAGCCCCCGAGGACGAGGACCGGCAAAGCCAUGAACGCACGCUGACCAGAGUUAGGCGUCCAGCCCCCGAGCAUGAGCGCAAGGACUGGUGGAAGCACGUCGAGUUGCCUCCCGCCCUAAGCCGAGGCAGAGAGGUUGGCUGGGCGACGGGCGACACGUGGAGUCAUCUACGGUACCUAGCCGCCGAGCCUGGGAGCAGGACGAGUUGCAAAAGCAUGCCAAGUUGCCUCUUGCCCUGAGCUAGCAAGGUCGACCGGGUGACGGGAGGCACGCCAAGUCAUCUGCGGUGCCCAGCCCCCGAGCCUUGGAGCCGGCCGAGCCACAGAAGCACGCCAAGCCGCCUCCCGCCCCGAGCUAGAGAGGUCAGUCGGGCAAUGGGAGGCACGCCGAGUCGUCUGCGGUGCCCAGGCCCCGAGCCUAGGAGCCGGACGAGCCACAAAAGCAUGCCAAGUCGCUUCCUGUCCUGAGCUAGAGAGCUCGGCCGGGUGACGGGAGGCACACCGAGUAGUUUUUUGAGCUGUAAAAGGACAAUACAAUCAUUAUGUAGCAUAAUGUAGAUUAUUUAAUCAUUGAACAACUCGGAAGUUUAAUACGCUGUAGAAGUAAACUCUUGCUAAUCCUGCUCUUGUAGGCCAAGUAAAUUCCCCAGGUAGUUAGCUUAUUACGUUCAAGCACCUAGCCCUACUAACCACUGCUCAUGGAGAGGAUAGUUUAUCUCAGGCUAUAGCGCUGGGGCUGACCUGAUGCUCGCAUAUAGGAGACGCGCAGGAUGAGUCAAGGUUUCACGGAUUAAGGCGUGUGCUACCCGAGUACUUUAGCAACCGUUAACAGGGACGGAUAAGCCGCAAAGCAACUGGAGCUAUGCAAAAAAGCACCAGCAUGAGCUGGGCACCCAUGGGGUGUAGCCCCCGGCCGCCCGUGUAGUGGGUGGACCAAGCUGUAUAAGUAGGCACGGUGCGACCAAGGUGGUCGGCGAAAGUCACGAGGACAUAGGAGAGCUGAGGUGGUCGACAAAAGUCACAGGAACAUGGAGGAGCCGAGGUUUAUGUAGGUAUACGGAAGUCGUAAAAUAUUUAAUUAUAAAUAAGACUUAUCCUUAUUUGUGGUCAAGUCAAAAAACCCGCGUGUCAUCUUCGCGUUUAGGCUUAGAAGCCCCUGAGCGUGGUCGUCGGAUAGUUGUUGGUGAAGCAAACUAGUUGGGCAUGCCCAACUAAUUCAUGUCGAGGCCGAGUUGUUGGAGUUGUUAGCGGCACGUUUGUGGUAUGCUACUGCCGAGUCGAUGCGGCCAUCGGGUCGUGGCCGGCUGGCCGCCACGCUCACAGUACAACAUGCCUAGGUUGUGCUGCCAAACCAAGGGUGCAUGUAAAUCUUUCCGAAGCUUGUAAGGAAGCCCUCACAUAUUAAGGAACUCUAUACCUAAUACCAUCAUGGUUGUUUUGCAAAAAAGUCUCUCAACUUUUUUGUAAUCAACCCGCAGUCUUUGGAAUGUCUUGAAGAUUGUGCAAAAAGAUCCCCAAACUUUACUGCAAUUGGCCAUCGAAGCUCCCACAGCGUGCACCUAUGCCACAUGCGGUGCGGACGGGUGUGCCGGCUGCGACUGCAAGCUCCUCGCUGCGGCAGGGACCAGGUCGAGCAGCGACAGCAAUGACGAAGGGGAGUAGUCUGCGUCUGCGUGCCAUGCCACCGUCACCGGGCAAGCUGUGGUAGCGGCGGAGUGGGAGAGUGAGUCCAUUGGCGUGUGGAGGGUGCCGUGGGGCAGGUGGGUGGCGGAGAUCUGCAACCCACACCUCGCUGUGUGCAAGUGGCUCAGCACCUUCGACACCACUGAGGACGCCGCGCGUGCCUACAACGUCGCCACCGUCGAGUUCCGAGGCUGCUGUGCCAAGCUCAACUUCCCCGACGAUGCGGCUCUCGCACCUGCACCUUCCUAGGUGCUGACCUCGACAUACCAACACCACCACCACCUGCCGCAGCCGCUGCUCGAGAGCCUGCACGAGACCUGCGGGUCGAACGCAUCCUCAUCAGUGGACGUGGCUCUUGUGGUAGCGGCACCGACUGGGCAGCACGACACGAGGCCGGUGCCGAAGGAGCAGGACAUAUGGGACACGCUAAACGAGUUCAUGAUGAUGGAUGACGGUAGCUUCUGGUCGCCCAUGCCAUGAUCGUCAUAUUCUCCUCUUGUCUUCACUUUCGUUGCUUAGCAGAUAAUGGUGGUCAGCUGCCCUCUAGUCUGUCGUCAAUCGCCAGCCAUCCAUUGCUUUUAUAUGGUUUUACACUAGCUUUUGGGCUUUGAUCACACCUCCACACCCAUACGAAACGACUAGCUAGAGCGAUGUUGAUCUACUGCCUACCGCGCGCUAGGGCGAGCAGCUACUCACUCGGGCUGCAUGCCCUACCCACCACCUGGACCUAAGAGGUGAAGGAGAGAGGAGGAAGGGGGAAGGAAACAAGGAGCCGAGUGCCUCUUUGUAGUCAACCAAGUAGAGCCAUAUGCUAGUGAAGGCAUGGCGCCAGCGAGGGGGGCGCAGCGGCAGUCGGCAGGCAACGCAAACAGGGGCGGAGGUCGAGACCUCACACCCCCCUCUCAAUGACGUCCAUCCCCUUCAGAUCCGGAACUAAAGCCUCCACACCUAGCAAUUGGGGGCUCGAUUUUGCACUUGAUUGGAACGAUUUGGAGUGGAUUAUAGAAGGGAGGUGGAUGGAAAUGAGAAGAAGAGGAAAACGCACUCCUGCUCAUGGUGGCCAGAGGCACUGUGGCCUAGCGCUCAAAGCGGGAAUGAGGCUAGGCACGGGAAGGACGAGCGUUUGCCUGGGCGACGACGAGGAUGGCAAGAUGCGCAGCGCUUAGACGACGGUGAAGAUGGGGCAAGAUGUGGGUGGCACCGAUGGACGAAGAGGCAUCGACUGGUUAGAUGAUAAUGAGUACGGGGAAAAUUGAAUGAAUUUAUAGAGCGGUGGUUGAGCGGUGAUUUUUUUUGUUUCCAUGUGUGGGUCCCACGUAAUAAACAGAUGGCAUCAAACCACCCACAAAUAUCUUCUACUACUGUACUCGGACACCGCACCAACAUAUGGUGAAGUGAAGCUAACAUAUUAGAAACAAGCGAAUAAUAAUGUGAGAGUAAGUAAAGACCUGUAGUAACGUACGGGUAUUUCUGCUAGUAAGAAAAAAAAUUGUUAGUAAGCACCGAGCAACGUAGGAGAUCUACUGGAUGGAAUAGAUUAAAUAAUAAAGGGAAGGGAGAAUUGUUCUCUUUUUUUUCCGUGGCAGAUCUGACGUGUGUGCAUGCAACAAGUUGAGGUCGACGUGUCGUGCUAAAUCAACCAGAUCGUACCGGGGCUGGAUCAGGCGAGCUUGGUUGUGGCCGGGAUGAGGCCAAUAAGGGCGCCGCCCUUGACCUUGGCCUCCUAUUCCUCGCGGAUCUUCUGCAUCUGGAGCAUCCGCUCCAUGAUGAGCUUGUACUGGCACUUCUCGCAGGCGUGGCGCUCGGGCUCGCACUUCCAGCGGAGGUAGAACUGGGAGGUGCACGCACUGGUCAUGGUAGGCGAGUGGAACCCGAGCCUCCGCCAUCUCCACCUGCGUGACGAUCUGGAGCUUCGAGGAGCCGAACUGCACGCCGCCCGCCGCCUCCAUCUGUCACUUUGUUCCCCUCUCUCUCACUGGCGAGGUCGUUCCGUCGAUAUAUGGGCGCUGCGGGUUUGGUGCGGCGUGGGUGGGUAGGGUGCAGCAAGGAUGUGAGGAACCCUCUCGGAUAGAGAGAUUGCUGACCUACUGGGUAAGCGGUGUGAUGAUCCUUGGAUAGAGAACUUGCUCCACCAGAGUAAAUCUGACAGAUGCCGAGCUGGCGGCGGGCACCAAGUCGAAGUCCACUGACAUGCUCCUGAAGCGAAGCUGGAUCGGGUUGGUGAGAAAGUCCUUCAUGCUCUCAGGGAAAGUAAUGCCGGGGCGGGAUGCAAUCAAGCUCGCUAGGGAGGAUCUCACAAUCAUCCCUACCUGGCGCGCCAACUAUUGGAUUUAUAAGCCCGAUAGUCCACCAGGGGGUUACCCAAGUUGUUGAUUUGUAGGUGAGGGCGAUUGCGAAACCAAGAACUCUAAGGUGAUCGUGAAAACACGAAGGGACACGAAGGUUUUAGAUAGGUUGGAACCUCCGAAGAGUAAUACCCUACGUCCUGUAUGCUGGUUUGUAUUGCUUGAGAUUGAUAUGAUUGUUGGGAUACCCUUGGGGGUGCCCUUGGCCGCUUUAUAUAGGCUGACGAUCAAGAGUUACAAGUCAGUUUGAAUCUAAUCUACUCGAUAGUUACAUGGAAAGUAAUCUGAGUAGGACUAUAAUACGCGUUCCAUGAUAUUCGGCAUGUUUGAAUUGUCUUGUUGCUUUGACGUGCACUCCAAGUAACUUCAUGUCCUCAGCCCGUACGCCUUGGUCGAGUGGGCCCUACUUGUCAGGUAUGACCAGUAUCCUGAGGUACCCAUAUCUCUCACCUUGGUGCUCCGGCGAUUAGGGUCGGCAACGAGGAUGGGGAUUGGAAGAGGAGAUCGAGGGGACUUUAUGGAGAUGCUUACCGGCGGCGAGGUGGACGGAUUCCGGCUAGAAUUUGGCUGGCGGUGGAAGAACACGGCAACUGGCUCAGGUCUUCGCGAGUGAUGGUACUCCGGCGGUGGAGCGGCGACGAAGAAUGGUGGCAGAGCUGCUCCUCGAUGUCACGGAGCUCCCUAAGGCUCUAGCUUUCUUCGAUAGUCGACGGGCAUAGUGAAUCGGCCAGAGAAGGCUAGCAGCAGCUCCUAGCUCCGGCGGAUGUGGGGGAUGGCGGCGCUCGUGCAAGUAGGGAAGAGCGGCGGUGUGAGGCAGGGCAGUAGCAGGGGCACUGUCUCGACUUUUAUAGGUGUGUGGGUCCGCGCCUGCCUUGGCACGCACGCCGAGGUUCGGCGGUGGCGACGCCCAAGUGCAGCUACGCUUGGCCUUGACCCGCUAGUGGCCGAUGGGCCUAGCGAGCCUAGCCGAGCCAUCAGCUGGGCCGAGUCGGUGCAGGUUGGCUGGAGAGGGUCGGGCUACAAAGACUUGGCCCGAUCGAUUAGGAUUUUGCUUUUUUAGAAAUGAUUUCUCAUGAAAGAAAAAUCUAGAAAAAUUCUAGAUAAUUAAUUUAAAUAACGAAAAAAACCCUAAAAAUCCAAAAUUCCAGGAAAAAUCCUAGAGAUAGUUUGGGACAUGAGGAGUCCAAAUAAAAUACUUGGAGCUCAUGAAAAGGAUUCUAGAACCUUCCAAAAAUUGGAUUUAGCUAUAGAAAAAAUGAGAAUAAAUCUCAAAAAAUCUGGAAAUUCUCAUAAGAACCUAAUCGGCAUCUAAACGCAUUCCAAAAUAUUUGCACUUAUGAAAUACCAAGAUGCAUCGGUAUGAAUGCAACACAUACGGAGAACCAUUAUAUUUAAUUCAGAAAAACACUCAAUUAUUUCCCUAUACUAAAUUUCCUGUCAAGAAAAUAAAUGUUGGAAAAAUUUUAAAAUUAUGAGAAAAACAUUGUUUAAUUAUUAUUUUUAAUCUGAAAGUUCAAAAAUUUUAAGGUGUGGCAGAUACCCUCAGGUUUACAGAAUUUGACAUCCAUGUGCAAAUUGGAUGUAUCCUUCAAUGAUCUGCAAGGUGAAGUGCCAAUAGGGCUUUUUUUUUGCAAAUGCAUCUUACAUGUCGGUUUAUGGAAAUGAUCAGCUUUGUGGUGGAAUACGUCAACUUCAUUUAGCUCCAUUCUCCAUGUCCAGUGCAAAAAAGAAAAAAAAGGAAAUUUGUCGAAAACCCUUGUGAUCACCCUAACAUCAAUCAGUGCAGUUGUAUUCUCAGUUUCAGUACUUGCUGUAAUUGUGUUGAUCUGUAAGAAGCUUAGGAAAAGGCAUGAAAGUCAACUCAUAUCCACAACUGAGGAACGGUAUGAAAGAGUUUCUUAUCAUGCUUUGUCAAAUGGGACCAAUGGAUUUUCAGAGGACAAUUUACUUGGACAAGGAAGCUAUGGCAUGGUUUAUAAAUGUACUUUACAUGACCAGGGUACUACUGUAGCUGUAAAGGUGUUUAACAUAGAACAAUCUGGGACUUUUAGAAGUUUUGUCGCUGAAUGCGAGGCACUCAGAAGGGUGCAUCACCGUUGUCUCGUAAAGAUCAUCACUUGUUGCUCAAGCAUCAAUCACCGGGGUCAAGAGUUCAAGGCACUAGUUUUUGAGCUCAUGCCAAAAGGUAGCCUAAAUGGUUGGCUUCACGCAGAGUCUGACACACUUACCCCGACAGAUACUCUGAGCCUUGAACAAAGGCUACACAUUGCUGUCGAUAUCAUGGAUGCUUUGGACUAUCUUGAUAAUCACUGUCAGCCAUCAAUCAUUCAUUGCGAUCUCAAGCCAAGCAACAUCUUUCUUGCGGAAGACAUGAGUGAGUGCCCGAGUUGGAGGUUUUGGCAUAUCAAGAAUCCUUCCAGAAAGUGCUAGUAAAACCCAGCAAAAUUCGAAUAGCACAACUGGAAUAAGAGGCACCAUUGGUUAUGUUGCACCAGGUAAUGAAAGAGAUGGUUUUGGUAUUUGAAAAAUGUUCUUAGUUCUUAUGUAUACAUGAGCUGCUGACCUUUGGCUUUUUUUUUUCCAAUAAGAGUAUGGUGAAGGUUCUUCUGUCUCAACUCAAGGUGACGUUUAUAGCCUCGGCAUAUUGCUGCUUGAGAUGUUUACUGGAAGGAGCCCAACGGAUGAGAUAUUCAAUGAUUCUUUGGAUUUGCACAAGUUUUCAGAGAAUGCUCUUCCAGAGAGAAUAUGGGAUAUAGUUGAUCCGACAAUAUGGAUGCACACAGAUGCCUAUAACAGCACUAUAAGAAGUGGAAUUAAGAAUUGCUUGGUUUCUGUUGUUUCUCUUGGAAUAUCAUGCUCGAAGAAACAACCUAGGGAGCGGAUCCCGAUUCAGGAUGCAGCCAUUGAGAUGCACGCUAUUAGAGAUUCGUAUCUCAAGUUUGCCAGAUCUCUUUUGGUGGAGCAUGGAGUAGUAGCAACAACUCACAGUGAUUUCCCACAACAGUGAAUACAUAGGACUGAAAAUGGGCAAGAUGUCUGCAGGUGAUCAGUUUACCUGAAAUAACUGAAGAUGUAUGAAGCUUCAGCUUUAUAAUUCGUCCUUGCAUUUGUUUGCAUCAGAUAUAUGGAAGUAUAAAAUAAGUUUAGAAAAUGUUUCAAAAUAGAUUAGAUCAAGAGGUUUUACUUGUCGUCUGUAUGACACAUUUUUUGUAGAGAAUUCAGUAAUAUGUAUGAUUCAUAAUACAAUCAAUGCUCUGCAAAUUUCAGAUAGCACAAUUGGAAUAAAAAGCUCAUUCAUUGAUUAUGUUGCUCUAGGUGACUCAACUUAUUGUGAUGUUCACUGUAGAUUUCUCCAUGGUCCAAACGACCAUUGUGAUCAGUUAUGUUUAUGCAUUUUGUAGACUUGUUAAGUCUUUCCCUAACUUGCUGACAUAUCAGCCGGAGCAGAGCACUCUGCCAUUCUGCGCCACUCGCCUCUAGGCGGCGCUUGCCGCUUGGUGGCUGCGGUGGCGACCGGCGGCAUCCGUACCUGCUCUGUCGGAGGCUGAGGGGCACAAUUACGUCUUGGAGUCGCCACCGCGCGACCUUCGGAGCUCGCCCAUGCCUCGUCGGUACGAGCUCAGUCGCGCGGUGAAUGGCAUGCGCAUCUGGGGUCCCGUCAGCUGCAGGUGCAGAUGGGUAGAGAGCUUAGCUGCGCUAGGUCUUCAGAAGAUGUUGAGUGGGCUGGAUGGGGCUUUGCGGCUCUGAAUGGCGACGCGGGCAGGACGACGACGCUGGACGCGUGGGGAGGAGACGACCUGAACCAGGGGCAUUUCGGAUAAUAGUCGGAUCGCGAUCAAUAAUCGCAAUCCAAAUUAGGGGGCUAUUUACAAAUAAUAGGGGGUAUUCCGUAAAUAUUCGGUUCGCGAUCAUUAAUCGCGAUCCAAAUGAGGGGUUAAUUGAAAAUAUGAUGGGGGUGUCUUUUGAAAUUCCGGAUUGCGAUCCCAUCCUCCGCCGCGGCUCGCCGGAGCGCCGCCAGACGCCGGCCGUCCCUUGGGGUACCUCUUCUUCGUUCCGUCUGUCGGAGCCCUAAGACGCGGUCGGUGUUUUAUCUGACAAGGAACCCUGAAGUCCGAACUAACUGAAGAAAGACAUGAUGCUGACCUGGAAGAAGAAGACGGCCUCGCCAUGGCCGGAUGCGGCGCGGUGGAAGGACAGUGUGUUGGCGGAGCGGAUGUUGUCCGACGUGAACUCGCCAGCGGCGUGGUCCACCACAUUCCGUCGACGGGCGGUGCACUUGCUGUCGCCUGUCGGCUACUUCCAGGCAGUAGCUGAGCUUCAGAGUUCAGACAGGGUGCUUGUGCUUGCAACAAGUUCAGAACGAUGUCAUUGCUUUGAUGCAGAGGAUGGAGCAAACCGGUUGCAAAUUGGAUUCUGAUACAUAUAACUUAAUAUUGAACCUUUAUGUCGAUUGGAAAUAUGAGAAGGGGUGCCCCAAAUAUGGGAUGAGAUGGAGAGGAGUGGAUCAGGCCCAGAUCAACGAUCAUUUACUAUUAUGGUUCAUGGUCUUCAUUCCCAAGGAAAGCUUGAUGAGGCUCAACAAUGAAGUCAAGAGGGUUGAUCCCUGAACCAAGGACCAAGAUACUGGUGAAAGCUAUACAUAUGAAGAAAGAUGGGGCUGUCACAGAAGAUCAGUCUGUAAAUAUGACAGGGAAGAAUCUAAAACUGGAUCCACGAUCUAGACUAUUCCAUGUUCAUAAAUAGUUUGCUGUCAGAUCUUACUUCUAUAACCUGAACAGAGGAUUGCUGGGCACGUAUUAUGUGUCAAAAGAAUCUCUUCUACCAGUGUCCUGAUCACAAUGGCCACACCUUGGGCUACAAUAAAUCAUCAGCAAAGUGUGUUGGCAUUAUGUAUCCCAGAAAGUUUUGCUCAGACUUUCAAUGCCAGGGUAUGUUUUUUAUGUCUGAUAUGGAUCAAUUAUAUUGCAAGUACUGUAUUACACCCUCGUAUUAUGAAGGUUAUGUGAAAUAUGACAGAUGUUUGUUUAUUCAUUUGUUAUGCAUGGCUGUGUCUACUAUCUAGUUGUUGGCUUGUUGCCAACAUAUGCAGCAGCAGGUAGCUUCAGCCGCUCAGAAGCCCAAAUGAAGAAUGGUCCAGGCAGAAUAGCUAGUCUAGACCCAGAAAGCUUAGGACAUGUCUUGCCAGCCUGCAGUUUUGUACUCGUAGCACCAACCAUCUCCGGGUUCUGGCCGGUUAUAUACAUGGUCUGGAAUGGGCAUCCGCUGAUCGAUUGAAACCUUGAACUGCUUCCGUGUUUGUCUUUUACCAUCUAUAUAGUAUGGUUAGUCAACGGCAUGCAAUACACCCAUGCAUAUGAUUGCAGUAGGAUGACAUGGCGUGACCAGAACCCUUCUUUUGCCAGUUUUUUAUUCUUAUACACGGCCAACAACAGGGAGUUGCCGAUUGCAAUACACCCAUGCUACUAACGCAGCAGGGAGUUGCAUGCUAAGCAGUUCAGCGUAGGUGGUGAGUUCUCAACUCUGAUAUGGUUUAUGGAAGAACACUGUCACGGUGUCACCUAGCCGGUUGGAGGCCAACCUCUUACUAGGGACAGCAAUGGCCCUGUCCACUGUUUCGUGGCUGGUAUUAUUACCCCUAUGCAGUGAAUAUGACAUGUGGAUCUAUGUGUAUAUUAUGUCGCCAGAAGAACAUUAUAUGAACCGUUGAGCCACCUUUGAUUCUAUUAAUGUGUCAUGGUCAAUUGAUGUCAAACUCUAUUAUCUUCAAGUCUUAUUGUAUUGAUAAAAUCACGAUGCUGCUACUGCCAUUUUGAUGUUUAUAAAAGGGUAUUGAGAACCUGGUGGGUAUCCAUUCGAUGCGCAGGGGUGAGGGUGGGGAAAAAUGAGUGUAAAGGACAGGGAUACAGUAUUUAGAAAGAUGGGGCUGCCACAGAAGAUAGUCUCCAAGUACGGCAGGGAAGAAUCUAAAAACUGAUUCCUUGAUCAAGACUGUCCCGUAUUCAUAAAUAGUUCACUGACAGAUCUUGCUUCCAUAUUCUGAACAGCUGAUGCUGGGUACAUAGGAGGUUAACCGGUCAGCGGAUCGAAGGAAAAAAAAAUCUUGCCUGUCAGUGUCCACAAUGGCCUCAUCUUGGGUUAGAGACAAUCAUCCCUAAAGAAUCAUAUUGCCGGAUAAGGUUAUCAGUGAUUGGUAGGUGCAGAUCCAUGCUCAUCCUAGAAACAAGCCAGGGCUGAAUGCGCCACUCAUUUUAGGUGCUUGGAUGUUGUGACCGAAAUGAUCGUGUGUUUAAUGGAGUUUCCCAUAGUGACUAGCGUACAGGCUGUCCUCGUAUUCGAGAAAAAAAAUAAUGGGCGAAAUGUUUUCACCCAGGUAAUUGUUGCAUUGUAUGAAUAGGCUUAGUGGUUGGUGGGUGCAGAGUAUGAAUGUGCUUGUACUGUGACACAAGAAGAUUUAUCAUAUCUAUGUAUGAAUUAGUAUUAAAUCUGCUACAUAAAUAUCUUCUCUUAUCUCAUUGUAUGUGUAUAUAUGACACAGAAGCACAUGUAUAUCAGCAUUGUAGAGAGAGAUGAGAGAGAAGCUUAUCUGCUUUUUGGAGAUAAAUAUUCAAAUUGUGGUGUAUGAGAAGGAUAGAAUUAUUCUAUCAAAUUGUUUAUUCAACAUCUAAAAAGAUUCCAUGUUUAGUCAUCUAUAUCGGCAUUGUAGAGAGAGACUAGUGUUCAACUGGUUGGAAGGAUGAGAGAGAGAGGAGAGAGAGAGGAUGAAUAGUGUUCAGCUGGUUGGAAGGAUGAGAGAGAGAGAGGAGAGUUUCGAUGAUAGAGAGAUUAGUGUUCACCUGGUUGGAAGGAUGAGAGGGAGAUGAGAGAGUUCGGAUGAGGAGGUGGAGAGUUCGGAAGAGAGAGAGGUGAGAGUUCGGAUGAGAGAGAAACAGCUUAGAAGGAUGAGAGAGAGAAAGUGAUAUUUAGCUGGAUGGUGGAGACUUCAUAUAUUACUAACUAGCAAGGUGUCCGUGCGUUGCUACGGUGAAACGACGUUGCUUAGCACGCGAUGUUUUUUAUCGUGUCGUGUAGCGCACCAUAUUUUUUAUCGUGUUGUGUAACUUUUUUAUUUUAGUAGUAUUAGACUUUUCAUAUAUAAAGGGUCACGUGAGUGUGUCCAUAUCCCAACCGUGCGGAAACCGCUUGCCAUCGAACUUGUUAUCUCUUUCUCUAUCUUGAGAUUGGUAUGCUUCUACAGCAAUUCUGCACAAAGAAGGCCCCACUUCGCCCCGUUCCCGCCGUCCGGUUAGUCCCACGCCUACCCUCUCCCUCUCUGAUCCUCGCUGUCGGCUCCUCGAGGUCCAGGUCGGGCUUGUGAUGUAGCGGCCUGUUAUCCUUCCACCAUUGGAAGCGGGUAGUGAUCGCUGCUCUGUGAACCCUGCCUCACGCCGUUCCUACCACUCCAGGUCCAGUGAAGCCUGAGCUUUCGCUUGGACAAACAGCCACUACCAACUUGGAACGGGCAGGGCCAGCAAGGGCAUACAAUGGACCCAAGCCCUCCGCACCCAAACAUCCACACCACUUUAAUGCCUCCACUUGGGUUACAAGCCCGCGCAACCAAGCUCGGUGAGGAUGACUCGUGAGGAUGAACAUUUAAGUUGGUGUGGCGCUGCUUCAGAUGGCGAGGUGGUACUAAUCUAAGGAAUAGGAAAAUUUCACAUGGGUCCCACACCGCACCCAGCCCUAUCCUUAUCCUUUCUCAUCUCUCUAUCGUCCGUCCGGUCCUUAUCCUCUUCAUCUCAUCUCUCUCUCUCUCCCUAUCUCUCUCUCAAACUCUCUAUCUCGCCUACCCCCUCUUUCUCUGGAGAAGGCGGUGCACGGCUGGCCCCAGUGAUGGCCUGGGGGCGCGGGGUGCCAAUAGCGGCCGAGGGUUGUAGGGCUGCGGCGAGGAGCCUCCCAGCCGUGGAUGCGACGGCCUAGCCAUGGGCACCGGGCAGGCGGCUCUGGCACGACCGGCUGGGGCGGGCAGGGAGAGGCGAACAGCAGUGCUACGACGUCACGAAGAGGCGGACGUCGGGCAUGGGCGGGUGAAAGGGGAGACGGGGAAAGAAAGCUAGACCCACCUAUCAAUGCGUUAAUCUUACCUAUUAUUAAACAUCAGGGCCACCUCUCGUUGAUAGAAGUUGGACCAAACAAGAAAAAGUGGGCAGAAGUGUUCCUCACUUUAAUAAUAAUAAUAAUAAAGUAUAGAUAAUGCAUCCAAACAACAUUCGAAAUUUAAUUUUAAAAAAAACUUUCUCGGUACAUCCAAACAAGAAAAUUCAAUUGAAUUAAAUUCUACUAAAUCCAUUUCUUAUGGAAUCUAAUAGCUAGAAUAUGAUUCAUGGGAUGAGUUUCAACUCUAGGGAUCUAAACAUGCCCUUAGUUAUUUCUUAUGUAGCUCAAAUCAGAUGCAAGGUAUGUCCUAACUAAAAAACGUAAGUUACUUUGUGUUAUCUCGUGAAUCAGUGAUUAAUUACUUCCGAUCACUAGUAGAGAAUUGGCUUUCGAUGCGCCCCCUUUUGUCCCGGUUUAAAGUUGGCCCGGGACAAAAGGUUCACCAACCGAGACUAAAGCUCGGUCACUGGUGGGGGGCUCACCAACCAGGACCUUUUAUCCCGGUUGGAAAGGCUAGUGGGAAAAAAAGAUCAUGAGAGGCUUUUUAUCCCGGUUUGAAACACCAACCGGGAUAAAAGACCCAUCUAACUAUAUAGGGGAUGUUACCAACCAGGAUAAAAAGGGUCGAGAGCCUUUUAUCCCGGUUUGUAAUACCAACUGGGAUAAAAGGGGGUCAUUUAUCCCGGUUGGUGUUUCAAACCGGGAUAAAAGGGUCCCAACGAGGUGACUGAAACAUGACUAAAUCCUGAACCCUUUUAUCCCGGUUUGUAAUACCAACCGGGAUAAAAGGGGGUCUUUUAUCCCGGUUGGUGUUUCCAACCGGGAUAAAAGGGUCCCCCACAAGUUAAUACAAAACGAUAACAUCCCCUAUAUAGUUAGAUGUGGUGUGUAGGUGGGAUGGCAAGGAAGCUACGCGCGAGGCUGGAGGUUGUGGGUUCGAAUCCCAUGCAGCGCGCACGCGCAUAUUUCGCGUGGAAAAUCGCGUGACUUGCGACGCGCGUGUGGGGGGCCUCCUGGGAGCUCGGAAUUUCUUUUUUUUGUUUUAUCCCGGAUGGAUUUUCGGAAGAUUUGCACCCUACCAAUCGGGACUAAAGGUCAAUUCUCUACUAGUGAAUCUUAUGUAAAAAGAACUACGAGUUAAAUUCUUUGUCAGAUUUAUACUGACAAGUUACAAGCACAUGCCUCUGCAGUAACAGGCCAGCCCUAGACUAGCGGGCAAACAAAAACAACAUGAUUCGUCAACUGAUCGAAUGUUAAUGACUAUUUUGCUAGGAGAAUGAACAUGAUUCAUAAAAAAAGGGGAGCUACUAACUUGGUCAAGGUCUCCGUCCUCUAGCGUGGCGAAGGGGCCAUCUUGCUCCACUCCACGUCUGCGUGGUUGCUAGGUGGGCGCGACGGCGGCUGCGGAGUGCGGACGGGCGCGUAGAUGUGUCAUUGUUGAUCAGGACAUGCGCUUCUAUCACCGUCUGUGGUUGGCGUCCGCGGCCGAGCGGGUCAAGGUCUCCGUCCUCUAGCGUGGGGAAACAGGAUCUCUUCAAUCAGUGCUUCUACAGAAACGGUGCACGGUCACCACGGACCAACGACAUACCAUGAGAAAAGCGGAGCUAAAUGUUGCAGUAGCAGAGUAACCGGAGACUGGAGAGCACUUGCUGCUAAAAGCUGCCUCUUAUUUUGUAUCGUCUUUAACAGAAGACUUUAAGUCAACCGCCAUUCGAUUCCAAUAUAAACUAGCAAGUUGGCCCGCGAUGAUAGCACGGCUAGAUUUGAUACAAUAUAACUUUUUUAAAUGCUAUGUUAGCUUAGUAUAUUUCUUCGUCCCUCUUGAUUUGUUUUUCAUCCUCUUGAAAUCACUUAGUAUACUUAGGUGCCUUACUCUACACAUUGAGUAUCAAGCCAUAUGUGUAUAUUUGUUUUUUUUUGCAAAUGAACUCCGAUGCCACAUGUGCAUAUGCACGCCUAAUUAAAAUUGCUCACUUGUAACAAAAUAACAAGAGUAGUUGAUUCUGAUCUUAUGUUGCAGUUUUUGCCAACUUUUCCUAGUAUUAUUGUGUUGAGUAGAAAGCCUGUGUAGAAAAAGAUACAAAACAAACAAUCGUGUUAACUACUCCCCAUACUUGCUCAAAUGAUUUUGAAAAAUAAAAACAACCGCGCUCUAAGUCCUAGGUGGUGAUAUUCCUCCUUACUUUCCUCCUCUCGUUUUCCUUGCACAAUCGAGGAUGACAAAUACCACAAACCACUUAGGCUCGAUCAUGUUUCAUCAUCACAUUCCUCAAAUCUUGAUCACGUUGUUGUCUUCAUUAUGCUAGCAGUACACAUCUCUCCGCCUCUUCUCACUGGUAGAGAAUUGGCCUUUAGUCCCGGUUGAUAGGGUGCAUAUCUCUCGGAUAUCCAUCCGGGAUAAACCAACCGGGACAAAAGGGAGGGUCUUUAGUCCCGGGUCUUUUAACCGGGAGUAAAGGUCCUCCUUUAUUUCCCAACCGAGACUAAAGGGUUACCCUUUAGUCCCGGCUGGAUUCCAACCAGGAGUCCCGGCUGGAUUCCAACCGGGACUAAAUGGCGCCUGCAUGGCACUGCCGUGGCGCCUGAAUUUUUCAUGCAUGCAUCACGUACGUAGUACCGCGACCCUUUUAAUUUGUUAAACUUUAGUAGUUGAGAUUUUUUUAGAACGAAAUCAACUAGUAUUUAAACGAAUGGGAUUUGUAAUUAUACAAUUACUAUAUAUGUACACAAUCCUUAUACACAAUUCAUAUACACAAUUCAACUAGCUUAGUACAAAUUGAUCAUAAUUAGCGCGUAUUAUAUAUACAAAUAAAUCAAAGUAUCUGUCUACAAUCUUCCCGUCGUGGUGUUGCUGAUCGGAGUGUCUAAUUGUCGUCCAUCGUAAUAAAAUUCUCCUUUUGGAUUUACCACCUUGUCCAUUAUGAAUCCAAUGAGACUUUCACAUAUUGCCGCUACUCUUUCUUCCUUCAAGAGUCCUUGUUGAAUAUUUAACAUCUAUAAUUUGGAAAUUUUUGAAUGUUACACGAACAAAUACAUAUAAGGAGCUAGAAAAUAAUUAACUAGUAAUAGUUUUAUUUUACGUACUUUAAAGUUGUGCGGCGUCAUCUUCGGUCCCUUGGGUCCCAUAAAACUGUGCAUGUGCUCACAGAUGUAGUAGCCACAUAGAUUAUUUCCGGGUUCCUGUCUUAAGCACUUCAGUGCGGAAAAAAAUAAGUUAUGAAAUAUUCGUAUUAUACAAUGUAAUAAAUGUGCAGACUUCAUACGUACCGGGAAGUCUGUGUUCCAUGUAAGUUUUUCUUUGAAUGGACCUUUGUGUGUCCUUAUGAAUUGUUUCCAUGCGCUGCAGAUUAGAAUAAUGAAUGAUAUAGUGUAACAGGAAUAAAAUUUAGGAAAUAAACUUUUGCAUAUAGAUAAAGGUACAGAAUUAUUACAAGCCUAGCAUGUCUUGCACUUCUUGGUAGUCCACCGGAUCUUUCCUUAACGAAUCGAAGACAGUGACGUGGCUUCUUUCAGGCUCAAUUAUAAUAAGAAUCCAGUGGAAGCUGCGUGCGUAAAAUGUUCAUGCAUAUUAGAGCUAACUAACAUGUAGAGAUAAGGAAAAAGACAUCGAAAGUAGACGGUAUACACACACUUACUUGAAGUUGUAUGGAAGUAGUAUGAAAUCCUUGAAUGUUUGUUUGUCUAGGAAAUUGUAUAUUUCCGCAAAGGUUUUUUCCGGUGCUAAUUGUGUCUGUUGUUGGUUAACUACAGAUGGAUCCAUGAAGCCUACAUGUAGGUACGCCUCUCGGCGGCAUGUCUGAAUUAGCAUCCUACAUGAAAUGGAAGAUGAAGUUAGUACGGUGACGCAUGCCAAAAUUUACAUGUAGAGAUAAACGGACACUUACAGAACCUAAGCGCUGAUCAGAGAGACGUCCAGGGCAUCAUGAUGGUACACUUCGUAUAUAUCCUUGAAGUCUAGCCACAGCACUUUCUCCCCUUCACCGUGAAAAUCUAUCGGUUUUACCUUCAUGCCGAUCAUCUCCCUCGAGUCGGCGGAUGCCAUCAUGUACCAUUGAUGGAAUGCGUACAUCUUUGUUGAUAGCUUCCGUACCAAUGAAGGCUUUACUAGAGGUUUGCCUAGCUCAUAAGGCCAUCUCAGCUCAGGGGGCGGUGCAGUUGGCGUCUCAACUUGCCCUAUGCAUUCAUCAAGUCCCAGACCUGUUUCUUCCAUGAACUUCAAUACAUUUGCUUGUUGAUCCAAGGGCAUUGCUUUUACCCGUUGAGCAUCUUUUUUUGAUAAAUGGCUGAGGUCGGGGACUGGACCGCUGGAAGAUGACUUUCCUUUCCUUUUAUCCUUUUCAUCAGCCUUUACUAGAGCCCGUUCAUAGUUUGACAAGAGUGGUAUCCUUUUCUUGGCUCCUUCUUCUAUCCUGAUAAAAAAGUUUAAAUCUCGCCGACUUACUGGCGGUGGCUCCAUCUCCCUUACUUUUUUUUCUUCGGCUUGUUUCUUGAACCACUCACUGGCCUCUCGUUGGAUUUCUGCCCACUGUUCCGCAUGAGACAUUGCCUCCCAGCGUUCCUUACGAGUCACUUCAGGCUCCUUUGUUUUCUUCUUUCUCUGUCUUUGCUUGGGAGGCGGUGCUCGUGACUUCUUUAGUGGUGGUGCAGGUUCCUUCAAGGGGGCCGCUCUUGGUGCCGGCGACGGUGAUCGGGGAGGGGUGUUGUUAUUGUCGUCGUCGCUCCCAGCACCAGGAUGUAGUGGAGAUGGAGACCUUGAUAUAGAUGGAAGGGACGGUCCUGGAGCAGGAGAUGACGGUCUCGAGGUAUGAGGAGAAGGUCGCUGCUGGGGAUCUACGGGGAGCGGUCUUAAGGUCUGAGGAGAUGGCUCCGUGCUGGGAAUAAUGAUGUAGCGUUUUUGCCAUAGAAUAAUCCCAUGAAGCGCAUCUGCCAAUGUCUUUUCCCCGUCGCCUCCCGGGAAGUCGAGCUCUAGACCUUCAUACUAGGGAUCAACUAUUUGCUCUACGCAGACGCUGGCGUAGCCUGUUGGAAUUUCCAUGCCAUGACUGCUCUGCCCCGCCAGGGUUGCUAACGCACUCCCGUACGCUACCUGUACAUAUAGCAGAAGUAAACAAGUUGAACUCCGAUCUCGAGGCCUGGAUCAAUUGACAAGAUUGCAUAAAUAUUAUGUAUAAGUAUACCUUAAUAGUGAGGUUGCCGACCGGUGCAUGCAGCUCACAUGAGGUCCGUUGUGUGAUGGCAUCCACGGGGAACCGUUGCUCCUCCACGGGUAACCUGGGCGUCUGCGCAUCGGGGACCCCUGUAGAAGCACAACUGCUCAAGAGGCGUUGAGAAGGGCUGGCGGUGUUAGGAAUCGGCAAUGCUCCAGAUUGGGCCAACUCCGCAACUGCGUGGGCCACCCGCCGAUUGGUUUCAUCCAUCAUUCUUUGUUCUUGUGCCUGCACUUUAGAUUCUAGCAUCUGCCGCCAGCUCUCCUCGAUCUGUUCCUUUCUUCGCUUCCGGCUUCUGUACGAGGUGCUGUCGCCUCGGAAAGCAAACUUCCACGGAACCACCCCGAACCCUCGGCAACGUCCUGGGUGUUCUGGAUUACCGAGGGCCAAUGUGAGCUCAUCAUUUUCUCGGUCCACCUUCAACCUCCCAGCCUUAGAAUCUUCAAUGUUCUUCAUGAGAUGUUCGGCCUUCUCACGUAUUGUGUCAUUAAAAAUCAACGUCCCAUCCUCUUGGCUUAGGGAGCCUCCAUGAGCGUAGUACCAAUUUUUUGAUCGUUCGGGCCAUUCAAUAGUUGCAGGUACGAUUCCCCGUUCGAUCAGAUCUUGUUCCAUCUUCCUCCACUUGGGAAUUGCUGAGCCAUACCCACCUCGCCCCAAAUGAUGGUGGUAGCCCUUCUGACUAGCAUUUGCUGUGUUGGUCGUGAUCUUUUUCACACCGUCUUCACUCCUCUUAUAUUCAACAAAUGCAUCCCAGUGGUCCCUCAACUUUGGCCACGCGUUGAAGUCUAGAGUUCGGCCCUUCUUGAUGUAGUGGGUAUCCAGCAUCUUCUUGAAUGUCUGGAAUUGAGUAGCCAUCUUCUUAAGCGUCCACGCUUUGACAUCCUUCUCACUAUAUCCUUCGGGGAAUGUGAAAUGUCUCUUCACGUCUUCCCACAGCAUAUUCUUUUCUGUCUCCGGAAGGGCGUACGGAUUAGUGCUUCUGCCCUUCCAUUCUCUGAUGCUGAUAGGCACGUUGUCCCGGACGAUUGCCCCGAUCUGACUCACGUACUUCUUUGCUACUUUCUCGGGAGCAACCGGCCUGCCCUCUUCUGUCACUUCCGUGAUGACAAGCCUCCCUUCCAUCACCUUUGUACAACCUUGGGUCUUCUGCCCUUGUGUCGAUCCGGAGGGCUAACAUUUUAAGAUUCGUUAAUUAGUACGUAGUAGUAACAGUGGCGUGAAACAAUACAAGAAUGGUUAUAUAUACCUCGCCGGAACCUUCCGCCACGGCAAGUUGUUGCUGCGGCUAAUGCUCUUCAUUCCCAUCGGUGGACAUGUUGAGGAACAUGUCCGCCUGGGUGCCCUCUUCAUCCGUGUAUGAUAGUGGAACGUUCUCGCCACUACCAUCACCAGCGAUUAUCUGCUCCAUGAUAUACCUUGCGGUCUCAUUGUCUGCCAUUUCAACUAUUGAUGGAAACAUACAUGGAAUCAUACAUGACAGUCAUAGAAAUCGUCUUACUACAAAUUUCUACAAAGUCCUACAAAGUCCGGAAUCAUACAUGUAUAUAAUGAAAUCAUAAAAUAACAUGAAUCCUACAAAGUCCGGAAUAUUUCUACGAAUUUCUACGAAUUUCUACGAAUUUCUACGUUCUAUGAAUUUCUACGAAUUUCUACGAAUAUCCACAUGCGGUGCCUAGGUUGUGACGGCGGCGAUCAGGGCGGCGGAGGCGGGGACGGUUCCCUGGAACCACGGGCGGUGCCUAGGUUGUGACGGCGGCGGUCAGGGCGGCGGUACGGCGGAGGCGGGGACGGUUCCCCGGAACCACGGGCGGUGCCUACUAGGUUGUGACGGCGGCGAUCACGGCGGCGGGACGGCGGAGGGGACACAUAUACAAAAAUAUAACUUAAAAAAAAUCUAACUUAAAAAAAAAUCUAACUUAAAAAUCUAACUUAAAAAUCUAACUUAACAAUCUAACUAAAAAAUCUAACUUAAAAAUAUAACUUAAUUUUCUAACUUAACAAUCAAAAUUAAAAAUCUAUCAUAAAAAUAUAACUUAAUUUUCUAACUUAAAAAAAAAGCCCUCCCAAUGCUGCCGGCCGGCGCGGCGGCGGACCUCUCGCGCGCGGUCGUCGACGGUGGCCGGGGCGACGAGGGGGCCGGGCGGCGGGACGGCGGCGGCCGGUGCGGCGAGGACGGCGGCCGAGGCGACGACGACGGCGGCGGCGUAGGCGGGACGGCGGCGGCGUAGGCGGGACGGCGACGAGGGGCGACGAGGCGGUGACGAGGAUGGAGGCGGUGACGAGGAUGGAGCCGGCGACGAGGAUGGAGCCGGUGGCCGGAGGCGACGAGGUGGGGGCCGGGCGCGUCGACGGACGAGGAGGAUCGAGGCGGGCCGGCCGGGGGGAUGGAGGACGACGAUGUCUGGGCGCGAUCGGCGGCAGGACGACGACAAACGGCGCAAUGGGGGAUGACGACGGCGGCGGCCGGCGAGGGAGGCGGACGGGCGGCGACGGCGGAGCAGAACGCGUGGAACUUGGCGAAAAUUUUGCUAAGUGUAACUGGCGGGGGGUAGAAGGGAGUACAGUGCCUUUUAAACCCCCCCCUUAUCCCGGUUCGUAAUGGUACCCGGGACAAAAGGGUGCCCCCGCCAGGUGGGGCUGGGAGCGUACCCUUUUAUCCCGGGUGCCACCACCAACCGGGAUAAAAGGGGGGGGGCCUUUUAUCCCGGUUGCAGUUGGCAACCGGGAUAAAAGGGUACGUCCGGGCGGGAGACGAAAAGUACCCUUUUAUCCCGGUUGCCGUUUGCAACCGGGAUAAGCAACCGGGAUAAAAGGGGGCCUUUUGUCCCGGUUGCUGUUAGCACCCGAGACAAAAGGUCUUUUUUCCUAGUUUUCUUCUCCCGCCUGUUUUUUGAAAUGGAUUUUAUUUUAUCUUUUCACUACAUUUCAGGAUGAAAAACAAAACCUUCACAGAUUUUGUACAUGCAAAAAUAUAUUUAAUUAACAAGUAAAUUGACAAUAAGUAUGAAUUAAUCAUUAAUUCUAUACCAGUUCAUUUAGCCUCUAAAAUAUUUAUUUUACUGCGUUGCUGUGAUUAAGAAAUUAUUCAAUUAAAUAAUUUCAAUGCGUAGAAAAAUCCAUGUUUGUAUGUGGUUAACAUUGUUCAUGUUUAUCUAAAAAAUCUUCACCUAACAAAUUUAAGAACACAUGAAAUCAUACAUAGGGUAAAAUUACAAAUUGUAUCGAUUAAUACACAAAGGUCAUGUACAUUUAACGCAUUACAAUACAACGUUGUAAAAUUUCUUCUUCACGAAAGUUCCUUGAUCAUGAUCGCGACGUAAGUACGGAGCCUCUUCUUUGGAUAGCAGGAUGCUUGGAUCAACUUCAACAGCGAAUGGAGGCAUGCCAUCAAACUGAUCAUAAUCAUCUGAUUGGUCUGUUUUAUCCUCGACUCCCACGAUUUUUCUUUUACCUGGAAGAACUAUGUGGCACUUUGGCUCCCAUGUCUCUUCUGGAUUCCUCUUGGGUUUGCUGCACAUGUCCUUCACAUAGAACACCUGAUCCACAUCAUUGGCAAGUACGAAUGGGUCAUCACUGUAUCCAGUCUUGCUCAGAUCUACUAUUGUCAUUCCAUACUGAUCUUUGGUGACGGUAGUUAGCUUCACCCAAUUGCAAAGAAAUAGAGGGAUGUACAGCGGUCCGUAUUCGAGUUCCCAUAUCUCCUGUAUGAAACCAUAAUACGACUCCUUGCUAUUAUUUCUGUCCAUGGCAUCUAUGCGGACACCACUAUUCUGGUUUGUGCUUUUCUGGUCCUGGGCUCUCGUGUAAAAUGUGUAACCAUUUAUCUCAUAGCCUUGGAAUUUGACGAUUGUGCUAGCAGGUCCCCUGGCUAACUAGGCAAGCUGUGGGUGAAUCUCAGAGUUAUCCAUAAGUUGUUGGCGCAACCAGGAGGGAAAAGUUUCCAUGUGAUGACGGGUAAGCCAAGCAUCGGAUUUGGUCGGGUUUUUUGAAGCUACUAUCUGUCUGUGCUGCUCGAUAUACGGAGACACAAAGGAUGACUGUUGUAGAACAGUGUAGUGUGCCUUGUCGAACAAAUCAGUAUCAUUGCUCAAACUUGAUUUCCUUCCAAGGGUGCCCAUUCCUCGGAGCCUCCCCUCGUGGCGUGAAGUUGGAACCCCAAUCGAGUCAAUUGAAUCAAUAAAAUCAACACAAAACUCGAUCACCUCCUCUGUUCCAUAUCCCUUGGCGAUGCUGCCUUCUGGACGGGCACGAUUAAGAACAUAGUUUUUUAGGACUGCUAUGAACCUCUCGAAAGGCCACAUAUUGUGCAGGUAUACAGGUCCGAGAAUACCAAUCUCUUUUACUAGGUGAACCAGUAAGUGCGUCAUAAUAUUGAAGAAGGAUGGUGGAAAUAACAACUCAAAACUGACAAGACAUUGCACCACAUCGUUCUGUAGCUUUGAUAGCUUGGAUGGAUCGAUUGCCUUCUGCGAAAUCGCAUUGAGAAACGCGCAUAGCUUUACGAGCGGCAACCGGACAUUUUCUGGUAGAACACCCCUCAAUGCAACCGGAAGCAACUGGGUCAUCAACAUGUGGCAGUCAUGAGCCUUGAGAUUUGUUAACUUAUUUUGUUUCAUAUUUAUUAUUCCAUUUAUAUUCGAGGAGUACCCAGACGGGACCUUCAUACUAUUCAAGCAUUCAAACAUGCUAUCCUUCUCUUCCUUGCUGAGAGUGUAACUGGCAGGACGUAAGUAGUGCUGUCCAUUAUCUCUCUUUUCCGGAUUUAGGUCAUCUUGUUGCCCCAUGGCUUUCAGGUCCUGUCGUGCUUCCAAUAUAUCUUUUGAGGUUACAUAAACACCCAUGAAGCCUAGCACGUUCACGCAAAGAUUCUUCGUCAGGUGCAUCACGUCUAUUGCGUUGCGAACCUCUAGGAUUUCCCAAUAAGGUAGCUCCCAAAAUAUUGACUUUUUCUUCCACAUGGGUGCAUGUCCGUUAUCGUCGUUCGGAACAGGUUGGCUACCAAGUCCCUUUCCAAAGACUACAUUUACAUCCUUCAUCAUCUCGAACACACGCUUUCCAUUACGGUGUGCAGGUUUUUUACGAUGGUCUGGCGCCCCUUUGAAAUGCAUCCCGCUCUUUCUCAGCUGGUGGUGAGCAGGGAGAAAUCGACGAUGACCCAUAUAGACGACCUUCUUACAGUGCUUCAAGUACAUGCUGUCUGUGUCAUCUAAACAGUGGGUGCAUGCCCGAUAUCCCUUAUUUGUCUGUUCUGAAAGGUUACUCAAUGCAGGCCAAUCGUUGAUGGUUACGAACAACAAUGCUCGUAGAUUAAAGAUCUCUUGUCUAUCCUCAUCCCACACACGUACACCUUCUUCCUUCCAGAGCUGUAAAAGGUCAUCAACCAACGACCUUAGGUACAAGUCAAUGUCAUUGCCGGGUUGUUUUGGGCCUUGGAUAAGCGCCGGCAUCAUAAUGAACUUCCGCUUCAUGCACAGCCAAGGAGGAAGGUUGAACAUACAAAGGGUCACAGGCCAAGUACUAUGGCCACUACUCAACUCACCGAAUGGAUUGAAUCCAUCAGUGCUUAAACCAAACCUUAUGUUCCUUGCUUCACUUUCAAAGUCUGGGAAUGUUCUAUCAAUUGAUCUCCACUGUGCCCCAUCUGCGGGGUGUCUCAGCAUCUCAUCUUCCUUACGGUCUUCUUUGUGCCAUCGCAUCAACUUAGCAUUCGCCUUGUUCCUGAAUAAGCGCUUCAAGCGUGGUAUUAUAGGGAAAUACCACAUCACCUUCGCGGGAACUCUCUUCUUGGGAGACUGCCCCUCGACAUCACCAGGAUCAUCUCGCCUGAUCUUAUACCGCAGGGCUUCGCAGACGGGACAAGCAUCCAAUUUCUCGUAUUCAUCACCACGAUAGAGGAUACAAUCAUUAGGGCAUGCGUGUAUCUUCUGAACAUCCAAUCCGAGAGGGCAAAUAAUCUGUUUAGCUUCAUAUGUUGUGGACGGUAAUUCAUUAUUCUCGGGGAGAAUCUUCUUGACAAUGUUCAACAUCCCCUGAAAUGCCUUAUCGGACACACUAUUUUUUGUCUUCCAUUGCACAAAUUCUAGUGUCGUACCUAGUUUUUUAUGGCCCUGCUGGCAACCUGGGUACAACAAUUUUUGGUGAUCAUCUAUCAUGCGCUGCAACUUUGCUACUUCCUUCUCAGUUUUGCAAUCUCUGUAUGCAUCUCGUAUCACCUGACGAAGGUCAUCAGUAGGGCCAUUUUCUGCAAACUCAUCUUCAUCAGCCUCGCCCAUUGUAGUACCUACAAAAGCUUGGCCUGCAACCCAGUCCGGAAUGGUGUCAUCUUCCUCCUCCUCCUCGCCAUCUUCCAUUACAACCCCUAGUUCACCGUGCUUGGUCCAAACCAAAUAGUUAGGCAUGAAACCGUAUUUAAACAAGUGGCUGUGAAUAGUCCCCCAGCUUUCCUUUGAAUACUCCUUCCUGUUAUUGCAUUGGAAGCAUGGACACAUACGAACCUAUUCUCUGGCUUGUUCGCUUUUGCCAUUUCGAGAAAAUAUGCAAGCCAUCAAUAAACGUCUUGCUCCGCCUGUCUGCNNNNNNNNNNNNNNNNNNNNNNNNNNNNNNNNNNNNNNNNNNNNNNNNNNNNNNNNNNNNNNNNNNNNNNNNNNNNNNNNNNNNNNNNNNNNNNNNNNNNAACAUAUUGAAGGAGAAGGACAUACCUCCUUCUCGUCGGUAAAUCACGCGGGUUAGCCUCUGAGCCAGGUAUAUUGUCCAGUCGAUGCAGAAGGGAUCACAGUUGUUACCUAAGUCUAGUUUAGCCGCGGAGCUCAGCUUCAACCCGGAUUAAAGGUGAACCACCUUUUAUCCCGGUUGGAGCCUCCAACUGGGAUAAAAGGGUCCCGCCACCAACAGCUCCCCACUAGCCGUUGCAACCGGGACUAAAGGGGGGCCUUUAGUCCCGGUUGCAAUUACCAACCGGGAGUAAAUCUUCCCUCCAUUUUUGCCUACCGUGGCGCACCCCCUUUUGUCCCGGGCCAACUUUAAACCGGGACAAAAGGGGACGGAUCGAAAACCAAUUCUCUACUAGUGUCUAUUCCACAAAACCAUAAUUGUUCACCGGCUCCAGCAUUGCUGUUGCUCUCCACCAAUGGAGGAAGCUCUUGUCCUUGGCACCACCUUAUCCACUGACCAGCUGAAGUUAUCUGUACGUCCUAAGGUCUCAUAAGAUUUUUGAUGAAUUUGCAUUAAUACUAAUAUUGCCACCAAUCUAGUCUCAACCUUGCCUCGUGUUCUCCGUGGUCAUGUUUUAUUCUAACUUGCAAGCCCUACAACUACAUAUGAUGGUUCUUCUAUAUGCAUAAUAUAUCGCAUCUCCUAAGACAUAUCGCGGGCCGGCGGCGCGCGGGGGAGCGGUGCCAGCAGAGCGGAGGCGACCGGCGGUGGGCAGAGGUGGGUGGGUGCGGGUGCGGGCGAAGGCGGAGGAGCAUGUGGGCAGAGGCGGGUGGGCGUGGGCGGAGGCGGAGGCGGAGGCUGGCGUGGGCGUGUGCGGAGGCGGAUGGGUGGAGGCAUGCAGCGGCGGUGGGCAGAGGCGGGCGGGCGCAGGUGAGUGGCAGCUGGGCCAGCGGCGUGGGCGGAGGCGGAGACCGGCAGCGGUCGGGCGGCGCGGGCGGGCGGCCGGCGAGCGUGGCGCUUCUUUUUUUUUCCAAAUUUUUUAGUCCCGGUUAGUGGUUGGUAACACCAACUAGGACUAAAGGGGGCCUUUAGUUCUGGGUGGAUGACCUGGAACUAAAGACCUCCUUUUUUAUCUCGAAAAAUUUAUCUCGGACGGCUUUUAGAGAGAUGUGAGCGUAUCCAAUUGGGACUAAAGGUGAGUUUUCCACCAGUGAAUGCAGAGCAGGCUCAUCCUAAAUGGUGACACCAUGCUGAUCACGCAAUUUAUCAUUAUUUUAUCGACCUCAUCCGUGUUUGUCUUUUACCAUCUAUAUAGUAUGGUUAGUCAACGGCAUGCAGUACACCCAUGCAUAUGAUUGCAGUAGGAUAACAUAGCGCGACCAGAACUGACGCAGUUUGCCAGUUUUAGAUUCGUAUACACGGCCAACUUACGCAGCAGAGAGUUGCAUGCUAAGCAGUUCAGCGUAGGUGGUGAGUUCUCAACUCUGAUAUGGCUUAUGGAAGAACACUGUCACGGUGUCACCUAGCCGGUUGGAGGCCAACCUCUUACUAGGGACAGCAAUGGCCCUGUCCGGCCACUGUUUCGUGGCUGGUAUUAUUACCCCUAUGCAGUGAAUAUGACAUGUGGAUCUAUGUGUAUAUUAUGUCGUCGAAAGAACAUUAUAUGAACCGUUGAGCCACCUUUGAUUCUAUCAAUGUGUCAUGGUCAAUUGAUGUCAAACUCUAUUAUCUUCAAGUCUUAUUGUAUUGAAAAAAUCACGAUGCUCUGCUACUGCCAUUUUGAUGUUUAUAAAAGGGUAUUGAGAACCUGGUGGGUAUCCAUUCGAUGCGCUGGGGUGGGGGUGGGGAAAAAUGAGUGUAAAGGACAGGGAUACAGUAUUUAGAAGGAUGGGGCUGCCACAGAAGAUAGUCUCCAAGUAUGGCAGGGAAGAAUCUAAAACUGAAUCCUUGAUCAAGACUGUCCCAUAUUCAUGAAUAGUUCACUGACAGAUCUUGCUUCCAUAUUCUGAACAGCUGAUGCUGGGCACAUAGGAGGUUAACCGGUCAGCGGAUCGAAGAAAAAAAAAUUCUUGCCUGUCAGUGUCCACAAUGGCCUCAGCUUGGGUUAGAGACAAUCAUCCCUAAAGAAUCAUAUUGCCGGAUAAGGUUAUCUGUGAUUGGUGGGUGCAGAUCCAUACUCAUCCUAGAAACAAGCCAGGGCUGAAUAUGCCACUCAUUUUAGGUGCUUUGAUGUUGUGGUCACACCGAAAUGAUCAUGUGUUUAAUAAAGUUUCCUAUAGUGACUGGCGUGCAGGCUGUCCUCGUAUUCGAGAAAAAAAAUCAAUGGGCGAAAUAUUUUCACCCAGGUAAUUGUUGCAUUGUAUGAAUAGGCUUAGAUACCUGGUUAGAGUAUGAAUGUGCGUGUACCGUGACACAAGAAGAUUUAUCAUAUCCAUGUAUGAAUUAGUGUUAAAUCUGCUACAUAAAUAUCUUCUCUUAUCUCAUUGUAUGUGUAUAUAUGACACAGAAGCACAUGUAUAUUGGCAUUGUAGAGAGAGAUGAGAGAGAGAAGCUUAUCUGCUUUUUGGAGAUAAAUAUUCAAAUUACUGGUGUAUGAGAGGGAUAUAAUUAUUCUAUCAAAUUGUUUAUUCAACAUGUAAAAAGAUUCCAUGUUUAGUCAUCUAUAUCGGCAUUGUAGAGAGAGACUAGUGUUCAGCUGGUUGGAAGGAUGAGAGAGAGAGGAGAGAGUUCGGAUGAGAGAGAGACUAGUGUUCAGCUGGUUGGAAGGAUGAGAGAGAGGAGAGUUUGGAUGAUAGAGAGAUUAGUGUUCACCUGGUUGGAAGGAUGAGAGGGAGAUGAGAGAGUUCGGAUGACGAGGUGGAGAGUUCGGAAGAGAGAGAGGUGAGAGUUCGGAUGAGAGAGAAAGCAGCUUAGAAGGAUGAGAGAGAAAGUGGUAUUCAGCUGGAUGGUGGAGACUUCAUAUAUUACUAACUAGCAAGGUGUCCGUGCGUUGCUAUGGUGAAACGACGUUGCUUAGCGCGCGAUGCUUUUUAUCAUGUCGUGUAGCAUACCACAUUUUUUAUCGUGCUGUGGAACUUUUCUAUUUUAGUAGUAUUAGACUUUUCAUAUAUAAGGGGCCACAUGAGUGUGUCCAUAUCCUAACCGUGAGGAGACCGCUUGCCAUGGAACUUGUUAUCUCUUUCUCUAUCUUGAGAUUGGUAGGCUUCUACAGCAAUUCUGCACAAAAAAGGCCCCACUUCGCCCCACUUCGCCUCGCUCUCGCUGUCCGGUUAGUCCCGCGCCUACCCUCUCCCUCUCCGAUCCUCGCCGCUAGCUCCUCGGGGUCCAAGUCGGGCCCGUGAUGUAGCGGCCUGUUAUCCUUCCACCGUUGGAAGCGGGCAGUGAUCGCUGCUCUGUGAACCCAGCCUCACGCCAUUCCUACCACUUCAGGUCCAGUGAAGCCCGAGCUUUUGCUUGGGCCGAACAGGCCACUACCAACUUGGAGCAGGCAAGGCCAGCAAGGGCACACAAUAGACCCAAGCCCAGAGUCCACACCCAAACAUCCACACCACCUUAAUACCCCCACUUGGGUUACAAGCCCGCGCAACCAAGCUCGAUGAGGAUGGCUCGUGAGGACGAACAUUUGAGCUGGUGCGGCGCUGCUUCAGAUGGCGAGGUGGUACUAAUCUAAGGAAUAGGAAAAUUUCACGUGGGUCCCACACCGCACCUACCCCUAUCCUUAUCCUUUCUCAUCUCUCUACCGUUCAUCCGGUCCUUAUCCUCCUCAUCUCAUCUCUCUCUCUCUCUCUCUCUGUCUCUCUCUCCCUCUCUCGCUCUCAAACUCUCUAUCUCUCCUAUCCCCUCUUUCUCUGGAGAACGCGGUGCACGGCUGGCCCCAGCGGCGGCCUGGGGGCGCGGGUGCUGGCGGCAGCCGAGGGUUGCGGGGCUGCGGCGAGGAGCCUCCUGGCCGUGGAUGCGACGGCCUAGCCACGGGUGCCGGGCCGCAUCGCACCGCGCGCUGCUGCCACCGAGUAGGCUGCACGCACUGCCUGCACACCAGGCGGGGUGGGCGGCCAGGGCCGAGCGGCGCGGCCGGGGCCGGGGAGGUGACUCUGGCGCGGCCGAGGCGGCUUGGGCGCGGCCAGCUGUUGUGGGUAGGGAGAGGUGGACAGCGGCGCAUGGCGGUGUGGAGAGGCGGACGUGGGGCACGAACGGGUGAAAGGGGAGACGGGGAAAGAAAGCUGGACCCACCUAGCAAUGCAGCCGGGGCCGGGGCCAGGGUAGCGCGGGUGGCCGAGGCCGAGGCCGAGGCCAGGCGGCGCAGUCGGGGCUGGGGAGGCGGCUUUGGUGCAGCCAGCCGUGGCGGGCAGGGAGAGGCGGAGAGUGGCGCAACGGCGGCGUGGAGAGGCGGACAUCAGGCACGGGCGGGUGAAAGGGGAGACAGGGAAAGAAAGCUAGACCCACCCGUCAAUGCAUUAAUCUUACCUAUUAUUAAACAUCAGGGCCACCUCUCGUUGAUAGAAGUUGGACCAAACCAAAAAAAGUGGGCAGAAGUGUUCCUUACUUUAAUAAUAAUAAUAAAGUAUAGAUAAUGCAUCCAAACAACAUUUGGAAUUUAAUUCUAAGAAAAACUUUCUCAGUACAUCCAAACUAGAAAAUUCAAUUGAAUAAAAUUCUACGGAAUGCAUUUCUUAUGGAAUCUAAUUGGUAGAAUAUGAUUUAUGGGAUGAGUUUCAACUCUAGGGAUCCAAAUAGGCUCUUAGUUAUUUCUUAUGUAGCUCAAAUCAGAAGGAAGGUACGUCCAAACUAAAAAACGUAAGUUACUUUGUGUUAUCUUGUGAAUCAGUGAUUAAUUACUUCCAAUCUUAUGUAAAAAGAACUACGAGUCAAAUUCUUUGUCAGAUUUAUACUGACAAGUUACAAGCACAUGCCUCUGCAGUAACAGGCCAGCCCUAGACUAGUGGGCAAACCAAAAACAACAUGAUUCGUCAACUGAUCGAAUGCUAAUGACUAUUUUGCUAGGAGAAUGAACAUGAUUCAUACAAAGCAGGGGAGCUACUAACUUGGUCAAGGUCUCCGUCCUCUAGCUACUAACAUGAUUCAUACAAAGAAGGGGCCAUCUUGCUCCACUCCACGUCUGCGUGGUUGCUCGGCGGGCGCGACGGUGUCGGCUGCGGAGUGCGGACGGCGCGUAGAUAUGUCAUUGUUGAUCAGGACAUGCACUUCUAUCACAGUCUGUGGUUGGCGUCCACGGCCGAGCGGGUCAAGGUCUCCGUCCUCUAGCGUGGGGAAACAGGAUCUCUUCAAUCAGUGCUUCUACAGAAACGGUGCACGGUCACCACGGACCAACGACAUACCAUGAGAAAAGCAGAGCUAAAUGUUGCAGUAGCAGAGUAACCGGAGACUGGAGAGCACUUGCUGCUAAAAGCUGCCUCUUAUUUUGUAUCGUCUUAACCGAAGACUUUAAGUCAACCGCCAUUCGAUUCCAAUAUAAACUAGCAAGUUGGUCCGCGAUAAUAGCGCGGCUAGAUUUGAUACAGUAUAAUUUUUUUAAAUGCUAUGUUAGCUUAGUAUAUUUCUUUGUCCCUCUUGAUUUGUUUUUCAUCCUCUUGAAAUCACUGAGUAUACUUAGGUGCCUUACUCUACACAUUGAGUAUCAAGCCAUAUAUGUAUAUUUUUUUUUUGCAAAUGAACUCCGAUGCCACAUGCGCAUAUGCACGCCUAAUUAAAAUUGCUCACUUGUAAAAAAAUAAGAACAACUUGAGUAGUUGAUUCUGAUCUUAUGUUGCAGUUUUUGCCAACUUUUCCUAGUAUUAUUGUGUUGAGUAGAAAGCCUGUGUAGAGAAAGAUCCAAAACAAACAAUCGUGUCAACUACUCCCCAUGCUUGCUCAAAUAAUUUUGAAAAAAAAAACAACCGCGCUCUAAGUCCUAGGGAGGUGAUAUUCCUCCUUACUUUCCUCCUCUCGUUUUCCUUGCACAAUCGAGGAUGACAAAUACCACAAACCACUUAGGCUCUAUCAUGUUUCAUCAUCACAUUCCUCAAAUCUUGAUCACGUUGUUGUCUUCAUUAUGUUAACAGUACACAUCUCUCCGCCUCUUCUAUUCCACAAAACCAUAAUUGUUCACCGGCUCCAGCAUUGUUGUUGCUCUCCACCAAUCGAGGAAGCUCAUGUCCUUGACAUCACCUUAUCCACUGACCAGCUGAAGUUAUCUGUACAUCCUAAGGUCUCAUAAGAUUUUUGCUGAAUUUGCAUUAAUAUUAAUAUUGCCACCAAUCUAGUCUCAACCUUGCCUUGUGUUCUCGGUGGUCAUGUUUUAUUCUAACUUGCAAGCCCUACAGCUACAUAUGAUGGUUCUUCUAUAUACAUAAUACAUCGCAUCACUUAAGACAUAUAUCGCGGGCCGGCGGCUCAUGGGGGAGCGGCGCCGGCGGAGCGAAAGCGACUGACGGUGGGCGGAGGCGGGUGGGUGCGGGCGGAGGCGGAGGCCGGUGCGGGCGCGUGCGGAGGUGGAUGGGUGGAGGCGUGCAGCGGUGGCGAGUAGAGGCGGGCGGGCACGGGCGAGUGGCAGCUGGGCCAGCGGCGGCCGGGCGGCCGGCCGGUGAGCGUGGGGCUUUUUUUUAUUUUUUUUCAAAAUGUUUUAGUCCCGGUUCGUGGUUGGUACCACCGACCGGGAUUAAAGGGGAAGACCCCGUCUUUUGUCUCGAAAAAUUUAUCCCGGAUGGUUUUUAGAGAGAUUUGAGCCUACCCAACCGGGACUAAAGGUGAGUUUUGCACCAGUAAUGCAGAGGAGGCUCAUCCUAAAUGGUGACACCAUGCUGAUCAUGCAAUUUAUCAUUAUUUUAUCGCCCUCAUGCAUGCUGUGCAUGAUUGAUAUUAGUAUUGGGCAGCUUAGAUUCCUCAGCGCAUCAUGCUGCUCAGCCAUGGAGGUCAAGGCAUCAAUAUUGUCCAUAUCACAACGUCUCUGCUUUCUCUUGUUGUCCUCCCCCUUCCCUCUACAUUGCACCUUCUUGUUUUCCUGAUCCUAUUGCCAGUUUGUUGCAGCCAUUUAUGGGCACCUCUUUCGUCCAUUGUCCACUGUUGUUGCCCGCUGCCUCAGUUCUUCUCUAACCAAAGCGGUCGUAUCGCGCUGGUCGGUAGGAAGCCAUCGUCUCACAAAAGCAUCGUCGUGAUCGCCAAACCACAUCUAGCCGAUGCCGAACCAUACUUGCCAUCUUCUUUGCCAACUUGCCGCUAUGGAAGCCUCCAUGCAUCGCUCCUCGAGUCUAUCCUAUCUCUAUCAGCUCCUGUGGUAUCCUGUUUUGUUUUUGCCUCAACCACGAAGCCAUAGGUAGCUGGUGCUAAAUUGCAGGGCCAGCAACAGCUAUUUCCUCUCCCUGGCCUUGCGGCCAUGCUAUGUAUUUUUCUCUCUCAAAAAAAAUUCCAAUGAUUUAAUUCUAAUGUUCCGAUCAUGUGUGAUUGGUUUAUUAAUUAAAGUUAUAGUUAUACACGAGUAUAUUAUAAAAAAAUAAUAUAUAUAUAAGUUACCAUACAAAGUACAACUUCCAAUAAGGUGGAGAGGUUCGGAUGGAAUUUUGAUUCAACUUACUCUAUUCUAGAUAUUAGAGUUGUACUAGCAAAAUAUCCAUACAUUGCUAUAGCAAAAUAUCCGUACAUUUGCUACGGUAAAAGAUCAAUUGUGUUUUUCAAACUAAUAAUAUUUUUUAUUUUCAUCACUAAAGUUUUAUUCCACUUAUUGGAUGUCCACACAUUUAAUAGAAAACUAAAAGAAUUUUAACUAAUUAUUUCCUUCAACUCAAAUACCAAUUAAAUUAAAAUAUUUUUUUAUUCAAGCAAGAGAGUUAAAUCAGCCUCCGAUGGCCAUCGAUGAGGGGCUCUUUAGUCCUGGUGAGUAAUAUCAACCGGGACUAAAGAACCCCUUUAGCCCCGGUUGUAAAAGUUAGUGGCCUCGGGAUUCUGUUGGGGCGUUUUGUCCCGGUUGCAACUACCAACCGGGACUACGCUCCCCGCCUCCACACACACAAUGUGCGUGCCUCACUUUCUCUCCUCCCUCUCCUUAAUUCCAGUACCCAAGCCUCCUCUCCUUAAUUCCAAUACCCACAUGCCUCCUCUCCUCCUCCCUUCGGCCCCUGCCUCCUCUCCUCCCUCUCCUUCUCCUCCGCUAGAUCCGGCCAACCCCCAUUCCCUCUUCCAAGCUCCUCCCUCUCCCUCGACCGAGGCGGGCGGCGGGCGCAGGUCGGGUGGCGCGGCUGGGGCCGAGGCGGCGUGGGCGGCCGGGGGUCAGGGAGGAUGAUAGGUGGUUACGAGGAUGAUACCUGCAGACAAUACUUUUAGUCCCUCAAUUUUUUCUGAGAAUUGCACUGUGAGCUGCGCUUUCAUUUAUGUCACACCGCUCAGCAAAAAAAACGGUGCAAAUCGACCAAAAUAAAUGAAUAAAUCACACGGUUUAGACUGGUGGCAUCUGUAUGUUUGAUGAGUUUUGAAUCCCAACAGACCUCUGUUUGCUUAUCCAACAGGAGGAAAAAACUUUACUUACUAAAUCAGCUUUGCAUGCCAGGCUGCAAUUGUUAGAGCAGAAUUGGGUAAUUUGUGAACAUAAUUGAAUCAAAGUUUUGUCUCAGACUAGUAAUAGAAAAUGGUAAUGCUCCACAGCUAGAACACGUUCCUACACUAGUUUAAAAAAUUCCCUGAAAUUGGCGACAAUGGUCAAGCUCAAUGUCAAAGUCAAAAAUUCCUACACACGUUCCUACCAUACUUGGAACUUGGAAGGCCGCUGGUCGAUGUCAAAGUCAAAAACAGAAGCAGACAGCGACGUCUCACCAGAUCACGAAUCAGAUGCGAUGCAUGUGCAUGUUCAGCAAGACAUUGAAAAGCAAGCUCUGUCUGGCAGCAGCUCUUCAAUACGCUCCAGCCCAUCUCUACCAUGGCAUUGGCAAUGCGCGUCAUGAGCUUGCUUCCUGCCACCAUCGCCGUGAUGAUCGCAGCGGCCUCCUGGGGAGCGCACGGCGGUGCCAGCGACGAGGCCAGCGCGCUACUUGCUUUCAAGGCUGAGCUCGCCGGCAGCGGCUCCGGCAUGCUUGCAUCCUGGAAUGGCACCGCUGGCGUCUGCGGCUGGGAGGGCGUGGCGUGCACCGGCGGCCAGGUGGUGGCACUGAGCCUGCCCUCCUAUGGGCUCGCCGGAGCCCUCUCCCCGGCCAUUGGGAACCUCACUUUCCUGCGGACCCUGAACCUGAGUUCCAACUGGUUCCAGGGGGAGGUCCCAGCAAGCAUCGGCCGCCUAGCGCGUCUGCAGACGCUUGAUCUGAGAUACAAUGCGUUCUCUGGUACGCUUCCUUCCAACCUCAGUUCCUGUGUCAGCUUACUGCUGUUAGAUCUCAGCAGUAACCGGUUCCAUGGGCGUAUCCCUGUUGAGCUUGGAGACAAGCUAACAAGUCUUCAGAAGUUCUCACUGGGCAACAACAGCUUGACGGGUGCCAUACCAGGAUCACUAGGUAACCUGUCAUCCCUGAUCUACCUUGAUCUGACAGAAAACCACCUCGAGGGUCCGAUCCCACAUGAACUUGGCAGCAUGGGCGGCCUGCAGGUCCUUUUCCUCUAUGAGAACAGACUCUCCGGUGUGCUUCCACACUCCCUGUACAAUCUGUCCUCACUGAAAAACUUGGUGGUAGGAAACAACAUGCUGUCUGGAACCAUCCCUGCUGAUAUCGGCGAUAGGUUCGCCGGUAUGGAAGUUCUUGACUUUAGUAGCAACCGAUUCAGUGGAGCUAUCCCACCUUCGCUCGGCAACCUCUCUGCUCUCACGUUACUAAACCUUCCAGGAAAUGAUUUUAUUGGAUAUGUGCCUUCUGCUUUGGGGAAGUUGCAAAGUCUUACUGACCUGUUCUUGAGUGACAACAGGCUAGAAGCAAACGACAGUCAAGGGUGGGAAUUCAUCACUUCACUGGCAAACUGCUCCCAGCUUCAGUAUCUUGUUCUCGGCAACAACUCUUUCAGCGGGCAACUGCCUAAUUCAGUCGCAAACCUGUCAUCAACUCUGCAACAUCUUUAUUUGGGAGACAAUAUGAUUUCUGGGAAUAUUCCAAUAAACAUCGGAAAUUUGGUUGGUCUUACAGUACUUGAUAUGGCAAAUACUUUAGUAUCUGGACAGAUUCCAGAGAGCAUUGGUCAGCUAAGAAACUUGGUUGGGUUAGGCCUUUACAACACUAGCUUGUCAGGCCUCAUACCUUCAUCACUAGGAAAUCUUACACAGUUGAAUAAUCUUUAUUUAUACUAUGGAAACUUAGAGGGGCCAAUUCCAUCAAACUUGGGGAACUUAAAGAAUGUGUUUGCCUUUGAUCUCUCAACAAAUCGACUCAAUGGUUCAAUUCCUAUAGAGGUUUUAAAACUUCCUCGACUUUCCUGGUACUUAGACUUAUCAUAUAAUUCACUAUCCGGGCCACUUCCAACUGAGGUUGGUACCAUGGUGAAUCUUAACGAACUGAUUCUGUCUGGAAACAAGUUCUCAGGCACCAUACCAGCUAGUGUUGGGAACUGUAUAUCGUUGGUAAAGCUGCUGCUCGAUAACAACUUAUUAGAAGGAAGCAUACCUCAAUCUCUGAAGAACUUAAAAGGUCUUGCAUUACUGAACCUAACAAUGAAUAAGCUAUCUGGUAGUAUUCCUGAUGCCCUUGCUAGCAUUGGCGACCUGCAACAACUGUAUCUUGCACACAACAACUUGUCAGGUUCCAUCCCCAAAGUUCUACAGAAUUUGACAUUGUUGGCAAAACUGGAUUUGUCCUUCAAUGAUUUGCAAGGCGAAGUGCCAAAAAGGGGUCCUUUUGCAAAUGCAACUCACUUGUCAAUUGAUGGAAAUGAUGAGCUUUGUGGUGGAAACCCUCAACUUCACUUAGCUCCGUGCUUCACAGCUGCUGCGGGGAAGAACAGAAGGCGAAUGUCAAGGUCAGUUAUGGUCACCGUAGCGUCAAUCUGCGCACUUCUAUUCUUAGGUUUAGUAGUUUUUCUUAUCCAUUUGAUCCACAAGACGCUCAGACAAGGAAAGGAAAAUCAACUCAUUCCCACAGUAAUUGAUGAACAGCACGAAAGGGUUUCAUAUCAAGCAUUAGCAAAUGGGACUGACCAUUUUUCGGAGGUUAAUCUGCUCGGACAAGGAAGCUAUGGUGCAGUUUAUAAGUGCACUUUACAUGACAAGGGAAUUACCGCAGCUGUAAAGGUAUUCAACGUACGGCAAUCUGGGUCUACUAGAAGUUUUGUGGCUGAAUGUGAGGCACUGCGAAGGGUGCGCCACCGAUGUCUCAUAAAGAUCAUCACCUGUUGCUUAAGCAUUGAUCACCAAGGCCAAGAAUUCAAGGCACUGGUUUUUGAGUUCAUGCCCAAUGGUAACCUAAAUGAUUGGCUGCAUCCAGCAUCCAAAAUACAGAGUCUGAGCAAUACACUCAGCUUAGCUCAGAGACUAGACAUUGCGGUAGAUAUCAUGGAUGCUCUGGAUUAUCUUCACAAUCAGUGUCAACCGCCUAUUAUCCAUUGUGAUCUCAAACCAAGUAACAUCCUCCUUGCCGAAGAUAUGAGUGCUCGGGUUGGAGAUUUCGGCAUAUCAAAAAUCCUUCCUGACGACACUAGCAAAACUCUGCUGAAUUCAGUUAGCUUCACUGGACUAAGAGGUUCCAUCGGAUAUGUCGCUCCAGGUAACAGAAACUAACACUGAUAUUGCUAUGUUCAGUUUUUAACUUCCAUUUUGCCAAGUCCAGUUAUCUCGGCAUGCACGUUGAUAAGUAGCUUGCCAUGAAUCCACUGACCAAAUAGUGUCUGAAAUCUGAAUUGACUGCAGAGUACGGCGAGGGUCGCGCUGUCUCAACUCUUGGAGAUGUUUACAGCCUCGGCAUACUGUUGCUUGAGAUGUUCACCGGGAUGAGCCCUACUGACGACAUGUUCAAAGGCUCCUUGGACCUUCAUAAGUUCGCCGAGGCCGCUCUCCCCGACAGAGCCUUGGAGGUAGCCGACCCGGCAAUCUGGUUUCAUGAAGAAGCAAAGGGCGAAGACCCUGCCACGGUGAGAAGCAGAAGCGAGAGGUGCUUGGCUUCAGUGGUCGGGCUUGGCGUGUCCUGCUCAAAGCAGCUGCCAAGGGAGCGGACGGCGAUGCGGGAUGCUGCCGCUGAGAUGCGUGCGAUCAGAGAUGCCUUCCUGGUUCAAUGUGCAACAGAGACUUGGCCUGCAGUCGGCACCACCGGCCUUGGGAGCGCAGACAGUUGAAUGGUGGACGGAGCUACGGUCUCUUGAUGAACCAAGGAGCACCGGACUAGCAACUCUGCAACUAACAGAGUGGAGAAAGCGCCCCUUAAUGAAAAGAAAAACAGCCGGUGCAAGGCUUUAUAAAAAGAAUGUGACAGCCACUGCGUGUAUCCGAGAGACUUAUCUAAUCUACCGAGGAUUGUUGGGUAGGGAUGCGUAUAGAUUAUGCACGUGCUCCCUCCGUCCCAAAAUAAAUGCACAUCUCGCUUUUCGAGGAGUCAAACUUCUAAGUUUGACUAAAAUUUAUAAAAAAAUGUACUACUAUUUAUAAUGUAUAAUAAAUAUCAUUAGAUUGGGCGUUGGAUAUACUUUCCUAAUAUAUUUAUUUGAAGAUGCAAAUGAUGAUACUAUUUUCUUUAUUCUUAGUCAAACUUAAAAAUGUUUGACUCUUCGAGAAGUGAGAUGUGUGUUUAUUUUGGGAUGGAGGGAGUACCCGUCACGGGGAUUAGUCACGAUAUAAGUAGGGACUAGCAAGCACCAAAAUCCCAUUCACUGCCCUUCGAUCGCUCAAAUAAAACAAACCAUUGCAUAUGGUGGCGAUGCGCUUGCGGGCCUUUUUCCAACCUUUCUGCUGUCGUGGGUCUUGAACUCGCAUGGAACAGUUUUAGUGAAAGCGUGCCCUUCAAUUUUGGGAAGAUUGCGAAGCCUCAUUUACCUGUCCUUAGUGACAAUAAGUUAGGAUCCAAUGAUAAGGACGGAUUGGAAUUCAUCACCAUGCUGGCAAACUGCAGCCAGCUUCAGCAACUGGCUUUUGACAAUAAUUCAUUCAUCGGGGAACUUCCUAGCUCAAUUGCAAAUCUAUCGACAACACACCAAUUACUCUGUAUAGGAAACAAUUGGAUUUCGGGAUUUAUUCCAUCCAGCAUAGGUAAUUUGCUUGGUCUAGAACUGCUUGCGUUGGCAAAUACUUUCAUAUCCGGAGUGAUUCCAGAUAGCAUUGGUCGCCUAGAAGACAUGUCCGUGUUAGGCAUUUACUACGCUAGCUUGUCAGGCAUCAUACCUUCGUCACAAGGAAACCUUACACAGUUGAAAACUCUCUAUGCGUACGAUAGCAACUUCGAGGGUCCAAUUCCAGCAAGUGGGGGAACUUAAAGAAUGUUGUUGUUCUUGAUCUCUCAACGAAAGUGUGUAACCCGCUAAGAUUUCGUGUCGAAGCAAAGCAUAAACCUCUCUUAAGACUGCAAAGCUAUCAUAGAGCAGAUCAGUCUAAGACAAUGUAGAACUUAGUCAAAUUUUAUUUAUAAACAUUCAAGUACAAUUUAUGCAAAGUAAAUUUGAAAAUAAAGUAUACGUAAACAUCUAAGCGCAUAGCUUUAUGAUUUGAGUUGAACUAACCAAAUAUAAUUGAAAAACACAUUUAUAUUUAUAUUAAGUCAAAUUAACAUAUAAUUAUGAAAGCUCGAGAUAUAACUUAUGGAGCCUUUAUUUAGAAAACAAAUUGAAUAAACAUUAAUCAAUUUAAGUUUAAUUAUGAACCACCAUGUUGCAUCUCUCAUUGACUUUUAAUUGAAAGAGUUAUUUAAAUAAGCAUUAACUAAUUUAGCAUUUAUUAUGAAAAGCAGUUAUAACACUAAGUAGCUUUUAAUUAAAGAAGACAUGUUUAACAUGCAUUAAUCAGAUUAAUAUUAAAUUUAUUUUAAAAACAUGCAUGAUGGAAAGAUCAGUACUAACAUGUAAUUUGUGUUAUUACAAACCUAACUCAAUAAGAACAGAUAUAAACGGAGCUGUAACGACCAGUCUAUGGGUUAAACAAGGUUGCAGGGCCUAAUCAUGAUUAACGGAAGGUUAUUGGGGCUAGCAAGGAAGAUUUGCAAGACACUGGAAUAGAGCUCCCCAUUAGGUCAAAGCAUAGGGCGAUUGCGAAAUCAAGAACUCGAAGGUGAUCGCGAGAACACGAAGGACACGAAGGUUUUAGAUAGGUUCGGGCCUCCGGAGAGUAAUACCCUACGUCCUGUAUGCUAGUUUGUAUUGCUUGAGAUUGAUCUGAUUGUUGGGAUACCCUCGGGGGUGCCCUUGGCCGCCUUAUAUAGGCUGACGACCAAGAGUUAAAAGUCAGUUUGAAUCUAAUCUACUCGGUAGUUACAUGGAAAGUAAUCUGAGUUGGACUACAGUACACGUUCCAUGAUAUCCAGGCAGAUUUGAACUGUCUUGUUGCCUUGACUUGCACUCCAAGUAACUUCAUGUCCUCGGCCCGCACGCCCUAGUCGGGCGGGCCCUACUUGUCAGUCCGGCCAGUAUCCUGGUCGGUCGGGGCCCAUGGGGUACCCAUAUCCCUCAAGCCCCCGAGCAUUGUGUAGGUGAAGAGUAACUUGAGGUCACCACAGUGAAACUUGAAAUGAAGUCGGCUGAAGCUACGAAGACAUCAUGGCGACGGAGAGGCUGCACAGUGCUCAAAAGAAGAAAUUCUGAGCAAACGCAGAGCCAACGCGUAGAGCGAAGACGAGUGCCGAGUUGAUGGAUGCUGGCAUUCAGCAGUCGGAGCAAAGGUUAUGGAGGGCCUCGCAAAACGCACUCUGUAGGAGUAGCCCCCGAGCAUUAAAGUGAUUAAGAUAAUCGGUACAAUAGUCAAAGAAGAAAAAGUUAUCCCCUAAAGUAGAUCCUAGUGCUCGAACAUAAGGAUGGGUGAAGCCAUGGAGGCCCGCCAACCAGAAGUAGGCACCCAGACCCAAGAAUGAGGACUAGCGGGACCGUGUAGCCACGUUGACCUGAAAUAGGCGCCCAACCCCUGAGGACGAGGACUAGCGGAGCCACGGAGGCAUGCCGACCUGAAGUAGGCACGCAACCCCUGAGGACGAGAACUGGAGGAGCCAUGAAGACACGCCGACUUGAAAUAGACGCCAAGCCCCUGAGGAUGAGGACCAGUGGCGCCACGGAGGCACGCCAGCCAGAAUUAGGCAUCCAACCCCCGAGGAUGAGCAUGAGGACUGGUGGAAGCACGUCGAGGUGCCUCCCGCCUCGAGCCGAGGCAGAGAGGUCAGUCGGGCGACGGGAGGCACAUGAGUCAUCUAUGGCGCGCAACCGCCGAGCCUGGGAGCCGGACGAGUUGCAGAAGCAUGCCAAGUCGCCUCCCGCGGCGAGCUAGAGAGGUUUGCUGGGCGACGGGAGGCACGCCAAGUCAUCUGCAGUGCCCAGCCCUCAAGCCUUAGGGCCGGCUGAGCCAUAGAAGCAUGCCAAGCCGCCUCCCGCCCCGAGCCAGAGAGGUCGGCCGGGUGACGAGAGGCACGUCGAGUCAUCUGCGGCGCCCAGCCCCCGAGCCUAGGAGCCAGACAAGUCAUAGAAGCAUGCCAAGUUGCCUCCCAUCCCGAGCUAGAGAGGUCGGCCGCGUGACGGGAGGCACGCCGAGUAGUUUUUGAGCUAUAAAAGGACAAUACAAUCAUCAUGUAGCAUAGUGUAGAUCGUUUAAUCAUUGAACAACUCGGAAGUUUAAUUCACUAUAUAAGUAAACUCUUGCGCAUCCUGCUCUUGUAGGCUAAGUAAUUUCCCCAGGUAGUUAGCCUGUUACGUUUAAGCACCUAGCCCUACUGACCACUGCUCACAGAGAUGACGGUUUAUCUCAAGCUAUAGCGCUGGGGCUGACCUGAUGCUUGCAUAUAGGAGACGCGCAGGAUGAGUUAAGGUUUUACGGAUUAAGGCAUGUGCUACCCGAGUACUUUAGCAACUGUUAACAGGGACAGACAAGUUGCAAAGCAGCCGGAACUGUGCGGAAAAGCACCAGCAUGAGCUAGGCACCCAUGGGGUGUAACCCCUGGCCGCCCGUGUAGUGGACGGACCAAGUUGUAUAAACAGUUAGGGUGCGACCAAGGUGGUGGGCAAAAGUCACGGAGACAUAGGAGAGCUGAGGCGGUCGACGAAAGUCACAGGAACAUGGAGGAGCCGAGGCUUAUGUAGGUAUACGGAAGCCAUAAAAUAUUUAAUUGUAAAUAAGACUUAGCUUGAUUCGUGAUCGAGUCGAAGAACCCGCAUGUCGUCUUUGCGUUUAGGCUUAGAAGCCCCUGAGCGUGGUCAGCGGAUAGUUGUUGGUGAAGCAAACUAGUAGGGCUCCAUGCCCGACUAAUUCGUGUCAAGUCCGAGUUGUUGGAGUUGUUAGUGGCAAGUCUGUGGCUGCGAUCGUGGUAUGCUGCUGCCAAGUCGAUGCGGCCAUCGGGUCGUGGCUGGCUGGCCGCCACGCUCGCAAUACAGCAUGCCUGGGUUGUGCUGCCAAACCAAAGGUGCAUGUACAUCUUUCCGAACCUCGUAAGGAAGCCCUCAGGUAUUAAGGAAAUCUAUACCUAAUAUUAAAGUGCGGUUGUUUGUUCCAACCAUUAUGGUUGUUUUGCAAAAAAGUCCCUCAACUUUUUCGUAAUCAGCUCGCAGUCCUUGGAAUAUGUCUUGAUGAUUUUGCAAAAAGGUCCCCAAACUUUACUGCAAUUGGCCGUCGAAGCUCCCGCAGCAUGCACCUACGCCACGUGCGGUGCGGACGAGUGUGCUGGCGGUGGCUGCAAGCUCCUCACCACAGCGGGGACCAGGUCGAGCAGCGACAGCGAUGACGGAGGGGAGUAGUCCGCAUCCGCGUGCCGUGCUUCCAUCGUCGGGCAAGCUGUGGCGGCGGUGGAGAGGGAAAGUGAGUACAUCGGCGUGUGGCAGCAGUCGUGGGGCAGUUUGGCGGCGGAGAUCCAUGACCCGCACCUCGCUGUGCGCAAGUGGCUCAGCACCUUGGACACCAUUGAGGACGCCACACACGUCUAUGAUGUCGCCGCCAUCGAGUUCCGAGGCCACCACGCCAAGCUCAACUUCCCCGACGACAUGGUCCCCGUGCCCGCACCUUCUAGGGUGCCCACCUCUACAUACCACUACCACCACCACCUGCCGCAGCCGCUGCCCAAGAGUCUGCACAAGACCUGCGGGUCGAACGCAUCGUCGUCGGUGCACAUGGCUCCUGGAUGACGGCAGCUUCUUGUCACCCAUGCCAUGAUCGUCACAUUCUCCUCUUGUUUUCACUUUCGUUGCUUAGCGGAUAAUGGUGGUCAGCUGCCCUUUGGUCUGUCGUCAAUCACCAGCCAUCCAUCGCUUUCAUAUGGUUUUACACUAGCUUUUGGGCUUUGACCACACCUCCACACCCAUAAAGUGGAGUGAUGUUGAUCUACUGCCGCUCGCCCUGGCGUGCAACUACUGUCGCUCACCCUAGCACAUGGCUACUCACUCGGGCUGCGUGCCCUACCCGCCACCUGGACCUAAGAGGUGAAGGAGAGAGGAGGAAGGGGGAAGGAAAUAAGGAGCCGAGUGCCUCUUUGCAGUCAACCAAGUAGAUCCAUGUGCCAGCGAAGGCAUGGCGCCAGCAAGGGGGGGGGGGCGCAGCAGCAGUCGGCAGGCAACGCAAAUUGGGGCAGAGGUUGGGACCUCACACCCCCCCUCUCAAUGACGUCCAUCCCCUUAAGAUCCGGAACUAAAGCCUCCACAUCUAGCAAUUGGGGGCUCAAUUUUGCACUUGAUUGAAAUGAUUUGGAGUGGAUUAUGGAAGGGAAGUGGAUGGAAAUGAGAAGAGGAGGAGAACGCACUCCUGCUCAUGGCGGCCAGAGGCGUUGUGGCCUAGCGCUCGAAGCAGGAAUGAGGCUAGGCACAGGAAGGACGAGCGCUUGCCUGGGCGAUGGUGAGGAUGGCAAGAUGCGCAGCGCCUGGAUGACGGCGAAGAUGGGGCUAGAUGCGGGUGGCGCUGAUGGAUGAAGAGGCAUCGACUGGCUAGAUGACGAUGAGUACGGGGGAAAUCGAAUGAAUGGAUGGAGCGGAGGUUGAGCGGUGAUUUUUUUUAUUUCCAUAUGUGGGUCCCACAUAAUAAACAUAUGGCAUCAAAUCACCCAUAAAUAUCUUCUACUACUAUACUGAGACAACGCACCAACAUAUGGUGAACCGAAGCCACCGUAUUACGAACAAGCGAAUAAUAACGUGAGAAUAAGUAAGGACCUGUAGCAACGCACGGACAUUUCUGCUAGUGAGAAAAAAAAUUGUUAUCUACCGCAGUAAGCACCGAGCAACAUAGGAGAUCUACUGGAUGGAAUAGAUUAAAUAAUAAAGGGAAGGGAGAAUUGUUUCCUUUUUUUUCCGUGGCAGAUCCGACAUGUCUGCAUGCAACAAGUUGAGGCCGACGUGUCGUGCUAAAUCAAUUGGAUCGGACUGGGGCUGGAUCAGGCGAGCUUGGCUGUGGCCGGGAUGAGGCCAAUAAGGGCGCCGCCCUUGACCUUGGCCUCCUGCGUCUCGUGGAUCUUCUGCAUCUAGAGCAUCCGCUCCAUGACAAGCUUGUACUGGCACUUCUCUUAGGCGUGGUGCUCAGGCUGGCACUUCCAGGGGAGGUAGAACUCGGAGGUGCACGCACUGGUUGUGGUAGGCGAGCGGCACCUGGGCCACCGCCAUCUCCACCUGCGUGAUGAUCUAGGGCUUCAAGGAGCCGAACUGCACACCGACCGUUGCUGCCGCCUCCAUCUGUCACUUUCUUCCCGUCUCUCUCACCGGCGAGGUCGUUCCAUCGAUAGAUGGGCAUUGCGGGUUUGGUGCGGUGUGGGUAGGUGGGGUGCAGCGAGGACAUGAGGAACCCUCUCGGAGAGAGAGAUUGCCAAUCUACUGGGCAAGUGGCAUGAUGAUCCUUGGAUAGAGAACUUGCUCCUCCGGAGUAAAUCCGACAGAUGCCGAGCUGGCGGCAGGCAUCGAGUCGAAGUCCACCGACAUGCUCCCGAAGCAGAGCUGGAUUGGGUUGGCGAGGAAGUCCUUCAUGCUCUCGGAAAAAACAAUGUCGGGACGGGAUGCCAUCGAGCUCGCUAGGGAGGAUCUCACAAUCAUCCCUACCUGGCAUGCCAACUGUUGGAUUUAUAAGCCUGAUAGUCCACCAGGGGGUUACCCAAGUAGUUGAUUUCUAGGUGAGGGCGAUUGUGAAACCAAGAACUCGAAGGUGAUUGCGAGAACACGAAGGGACACGAAGAUUUUAGAUAGGUUCGGGCCUCCGAAGAGUAAUACCCUACGUCCUGUAUGCUGGUUUGUAUUGCUUGAGAUUGAUAUGAUUGUUGGGAUACUCUUGGGGGUGCCCUUGGCCGCUUUAUAUAGGCUGAUGACCAAGAGUUACAAGUCGGUUUGAAUCUAAUCUACUCGGUAAUUAGAUGGAAAGUAAUCUGAGUCGGACUACAAUACGCGUUCCAUGAUAUCCAGGUAGAUUUGAACUGUCUUGUUGCUUUGACGUGCACUCCAAGUAACUUCAUGUCCUUAGCCCGCACGCCUUAGUCGGGUGGGCCCUAGUUGUUAGGUCUGACCAGUAUCCUGAGGUACCCAUAUCUCUCACCUUGGUGCUCCGGCGAUUAGGGUCAACGGCGAGGAUGGGGAUUGGAAGAGGAGAUCAAGGGGACUUUAUGGAGAUGCUCACCGGUGGUGAGGUGGACGGAUUCCAGCCAGAAUUUGGCUGGCGGUGGAAGAACACGACAGGUUGCUCAGGUCUUCGCGAGUGAUGGUACUCCAGCAGUGGAGCGGCGACGAAGACUAGUGGCAGAGCAGCUCCUCGACAUCAUGGAGCUCCCUAAGGCUCUAGCUUGCUCCAAUGGUCGACGGGCAUAGCGAAUUGGCCAGAGAAGGCUGGUAGCGGCUCCUAGCUUCGGUGGAUGUGGGGGAUGGCGGCGCUUGUGGAGGAUGGCGGUGCUUGUGCAAGCUGGGAAGAGUGGCGGCGCGAGGCAGGGUAGCAGCAGGGGCACUGUCUCGACUUUUAUAGGCGCGUGGGUCCGCGCCUACCUUGGCACGCAUGCUGAGGUUCGGCGGUGGCGACGACCAACUGCAGCUACGCUUGGCCUCAACCCGUUGGUGGCCGAUGGGCCUAGCGGACCUAGCCGAGCCAUCAGCUGGGCUGGGUCGGUGAGGGUCGAGCCGCAAAGACUUGGCCCGAUUGAUUAGGAUUUUCCUUUUUUUUAGAAAUGAUUUCUUGUAAAAGAAAAAUCCAGAAAAAUUCUAUAUAAUUAAUUUAAGCAACGAAAAAACCCUAAAAAUCCAAAAAUUCCAGGAAAAAUCCUAGAGAUAGUUUGGGAAUGAGGAGUACAAAUAAAAUACUUGGAGCUCAUGAAAAGGAUUCUAGAACCUUCCAAAAAUUGGAUUUAGCUCUAGAAAAAAGAGAAUAAAUCUUAGAAAAAUCUUGAAAUUCUCAUAAGAACCUAAUGGGCAUCUAAACGCAUUCCAAAACCUUUGCACUUAUGAAAUACCAAGAUGCAUCGGCAUGAAUGCAACACAUACAUAGAACUAUUAUAUUUAAUUCAGAAAAACACUCAAUUAUUUUCCUAUACUAAAUUUCCUGUCAGGAAAAUAAAUGUUGGAAAAAUUUUAAAAUUAUGAGAAAAUCAUUGUUUAAUUAUUAUUUUUAAUCACAUCCUGAAAUUUCAAAAAUUUUAAGGUGUGACAGAUACCCUCAGGUUUACAGAAUUUGACAUCCAUGUGCAAAUUGGAUCUAUCCUUCAAUGAUUCUUUGGAUUUGCACAGUUUUCAGAUAUUUACUGGAAGGAGCCCAACGGAUGAGAUAUUCAAUGAUUCUUUGGAUUUGCACAGUUUUCAGAGAAUGCUCUUCCAGAGAGAAUAUGGGAUAUAGUUGAUCCGACAAUAUGGAUGCACACAGAUGCCUAUAACAGCACUAUGAGAAGUGGAAUUAAGAAUUGCUUGCUUUCUGUUGUUUCUCUUGGAAUAUCAUGCUCAAAGAAACAACCUAGGGAGCAGAUCCCGAUUCAGGAUGCAGCCAUUGAGAUGCACGCUAUUAGAGAUUCGUAUCUCAAGUUUGCCAGAUCUCUUUUGGUGGAGCAUGGAGUAGUAGCAACAACUCACAGUGAUUUCCCACAACAGUGAAUACAUAGGACUGAAAAUGGGCAAGAUGUCCGCAGGUGAUCAGUUUACCUGAAAUAACUGAAGAUGUAUGAAGCUUCAGCUUUAUAAUUCGUCCAUGCAUUUGUUUGCAUCAGAUAUAUGGAAGUAUAAAAUAAGUUUAGAAAAUGUUUCAAAAUAGAUUAGAUCAAGAGGUUUUUACUUGUCGUCUGUAUGGCACAUUUGUUUAGAGAAUUCAGUAAUAUGUAUGAUUCAUAAUACAAUCAAUGCUCUGCAAAUUUCAGAUAGCACAAUUGGAAUAAAAAGCUCAUUCAUUGAUUAUGUUGCUCUAGGUGACUCAACUUAUUGUGAUGUUCACUGUAGAUUUCUCCAUGGUCCAAACGACCUUUGUGAUCAGUUAUGUUUAUGCAUUUUGUAGACUUGUAAAGUCUUUCCCUAACCUGCUGACAUAUCAGCUGGAGCAGAGCACUCUGCCGUUCUGCGCCACUUGCCUCUAGGCAGCGCUUGCCGCUUGGUGGCUGCCGUGGCGACGGGCGGCAUCCGUAAUUGCUCUAUUGGAGGCUGAGGGGCACAAUUACGUCUUGGAGUCGCCACCGCGCGACCUUCGGAGCUCGCCCAUGCCUCAUCGGUACGAGCUCAGUCCCGCGGUGAAUGGCGCGCGCAUCUGGGGUUCCGUCAGCUGCAGGUGCAGAUGGGUGGAGAGCUUAACAGCACUAGGUCUUCAGAAGAUGUUGGGUGGGCUGGAUGGGGCUUUGCGGCUCUGAAUGGCGAGGCGGGCAGGGACGACGGCGGCAGCGGCAGGCGGCGGCACUGGACGCGUUGGGGUGGAGACGACCCGGACCAGGGAGCAUUUUUGAAAAUAGUCGGAUCGCGAUCCUAAUUAGGAAAUGUGAGAAGGGGUGCACCAAAUAUGGGAUGAGAUGGAGAGGAGCGGAUCAGGCCCAGAUCAGCGAUCAUUUACUAUUAGGGCCCGUUUGUUUGGCAGGAAUUGGGCUGAAUUGGAAUUACUUUCCUAGGCCGACCUGUUUGGCUGCACAUGGAAUUGGAAAUCGUCUUUCCGGUGAUUUUCACGGGCUGAUUUUCUUACUUGCGACACAUUCCGGGCCUAAGACAAAGAAAUCAAUUCCAUCCGACUUGCUUCCCCUCCCGACUCGCCUCCCUUCCCCGACACCGCGCCACCUCCCUCUCCCAACUCCCCUCCAUCCCGACGCCGCACCCCCUCCUCCACCGCCUCCUCCGGCGCCCCCUCCUCACCUCCCCCUGACUCGCCUCACCCCGUGCUGCCGCCGCCCUCGACUCUGACUCCCCGAGCGCUGCGCCGCCGCCUCUCGCGCCGCCGCCCCUCGCGACCACCUUCUCGACGGCGAGAUAAACCUCCUCCAGUUUCCCUCCUCCAUCUCGUUCUCCGGCUCACCCCUUCCUUUUUCUUCCUCACCGGCUCACCCCUUCCCCUUGAACAAUCCGCAGAUCUGCGGGGGAGGUGCCACCGGCAAGCAGGCUGGGAGCAGCUGCAACGGCGGCCGCCCCAUCCACGUCUCUACGGACGGCAUCUUCAACAUUCCGACCACGCGCGUGCUCUCCACUAGCAAAGAAGCUGUACGUCCCAAUCCCUUCUGCCCAUCCCCUUUGCUACUCGAGCCAGCAAAGAAACUACUAGUUAGUUGCAUCAGAUUCUCACUGUCAAAUUGGAAGGCCAUUGCUCUUGCUCCUACUAGUAUACCGCACUUUCCACAAAAUGCGACACACGAAUUUGUUAAUUUUGCCGUAAUUCUGCUAUCAAAUCAAAAGGCCAAUCCUCUUGCUCUAAACAGUUUCUGCAAUUUCGUGCACUAUCGAUUGCUAGUGCUAAUUACAUGGAGGGCCUUUGGUACUUCUCUGCUAAUGCUAAUUAUAUGUGACAUGCUCUGAGAUUCUUCAUACUGUGUGCUGCCAUUAGUUUAAAUUUGGUAGAAGCUGAAAUCUCUUCGUAGAUCAUUAUGUGCUGCCAUUCUGAUAUCCUGUGGAGUUGCAUAUCAACUACUAGUGCUAGCAUUUAGUUUUAUCUGUCACAGCAGUUAAGCAUCAGUCAGCCCUUAUCUAGCAUUUAGUUGGUGCAGCUGUGCAAGUGAUGUUCCUAUUGUUUUUAAUUUUUGUCUUCUGCAGCAUUUUGCAGGCUGUCUAUGUUUCUGCUUAGUUUCGUGAAAUAGUGUAGCAUUUUGAUGAUAAAUUAAAACAUUCCUUUUUGCAUAUGUUUAGAUGCCUGACAGCAACAUAGACUUGGUUAAUACAGGCAUAGAGCAAAUGAGAGAGAGCGUAGGAAGAAGAGAAAAAGAGUGGCUAUUUUAUUUAUUUCUGCUGUCAUGAGCAUGAUUGUGCACUAAUGCGUAAGAGACCUAGGCGUAUCGUUGAUCCGGAUGAAGUGGCUGAGAGAAAUGUUGCUAGUCGGAAACAAAUGCCAAGGAAUCUGUACUAAGGAUCAAAUAUUUUUUGCUAUGACAGUUUGCGCCUAAUUAAGAGAUCAUUUUCUGACCUAUGUGCCAUCUUACGUGAUAGGUGCGGUAUGUGUGAUACUGUCGGUAGAAGAAAAUGUGGCUAUCUUUUUGCUUAUAGUGGGCCAUGGCACUAAGAUGAGGAUGAUUCGUAGCUCAUAUAGGUGGUCGCUCGAGCCAAUCUACCAUCAUUUCAAUGAGGUGUUGAGAGGUGUUCUAUCAUUAUGCCAUGAAUUUAUCAAGCUUCUUGAUCCAUCAGCUGUAGAACCUGAGGAUUCCAAGUGGAAGUGGUUUGAAGAUUGCCUUGGAGCAUUAGAUGGUACACAUAUUGACAUUUUGGUGCCUUUGGCUGACCAAGGGAGGUAUAGGAAUAGGAAGCAACAGAUUACCACCAAUAUUUUGAGGGUUUGUGAUCAUCACAUGAAAUUUAUUUACAUCUUAGCAGGAUGGGAAGGAUCGGCUUUAGAUUCACGUGUGCUACGUGAUGCAAUGUCUCGGGACGAUGCAUUUCUUAUUCCAAGUGGGAAAUACUAUCUUGUAGAUGCUGGAUACACCAAUGGACCGGGCUUUCUUGCUCCAUAUCGAUCCACUCGCUACCACUUGAAUGAGUGGGCUGCUCAAGGGCAUAACCCAUCCACUCCCAAAGAACUAUUCAAUUCGCGCCAUUCAACUGCUAGAAAUGUGAUAGAGAGAACAUUUGGGCUAUUAAAGAUGAGGUGGGCUAUACUAAGAAGCAACUCAUAUUUUAACUUACAAAAUCGGGUAUUCCGUAGUUAGUAACCUAGCUUGAAAUUCACCUCUGAAUGACCCUAGCAUGUAACUCAUUUCUACUAAUUUUUUGCAGAUUAGGAUCAUUAAUGCUUGUUGCAUAUUGCACAACUUUGUAAUUGAUAGACAAAGAGAUAUAGAUGACUUACUUAUAUACACCAAGUUGAUCAAGUAAUAUAUGUUGAACCUCAUGAAGUUCAAAGUGAAGUGGGCAUGAUUAGCAAUGUUCAAUCAUCAAAUGAAUGGAGCAAUUUUAGGGAUACCAAAGCUAACCAAAUGUUUGCUGAUUACCAAGCGAGACGUGGUCAAUGUAUGAUAAAUUCUAUCAUCAAUGCAUGCUCAAAUUUAUGAUAUUUGGUGUUGCUCCUUAAUAUUUUACUGAUAACCUUUGUGAACUUUUUUCUUGUAGAAUAUGGAGAAGGGCAAGAAGUCAGUCUCGAGCAGGGGUUACAUUUGUUGGAAUGACGACAUGAAUAAGGCUCUUCUUGACACAUUUGUGGAGUACUAUAACAAGGGUGACACAUGCCAAAAUGGGUGGAAGUCUCAUGUCUAUACAACUUCUAUCAAGAAUAUCCGAGAAAAGUGUAAUGUGGAUAUCACAAAAGACAACAUCAUGGCAAGGAACAAGACCUUUGACAAACACUACACUAUCAUCAAUGGUAUGUUGGAAUCAAGUGGAUUUGGUUGGGAUUGGAACAAAAAUAAAAUAUCUGUUGAUAGUGAUUCUGUAUGGGAAGAAUAUGUGACGGUAAGUUUCAAAAACCACUGAUUUACUUGCUUAACUUGCUUCUCUUUACAAGCAGUUUUCAUUUUGUUAGACACAAUCACAUAUGAGGUUAUCCUUAUUUUACACAUGGUAUGGUAUGAAUCUACUAGGUGGGCUUGGCAUAUAAUUGAAAGAUUUUUUGUACUCUAUCUAAAGUGGCAAUGAUUGUUUCAUCAAAACUUAUUGUUCCUGAAAACUUAUUGGCAUAUAAUUGAAAGUUUCUAUCUAUUGUUGAAAACAGUGUGUAGUGAAUUAUGUUCGUUACCUGUGUUCCUAAACAAUUAUGUAUGCAUCCUUGUCCCUGUAUGUUUUGUUACUUUUUUUAUUGAUAGUGUGGCAUCUUUAGGUUGUUCUUGAAAUGAAAGUAUACUUUCACUGCACAAGAAUUUAUUGGCCAGAAUAGUGGCUUGUAUUGGUCAGAUCCUAGUCAGCAAGUGCACGUCUCCUACAAGGCUGAGAAUCUUGCGUGAGGAAACUAGAGAGACCACUAGCAUGAACAAUGCCUCUCCAUACUCUGCAAUUUUUGAACUUUAGAUGCACCUGUCUCUUUGCUAGAAUUGCAAAUUAAGUAUGAAACAUGAAUCGACAUCAUUUAGUAUUGUUGUGCAGCACCAUACAAUGGUUUUGUGGUUUUGUGGAUUCUAGAAAAGGAUUCUCACAAAUGAUAGUUGCCAGUUAUACCUUUUGUUGCCAGUUCUACAAAAGGAGCCAUGGAUGUGUUUCAAUUUGUAGAUAUUCAUUGUGCAAAAUGCGACUAGAGCUUCUAGUACAUGUAUUUCUAAUAGUAGAAGCCAUGCAGAAGUUCCUGUAUUUGAACUACAGUAUGUAAACUGAUCUAUAUGUGUCUAAACUGGUCUGUAUGUGAACUACAAUGAUUGUACUUCUAUUUGGGUUCAGUACAUACUUGCUCUACACUUGUUUUCUAACCAAGUACAUUUAUUUUCUGUAGAAAAAUAAAGAAGUUACUGGGUACAGGCACAAGACUGUCUUGUACUGGGACUCAAUUAGCUUGGUGUUUGGCAAAGGCCAUGCUACUGGUGAAGCGGCAAAGACUGUGGCUGAGAGCUCAAAAAAUAUGAGUAAGGAAUAUCUUAGUAACAAAGAACCCACAUCAUCGGCAACUUCAGGAAGUUUAAAGAGGCAACGAUCAGGUGACUCUUUUACCUCUAUGAUAGCUGAAAAAAUGGACAAGUUUGCUGAAGCACUCAAGGAGGAAGCCCUAAAGGCCUAACAUCAAAAGAAAUUCUAGACACACUGAAUGAGGUACAAUGAUUGGAUGAAGACACUUUGUUGGACCUAUUUGAUAUCCUGACCGGUGAUGCACGCAAGUAUGAGUCUCUGUUGGCGCUUCCGGAGAAGAUGAGGAAGAGGUGGCUCCUAAAACAGCUCAAGAAGUGAAAAAAUUAGUUCAUAUAUAAAUUAUACUAUCAAGUGAUGGAUAAUGUCUAUUGAACUUCCAUUGCCUUGUAAUAAUAUGUGGCUUCAACUAUAUGAAAGUUUAGAUACUAUGUCUGUAUUGCUUGCAUUGUCAAGAUAAUAUGUUUAUCAUGAUCUCAUACUAUGUCUGUCAUGAAAGUUUAGAUAAUAUGUGGCUUCAACUUGUCAUGAUUGUAAUCUCCUUUGACAUGUUGCAAGUAAUCAGAUAUGUCUGCCAGGAUUGCAUUGUCAAGUAUGAAUGUAUAUCAGCAUUGUAGGGAGAGAAGCUUAUCUGCUUUUUGGAGAUAAACAUUCAAAUUACUGGUGUAUGACGGGAUGAAAUACUCUAGUGUUCACCUGGUUGGAAGGAUGAGAGGGAGAUGAGAGAGAGAGUUUGGAAGAGAGAGAGGUGAGAGUUCGGAUGAGAGAGAAAGCAGCUUAGAAGGAUGAGAGAGAGAAAGCGGUAUUCAGCUGGAUGGUGGAAAUUUUAUAUAUUACUAAUAAUGCAUCCAAACAAUAUUUGGAAUUUAAUUCUAAGAAAAACUUCCUUUGUACAACCAAAUAAGAAAAUUCAAUUGAAUCAAAUUCUACGGAAUCCAUUUCCUAUGGAAUCUAAUUGCUAGAAUAUGAUUCAUGGAAUGAGUUUCAAUUCUAGGGAAACAAACGGGCCAUGGUCUUCAUUCCCAAGGAAAGCUUGAGGCUCUGCAAUAUUACACAACAAUGAAGUCAAGAGGGUUGAUCCCUGAACCAAGGACCAAGAUACUGGUGAAAGCUAUACAUAUGAAGAAAGAUGGGGCUGUCAUAGAAGAUCAGUCUGCAAAUAUGACAGGGAAGAAUCUAAAACUGGAUCCACGAUCUAGACUAUUCCAUGUUCAUAAAUAGUUUGCUGUCAGAUCUUACUUCUAUGUGUCAAAAGAAUCUCUUCGACCAGUGUCCAGAUCACAAUGGUCACACCUUGGGCUACAAUAAAUCAUCAGCAAAGUGUAUUGGCAUUAUGUAUCCCAGAAAGUUUUGCUCAGACUUUCAAUGCCAGGGUAUGUUUUUUAUGUCUGAUAUGGAUCAAUUGCAGGUACUGUAUUACACGCUCGUAUUAUGAAGGUUAUGUGAAAUAUGACAGAUGUUUGUUUAUUCAUCUGUUAUGCAUGGCUGUGUCUACUGUCUAGUUGUUGGCUUGUUGCCAACAUAUGCAGCAGCAGGUAGCUUCAGCCGCUCAGAAGCCCAAAUGAAGGAUGGCCCAGGCAGAAUAGCUAUGUCCAGACCCAGAAAGCUUAGGACAUGUCUUGCCAGCCUGCAGUUUUGUACUCGUAGCACCAACCAUCUCCGGGUUCUGGCCGGUUAUAUACAUGGUCUGGAAUGGGCAUCCGCUGAUCGAUUGAAACCUUGAGUUGCUUCCGUGUGUCUUUUGCCAUCUAUAUAUUAUGGUUAGUCAACGGCAUGCAGUACACCCAUGCAUAUGAUUGCAGUAGGAUGACAUGGCGUGACCAGAACCCUUCUUUUGCCAGUUUUAGAUUCUUAUACACGGCCAACUGACGCAGCAGGGAGUUGCAUGCUAAGCAGUUCAGCGUAGGUGGUGAGUUCUCAACUCUGAUAUGGCUUAUGGAAGAACACUGUCACGGUGUCACCUAGCCGGUUGGAGGCCAACCUCUUACUAGGGACAGCAAUGGCCCUGUCCGGCCACUGUUUCGUGGCUGGUAUUAUUACCCCUAUGCAGUGAAUAUGACAUGUGGAUCUAUGUGUAUAUUAUGUCGUCAAAAGAACAUUAUAUGAACCGUUGAUCCACCUUUGAUUCUAUUAAUGUGUCAUGGUCAAUUGAUGUCAAACUCUAUUAUCUUCAAGUCUUACUGUAUUGAUAAAAUCACGAUGCUGCUACUGCCAUUUUGAUGUUUAUAAAAGGGUAUUGAGAACCUGGUGGGUAUCCAUUCGAUGCGCAGGGUUGGGGGUGGGGAAAAAUGAGUGUAAAGGACAGGGAUGCAGUAUUUAGAAAGAUGAGGCUGGCACAGAAAAUAGUCUCCAAGUAUGGCAGGGAAGAAUCUAAAACUGAAUCCUUGAUCAAGACUGUCCCAUAUUCAUAAAUAGUUCACUGACAGAUCUUGCUUCCAUAUUCUGAACAGCUGAUGCUGGGCACAUAGGAGGUUAACCGGUCAGCGGAUCAAAGAAAAUCCACAAUGGCCUCAUCUUGGGUUAGAGACAAUCAUCGGUAAAGAAUCAUAUUGCCGGAUAAGGAUAUCUGUGAUUGGUGGGUGCAGAUCCAUGCUCAUUCAAGAAACACAUGAUUCUUUACGGAUGAUCAUCUCUCAGCACACCCUGCUGAUAAGGUUAUCUGAGAUUGGUGGGUGCAGAUCCUAGAAACAAGCUAGGGCUGAAUGCGCCGCUGUACUUGGAUGUUGUGGUGACACCGUAAUGAUUGUGUGUUUAAUGGAGUUUUCCAUAGUGACUAGCGUGCAGGCCGUCCUCGUAUUUGAGAAAAAAAUCAAUGGGCGAAAUAUUUUCACCCAGGUAAUUGUUGCAUUGUAUGAAUAGGCUUAGAUACCUGGUUAAAGUAUGGUGCGUGUACUGUGACACAAGAAGAUUUAUCAUAUCUAUCUAUGAAUUAGUGUUAAAACUCCUACAUAAAUAUCUUCUCUUAUCUCACUUUAUGUAUAUAUAUGACACAGAAGCACAUGUAUAUCGGCAUUGUAGAGAUAGAGAUGAGAGAGAAGCUUAUCUGCUUUUUGGAGAUAAAUAUUCAAAUUACUAGUGUAUGAGAGGGAUAGAAUUAUUCUAUCAUAUUGUUUAUUCAACAUCUAAAAAGAUUCCAUGUUUAGUCAUCUAUAUCGGCGUUGUAGAGAGAGAGACUAGUGUUCAUCUGGUUGGAAGGAUGAGAGAGAGAGGAGAGAGUUUGGAUGAGAUAGAGAGAUAGUGUUCAGCUGGUUGGAAGGAUGAGAGAGAGAGAGAGGAGAGUUUGGAUGAUAGAGAGAUUAGUGUUCACUUGGUUGGAAGGAUGAGAGGGAGAUGAGAGAGUUCGGAUGAGGAGGUAGAGAGUUCGGAAGAGAGAGAGAGGUGAGAGUUCGGAUGAGAGGUGUGAGAGAGGUGAGAGUUCGGAUGAGAGAUAAAAUAGCUUAUAAGGAUGAGAGAGAGAGAAAGCGGUAUUCAGCUGGAUGGUGGAGACUUCAUAUAUUACUAAUAAUGCAUCCAAACAACAUUUGAAAUUUAAUUCUAAGAAAAACUUUCUCGGUAAAUCAAAACAAGAAAAUUCAAUUGAAUCAAAUUCUACGGAAUCCAUUUCCUACGAAAUCUAAUUGCUAGAAUAUGAUUCAUGGAAUGAGUUCCAAUUCUAGAGAUCCAAACGGGCCCUAAGAGAAUUGUAGUGAUCAACUCCCAAGUUGCAAUAUAUUCUAGGAAAUAGGUGGUUAUGAGGAUGAUACCUGCAGACAAUACUUUUUAUCCCUCAAUUCUUACAGAGAAUUGCACUAUCAACUGCAUUUUCAUUUGUGCCACGCUGCUCAGCUAUAAAAAACGGGGCAAAUCGACCAAAAUAAAUGAAUAAACCACAUGGUUUAGACUGGUGGCAUAUGUAUGUCUGAUGAGUUUAGAAUCCCAACAGACCUCUGUUUGCUUAUCCAACAGGAGGGAAAAAGUUUACUUACUAAAUCAGCUUUGCAUGUCAGGCUGCAAUUGUUAGAGAGUAGAAUUGGGUAAUUUGUGAACAUAAUUGAAUCAAAGUUUUGUCUCAGACUAGUAAUAGAAAAUGGUGAUGCUCCAUAGCUAGAACAACACGUUCCUACACUAGUUUAAAAAAUCCCCUGAAAUUGGGAACAAUGGUAAAGCCCAAACCAUACUUGGAACUUGGAAGGCCGCUGGCGGAUGUCAAAGUCAAAAACAGAAGCAGACAACGACGUCUCACCAGAUCACGAAUCAGAUGCGAUGCAUAUACAUGUUGCAGGCAUUAGCACGCAUCCCUUAGGAUUAAACAAUUCAGCAAGUAGCUCCCCUGCUGACCAAGAAAAGCAAGCUCUGUCUCGCAGCAAGCUCUUCAAUACGCUCCAGCCCAGCUCUACCAUGGCAUUUGCAAUGCGCGUCAUGAGCUUGCUUCCUGCCACCAUCGCCGUGAUGAUCGCAGCGGCCUCCUGGGGAGCGCACGGCGGUGCCAGCGACGAGGCCAGCGCGCUGCUUGCUUUCAAGGCUGAGCUCGCCGGCAGCGGCUCCGGCAUGCUUGCAUCCUGGAAUGGCACCGCUGGCGUCUGCAGCUGGGAGGGCGUGGCGUGCACCAGCGGCCAGGUGGUGGCACUGAGCCUGCCCUCUUAUGGGUUCGCCGGAGCCCUCUCCCCGGCCAUUGGGAACCUCACUUUCCUGCGGACCCUGAACCUGAGUUCCAACUGGUUCCAGGGGGAGGUCCCAGCAAGCAUCGGCCGCCUAGCGCGUCUGCAGACGCUUGAUCUGAGCUACAAUGCGUUCUCUGGUACGCUUCCUUCCAACCUCAGUUCCUGUGUCAGCUUACUGCUGUUAGAUCUCAGCAGUAACCGGUUCCAUGGGCGUAUCCCUGUUGAGCUUGGAGACAAGCUAACAAGUCUUCAGAAGUUCUCACUGGGCAACAACAGCUUGACGGGUGCCAUGCCAGGAUUACUAGGUAACCUGUCAUCCCUGAACUACCUUGAUCUGAGAAAAAACCACCUCGAGGGUCCGAUCCCACAUGAACUCGGCAGCAUGGGCGGCCUGCAGGUCCUUUUACUCCAUGACAACAGACUCUCCGGUGUGCUUCCACACUCCCUGUACAAUCUGUCCUCACUGAAAAAGUUGGGGGUAGGAGACAACAUGCUGUCUGGAACCAUCCCUGCUGAUAUCGGCGAUAGGUUCCCCGGUAUGGAAGCUCUUGACUUUUCUAGCAACCGAUUCAGUGGAGCUAUCCCACCUUCGCUCGGCAACCUCUCUGCUCUCACAAAACUAAUCCUUCAAGAAAAUGGUUUUAUUGGAUAUGUGCCUUCUGCUUUGGGAAAGUUGCAAAGUCUUACUGCCCUUUUCUUGGGUGUUAACAGGCUAGGAGCAAACGACAGUCAAGGGUGGGAAUUCAUCACUUCACUGGCAAACUGCUCCCAGCUUCAGGUUCUUGUUCUCGGCAACAACUCUUUCAGCGGGCAACUGCCUAAUUCAGUCACAAACCUGUCAUCAACUCUGCAAGGUCUUUAUUUGGGAGACAAUAUGAUUUCUGGGAAUAUUCCAAUAAACAUCGGAAAUUUGGUUGGUCUUACAGUAUUUGUGAUGGGAAAUACUUCUGUAUCUGGACAGAUUCCAGAGAGCAUUGGUCAGCUAAGAAACUUGGGUGUGUUAGGCCUUUACAACACUAGCUUGUCAGGCCUCAUACCUUCGUCACUAGGAAAUCUUACACAGUUGAAUAGGCUUUAUGCAUACUAUGGAAACUUAGAGGGGCCAAUUCCAUCAAACUUGGGGAACUUAAAGAAUGUGUUUGUCUUUGAUCUCUCAACAAAUCGACUCAAUGGUUCAAUUCCUAUAGAGGUUUUAAAACUUCCUCAACUUUCAUGGUACUUAGACUUAUCAUAUAAUUCAUUAUCCGGGCCACUUCCAAUUGAGGUUGGUACCAUGGUGAAUCUUAACGAACUGAUUCUGUCUGGAAACAAGUUGUCAGGCACCAUACCAGCUAGUGUUGGGAACUGUAUAUCGUUGGUACGGCUGCUGCUCGAUAACAACUUAUUAGAAGGAAGCAUACCUCAAUCUCUGAAGAACAUAAAAGGUCUUGCAUUACUGAACCUAACAAUGAAUAAGCUAUCUGGUAGUAUUCCUGAUGCCCUUGCUAGCAUUGGCCACCUGCAACAACUGUAUCUUGCACACAACAACUUGUCAGGUUCCAUCCCCAAAGUUCUACAGAAUUUGACAUUGUUGGCAAAACUGGAUUUGUCCUUCAAUGAUCUGCAAGGCGAAGUGCCAAAAGGGGGUCCUUUUGCAAAUGCAACUCACUUGUCAAUUGAUGGAAAUGAUGAGCUUUGUGGCGGAAACCCUCAACUUCAUUUAGCUCCGUGCUCCACAGCAGCUGCGGGGAAGAACAGAAGGCGAAUGUCAAGAUCACUUAUGGUCACCGUAGCGUCAAUCUGCGCACUUCUAUUCUUAGGUUUAGUAGUUUGUCUUAUCCAUUUGAUCCACAAGAGGCUCAGACAAGGAAAGGAAAAUCAACUCAUUCCCACAGCAAUUGAUGAACAGCACGAAAGGGUUUCAUAUCAAGCAUUAGCAAAUGGGACUGACCAUUUUUCGCAGGUUAAUCUGCUCGGACAAGGAAGCUAUGGUGCAGUUUAUAAGUGCACUUUACAAGACAAGGGAAUUACCGCAGCUGUAAAGGUAUUCAACGUGUGGCAAUCUGGGUCUACUAGAAGUUUUGUGGCUGAAUGUGAGGCACUGCGAAGGGUGCGCCACCGAUGUCUCAUAAAGAUCAUCACCUGUUGCUUAAGCAUUGAUCACCAAGGCCAAGAAUUCAAGGCACUGGUUUUUGAGUUCAUGCCCAAUGGUAACCUAAAUGGUUGGCUGCAUCCAGCAUCCAAAAUACAGAGUCUGAGCAAUACGCUCAGCUUAGCUCAGAGACUGGACAUUGCGGUAGAUAUCAUGGAUGCUUUGGAUUAUCUUCACAAUCAGUGUCAACCGCCUAUUAUCCAUUGUGAUCUCAAACCAAGUAACAUCCUCCUUGCCGAAAGUAUGAGUGCUCGGGUUGGAGAUUUCGGCAUAUCAAAAAUCCUUCCUGAUGACACUAGCAAAACUAUGCUGAAUUCGGUUAGCUUCACUGGACUAAGAGGUUCCAUUGGAUACGUCGCUCCAGGUAACAGAAACUAACACUGAUAUUGCUAUGUUCAGUUUUUAACUUCCAUUUUGCCAAGUCCAGUUAUCUCGGCAUGAAUCGUUCGUAAGUAGCUUGCCAUGAAUCCACUGACCAAAUAGUUUCUGAAAUCUGAAUUGACUGCAGAGUACGGCGAGGGUCGCGCCGUCUCAACUCUUGGAGAUGUUUACAGCCUCGGCAUACUGUUGCUUGAGAUGUUCACCGGGAUGAGCCCUACUGACGACAUGUUCAAAGGCUCCUUGGACCUUCAUAAGUUCGCCGAGGCCGCUCUCCCCGACAGAGCCUUGAAGGUAGCCGACCCGGCAAUCUGGCUUCAUGAAGAAGCAAAGGGGGAAGACCCGGCCACGGUGAGAAGCAGAAGCGAGAGGUGCUUGGCUUCAGUGGUCGGGCUUGGCGUGUCCUGCUCAAAGCAGCUGCCAAGGGAGCGGACGGCGAUGCGGGAUGCUGCCGCUGAGAUGCGUGCGAUCAGAGAUGCCUUCCUGGUUCAAUGUGCAACAGAGACUUGGCCUGCAGUCGGCACCAGCGGCCUUGGAAGCACAGACACUUGAAUGGUGGACGGAGCUACGGUCUCUUGACGCACCAAGGAGCCACCGGACUAGCUGCUCUGCAACUAACAGGGUGGAGAAAGCGCCCCUUAAUGAAAAGAAAAACAGCCGGUGCAAGGCUUUAUACAAAGAAUGUGACAGCCACUGCGUGUAUCCGAGAGCCUUAUCUAAUCUACCGAGGAUUGUUAUGUAUGGAUGCGUAUAGAUUAUGCACGGACUCCUCCGUCCCAAAAUAAACGCACAUCUUGCUUCUUGAGGAGUCAAACUUCUAAGUUUGACUAAAAUUUAUAAAAAAAAUGUACUACUAUUUAUAAUGUAUAAUAAAUAUCAUUAGAUUGAGCAUUGGGUAUACUUUCUUAAUACAUUUAUUUGAAGAUGUAAAUGUUGAUACUAUUUUUUAUAUUCUUAGUCAAAUUUAAAAAUAUUUGACUCAUCGAGAAGCGAGAUGUGUGUUUAUUUUGGGACGAAAGGAGUACCCGUCACCGGGAUUAGUCAUGAUAUAAGAUUAGUCACGAUAUAAGUAGGGAUUAGCAAGCACCAAAACCCCAUUCACUGCCCAUCGAUCGCUCAAAUAAAAGAAACCAUUGCAUAUGGUGGCGAUGCGCUCGCGGGCCUUUCUCCAACCUUUCUGCUCUCGCGGGUCUUGAACUUGCAUGGAACAGUUUUAGUAAAGCUGCCUCCAACUUUAGGGAGAUUGCCAAGGUUCAUUUACCUGUCCUUAAGUGGCAAUAAGUUAGGAUCGAAUGAUAAGGACGGAUUGGAAUUCAUCACCAUGCUGGCAAACUUCAGCCAGCUUCAUCAACUGGCUUUUGACAAUAAUUCAUUCAUCGGCGAACUUCCUAGCUCAAUUGCAAAUCUAUCGACAACACACCAAUUACUCUAUAUACGAUACAAUUGGAUUUCGGGAUUUAUUCCAUCCAGCAUAGGUAAUUUGCUUGGUCUAGAACUGCUUACGUUGGCAAAUACUUUCAUAUCCGGAAUGAUUGUAGAUAGCAUUGGUCGCCUAGAAGACAUGUCCGUGUUAGGCAUUUACUACGCUAGCUUGUCAGGUAUCAUACCUUCAUCACAAGGAAAGCUUACACAGUUGAAAACUCUCUAUGCGUACGAUAGCAACUUGGAGGGUUCAUUUCCAGCAAGCUGGGGGAACUUAAAGAAUCUUUUUGUUCUUAAUCUCUCAACGAAAGUGCGUAACCCGCUAAAGUUUCAUGUCAAAGCAGAGCAUAAAUCUCUCUCAAAACUGCAAAACUAUCAUAAAGCAGAUCAGUCUGAGGGCUAGCCUAUGCCCUAUCAACGCCUCCCUUCUUGCCCUUUUGGUAAGAUUACCCCAAACUAGAGUCUAUAAUUAAUUAGCUAAGACUAGAGCCACGUAGUUCUUGUGGUUGUACUGUUUUCCUGAGUGGUCGCUCCAUGUUCCAAUUAAGCAUGAUGAUCUUGUAUUAAUAAAAGGUAUAUCAUAAAUAAAACAAGUUUAAUCAUUGAGUUCAUUAAAACCAUCACAAUCCAAGGUAUUGCAACUAAGCAUAUCUACCUUAAAAAAAGGUAAAACCCAGGUUGACAAGGAAUGAUCAUAAAAACUAGGUAAACCUUAAUAGGACCUAUCAAUAUUAAAUGUAGAGCAAUGCAAAAGUGAUUAAAUAUAGUUUUUGGGAUAAAAGUAUAAGGACACACGUGCCUUUCUCCAAAGAAUAGCUGCUCAGAUUAUCUUCCGCUCUUGUUCCUCAAAGCUCUCGAACAAUGUUCCUUCUACUUGCAUCAAUCAUCGGCACAAGCAUACCAAGCAAACAACAAUCACAACUAAGAACAAUACAUCAAUCAUUGGAAAGCUUUAAAAGAGCGUACUAAAGGAUAAGGCUUGAAUCUAAGGUCACGCGAAUGCAAGAAACGCUGGGAACAAAACUAUGGUUGAAAAGACAAAGUUAUCGAGAGAUUUGAAUUAUAAAAGAAAGAGAAAAGCAUAUGUGCUUCAUAUAUUUUAAUAAAACAAUGUAAAGAUAUUUUAGAGAAACAUCCUUAGCAUGUUAUAGUUAUGUAUGAAAAGACAAUGUAGAACUUAGUCAAAUUUUAUUAUAAACAUUCAAGUACAAUUUAUGCAAAUUAAAAAUUUAAUUUGAAAAUAAAGUAUAUGUAAACAUCUAAGCGCAUAGCUUUAUGAUUUAGGUUGAACUAACCAAAUAUAAUUAAAAACACAUUUAUAUUUAUAUUAAAUCAAAUUAACAUAUAAUUAUGAAAACUCGAGAUAUAAAUUAUGUAGCUUUUAUUUAGAAAACAAAUUGAAUAAACAUUUUAAUUAAAGAAGACAUGUUUAACAUGCAUUAAUUAGAUUAAUAUUAAAUUUAUUUUAAAAACAUGCAUGAUGGAAAGAUCGGCACUAACGUGUAAUUUGUGAUUCAGGUUGAACUAACCAAAUAUAAUUCAAAAACACAUUUAUAUUUAUAUUAGUCAAAUUAACAUAUAAUUAUGAAAACCCAAGAUGUAACUUAUGUAGCUUUUAUUUAGAAAACAAAUUGAAUAAACAUUAAUCAAUUUAAGUUUAAUUAUGAACCACCGUGGUGCAUCUCUAAUUCGCUUUUAAUUGAAAGAGUUAUUUAAAUAAGCAUUAAUAACUAAAUUAACAUUUAUUAUGAAAAGCGGUUAUAACACUAAGUAGCUUUUAAUUAAGGAAGACAUGUUUAACAUGCAUUAAUUAGAUUAAUAUUAAAUUUAUUUUAAAACAUGCAUGAUGGAAAGAUCACUACUAACAUGUCCUAAGAAUGGAUAUAAACGGAGCUGUAAUGAGGAGUCCAUGGGUUAAACAAGGUUGCAGGGCCUAAUCGCGAUUAACGGAAGGUUAUUGGGGCUAGCAAGGAAGAUUUGCAAGACACUGGAAUAGAGCUCACCAUUAGGUCAAAGCAUAGGGUUAGAUAUGUUAAAGUGCUCAGGUUAGACUUGGUUGCACGGAUCCAAUCUAAUCAGGGACAUGGAUGAAAAAAAACAAGACACAAGGAAAAACUAACUAUUUGUAGAGCUUUAUAGGGGCCUAUGCGCAAAAGCACCACAGCUCAGCAUCCAUGGUGGACGGGCUCCUGGAUGGCAAAACCCUCGUGUCAGAUUUAUAAGCCUGGUAGUCCACCAAGGGAUUCCCCAAGUGGUUGAUUUGUAGAUGAGGGUGAUUGUGAAACCAAGAACUCGAAGGUGGUCGCGAGAACACGAAGGGACACUUAGACAAGUUCGGACCUUCGGAGAGUAAUACCCUACGUCCUAUAUGCUGGUUUGUAUUGCUUGAGAUUGAUCUAAUUGUUGCGAUACCCUCGGGGGUGCCCUUGGCCGCCUUAUAUAGGCUGACGAUCAAGAGUUAAAAGUCGGUUUGAAUCUAAUCUACUCGGUAGUUACAUGGAAAGUAAUCUGAGUUGGACUACAAUAUGUGUUCCAUGAUAUCUGGGCAGAUUUGAACUAUCUUAUUGCCUUGACUUGCACUCCAAGUAACUUUAUGUCCUCGGCCCGCACGCUCUGAUCGGGCAGGCCCUACUUGUUAGUCCGACCAGUAUCCUGGCCGGUCAGGGCCCAUGGGGUACCCAUAUCCCUUAAGGCCCCAAGCAUUGUGUAGGCAAACAGGAACUUGAUGUCAUCAAAGUGAAACUUGGAAUGAAAUCGGGUGAAGCUGACGAAGAGCCAACGCGUAGAGCGAGGAUGAGUGCCGAGUUGAUGGAUGCUGGCAUCCAGCAGGUCGAAGCGAAGGUUACGGAGGGCGUCGCAAGACGCACUCUGUAGGAGUAGCCCCGGAGCAUUGAAACAAUUAAGAUAAUCAAUACAAUGGUCAAAGAGGAAAAAAUUGUCCCCUGAAGUAGAUCCUUGUGCCCGAACACAAGGAUGGACGCAGCCACGGAGGCCCGCCAACCAGAAGUAGGCACCUAGACUCAAGGACGAGGACUGGUGGGACUGUGGAGCCAUGCCGACCUGAAAUAGGCAUCUAACCCCUGAGGACGAGGACUAGCAGAGCCGCAGAGGCAUGCUAACCUGAAAUAGGUGCCUAGCCCCCGAGGAUGAGGACUGGCGGAGCCAUGAAGGCACGCCGACUUGAAAUAGGUGCCAAGCCCCCAAGGACGAGGACCAGCAGAGCCACGAAGGCACUCUGACCAGAAUUAGGCGUCCAGCCCCCGGGCAUGAGUGCGAGGAUUGGCGGAAGCACAUCGAGUUGCCUCCCUUCCCGGGCUCAGGCAGAGAGGUUGGUCGGGUGACGAGAGGCACACCAAGUCAUCAAUGGUGCCCAGCCGCCGAGCCUAGGAGCCGGACGAGUUGCAAAAGCAUGGCAAGUCACCUCCCGCCCCGAGCCAGAGAGGUCGGCUGGGCGACGGGAGGCACGCCGAGUCAUCUACGGUGCCCAGCCCCCGAGCCUUGGAGCCGGCUGAGCCACAGAAGCACGCCAAGCCGCCUCCCGCCCUGAGCUAGAGAGGUCGUUUGGGUGACAAGAUGCACGCCGAGUCGUCUGCGGCGCCUAGCCCUCGAGCUUGGGAGCCAGACGAGCCACAGAAGCAUGCCAAGUCGCCUCCUGUCCCGUGCUAGAGAGGUCAGCCGGGUGAUGGGAGGCACGUCGAGUAGUUUUUGAGCUAUAAAAGAACAAUACAAUCAUUAUGUAGCAUAAUGUAGAUCAUUUAAUCAUUGAACAACUCGGAAGUUUAAUUCGCUGUAGAAGUAAACUCUUGCGCAUCCUGCUCUUAUAGGCCAAGUAAUUUCCCUAGGUAGUUAUCUUGUUACGUUUAAGCACCUAGCCCUACUGACCACUGUUCACGGAGAGGAUGGUUUAUCUUAGGCUAUAGUGCUGGGGCUGACCCGAUGCUCGCAUAUAGGAACGCGCAGGAUGAGUCAAGGUUUCACGGAUUAAGGCGUGUGCUACCCGAGUACUUUAGCAACCGUUAACAGGGAUGGACAAGUCGCAAAGCAACCGGAACUGUGCGGAAAAGCACCAGCAUGAGUUGGGCACCCAUGGGGUGUAGCCCCCGGCCGCCCGUGUAGUGGACGGAACAAAAGUCACGACAACAUGGAGGAGCCGAGGCUUAUGUAGGUAUAUGGAAGCUGUAAAAUAUUUUAUUGUAAAUAAUACUUAGCUUGAUUCGUGGUCGAGUCAAAGAACCCGCGUGUCAUCUUCGCGUUUAGUCUUAGAAGCCCCUGAGCGUGGUCGGCGGACAGUUGUUGGUGAAGCAAACUAGUCGGGCUCCAUGCCCAACUAAUUCGUGUCGAGUUCGAGUUGUUGGAGUUGUCAGCGGCAGGUUUGUGGUUGCGAUUGUGGUAUGCUGUUGCCAAGUCGAUGUGGCCAUCGGGUCGUGUCCGGCUGGCCGCUACGCUCACAGUACAGCAUGUCUGGGUUGUGCUGCCAAACCAAGGGUGCAUGUACAUCUUUUCGAACCUUGCAAGGAAGCCCUCACGUAUUAAGGAAAUCUAUACCUAAUAUUAAAGCUCCCGCAGCGUGCGCCUAUGCCACGUGUGGUGUGGACGGGUGUGCCGGCUGCGGCUGCGAGCUCCUCACUGCGGCAGGGACCAGGUCGAGCAGCGACAGUGAUGACGAAGGGGAGUAGUCCGCGUCUGCGUGCCAUGCCACCAUCGCCGGGCAAGGUGUGGCAGCGGCGGAGGGGGAGAGUGAGUACAUCGGCGUGCAGCGGCGGCCGUGGGGUAGGUGGGCGGCGGAGAUCCGCGACCCGCACUACGCCGUGCGCAAGUGGCUCGGCACCUUUGACACAGCUAAGGAUGCCACGCGCACCUACAACAUCACCGAUGUCGAGUUUUGAGGCCACUGCACCAAGAUCAACUUCCCCGACAACACGGCCCCCGCGCCCGCACCUUCCUGGGUGCCAAACUCGACAUACCACCACCACGACCACUUGCCGCUGCCGCUGCCCGAGAGCCUACACGAGACCUGCGGGGCGAACGCAUCCUCGUCGAUGGAUGUGGCUCUUGCGGUAGCGGCGUCGGCCGAGCAGCACGGCACGAGGCCGGUGCCGAAGGAGCAGGACAUCUGGGACAGGCUGAACGAGUUCAUGAUGAUGGAUGACGGUAGCUUUUGGUCACCCAUGCUAUGAUCAUCACAUUCUCCUCCAUUCUCCUCUUGUUUUCACUUUCGUUGCUUAGCGGAUAAUGGUGGUCAGCUGGCCUCUGGUCUGUCGUCAAUCGCCAGCCAUCCAUCGCUUUUAUAUGGUUUUGCACUAGCUUUUGGGCUUUGACCACACCCUCCACACCCAUACGAAAUGACUAGGUAGAGUGAUGUUGAUAUACUGCUUGCCGCGCGCUAGGGCGAGCAGCUACUCACUCGGGCUAGAUGCCCUACCCGCCACCUGGACCUAAGAGGUGAAGGAGAGAGGAGGGAGGGGGAAGGAAACAAGGAGCCGAGUGCCUCUUUGCAGUCAACCAAGUAGAGCCAUAUGCCAGCGAAGGCAUGGCGCCAGCGAGGGGGGGGGGCGCAGCGGCAGUCGGUAGGCAACACAAACAGGGGGCGGAGGUCGGGACCUCACAUCCCCCUCUCAAUGAUGUCCAUCCCCUUCAUAUCCAGAACUAAAGCCUCCACAUCUAGCAAUUGGGGGCUCGAUUUUGCACUUGAUUGGAACGAUUUGGAGUGGAUUAUAGAAGGGAAGUGGAUGGAAACGAGAAGAAGAGGAAAACACACUCCUGCUCAUGGCGGCCAGAGGCGCGGUGGCCUAGGUCUCGAAGCAGGAAUGAGGCUAGGCACGGGAAGGACGAGCGUUUGCCUAGGCGACGGUGAGGAUGGCAAGAUGCGUAGCGCCUGGAUGAUGGCGAAGAUAGGGCAUGAUGCGGGUGGCGCCGACGGACGAAGUGGCAUCGACUAGCUAGAUGACGAUGAGUACGGGGGAAAUCGAAUGAAUGGAUAGAGCGGAGGUUGAGCGGUGAUUUUUUUUUAUUUCCAUGUGUGGGUCCCAUGUAAUAAACAGAUGGCAUCAAACCACCCACAAAUAUCUUCUACUACUGUACUGGGAUAACGCAUCAACAUAUGGUGAAGCGAAAUCAACAUAUUAGGAACAAGCAAAUAAUAAUGUGAGAGUAAGUAAGGACUUGUAGCAACGUACAUGUAUUUCUGCUAGUAAGAAAAAAAAUUGUUAGCUGCCGUAGUAAGCACCAAGCAACGUAGGAGAUCUACUGGAUGGAAUAGAUUAAAUAAUAAAGGGAAGGGAGAAUUGUUCCUUUUUUUUGGCAGAUCCGACGUGUCUGCAUGCAACAAGUUGAGGUCGACGUGUUGUGCUAAAUCAACCGGAUCAGACUGGGGCCGGAUCAGGCGAGCUUGGCUGUGGCCGGGAUGAGGCCAAUAAGGGCGUCGCCCUUGACCUUGGCCUCCUGUGCCUCGCGGAUCUUCUACAUCUGGAGCAUCUGCUCCAUGAUGAGCUCGUAGUGGCACUUCUUGUAGGCGUGGCGCUCGGGCUCGCACUUCCAGCGGAGGUAGAACUCGGAGGUGCACGCACUGGUCGUGGUAGGCGAGCGGCACCAAGGCCUCCGCCAUCUCCACCUGCGUGAUGAUCUGGGGCUUCGUGGAGUCGAACUGAAUGCCGGCCAUUGCCGCCGCCUCCAUCUGUCACUUUCUUGCCCUCUCUCUUGCCGGCGAGGUCGUUCCGUUGAUAGAUGGGUGCUGCGGGUUUGGUGCGGCGUGGGUGGGUGGUGUGCAGCAAGGACGUGAGGAACCCUCUCGGAGAGAGAGAUUGCUUACCUACUAGGUAAACGGUGUGAUGAUCCUUUGAUAUAGACCUUGCUCCGCCGGAGUAAAUUCGACAGAUGCCAAGCUGGCGGCGGGCAUUGAGUCGAAGUCCACCGGCAUGCUCCUGAAGUGGAGCUGGAUCGGAUUGGCGAGGAAGUCCUUCAUGCUCUUGGGGAAAACAAUGUCGGGGCGGGAUGCCAUCGAGCUCGCUAGGGAGGAUCUUACAAUCAUCCCUACCUAGCGCGCCAACUGUUGGAUUUAUAAGCCCGGUAGUCCACCAGGGGGUUACCCAAGUAGUUGAUUUGUAGGUGAGGGCAAUUGCAAAAUCAAGAACUCGAAGGUGAUCGCGAAAACACGAAGGGACACGAAGGUUUUAGAUAGGUUCGGGCCUCCGGAGAGUAAUACCCUAUGUCCUGUAUGCUGAUUUGUAUUGCUUGAGAUUGAUAUGAUUGUUGGGAUACCCUCGGGGGUGCCCUUGGCCGCUUUAUAUAGGCUGACGACCAAGAGUUACAAGUCGGUUUGAAUCUAAUCUACUCGGUAGUUACAUGGAAAGUAAUAUGAGUCAGACUACAAUACGCGUUCCAUGAUAUCCAGGCAGAUUUGAAUUGUCUUGUUGCUUUGACGUGCACUCCAAGUAACUUCAUGUCCUCGACCCGCACGCCUUGGUCGGGUCGGCCCUACUUGUCAGGUCUGACCAGUAUCUUGAGGUACCCAUAUCUCUCACCUUGGUGCUCCGGCGAUUAGGGUCAGUGGCGAGGAUGGGGAUUGGAAGAGGAGAUCGAGGGGACUUUAUGGAGAUGCUCACCGGCGACGAGGCGGACGGAUUCUGGCCAGUAUUUGGCUGGCGGUGGAAGAACACGACAGCUGGCUCAAGUCUUCGUGAGUGAUGGUACUCCGGCGGUGGAGCGACGACGACGACUGGUGGCAGAGCUGCUCCUCGAUGUCACGGAGCUCCCUAAGGCUCUAGCUUGCUCCGAUGGUCGACGAGCACAGCGAAUCGGCCAGAGAAGGACGGCAGUGGCUCCUAGCUCUGGCGGAUGUGGGGGAUGGCAGUGCUCGUGCAAGCUAGGAAGAGUGGCGGUGUGAGGCAGGGCAAUAGCAGGGGCACAAUCUCGACUUUUAUAUGUGCGUGGGUCCGCGCCUGCCUUGGCACGCAUGCCGAGGUUCGGCGGUGGCGAUGCCCAAGUGCAGCUACGCUUGGCCUCGACCCGCUGUUGGUCGAUGGGCCUAGCGGGCCUAGCCGAGCCAUCAACUGGGCCGGGUCAGUGCAGGUUAGUUGGAGAGGGUCGGGCCCCAAAGACUUGGCCCCAUCGAUUAGGAUUUUUCUUUUUUUCAGAAAUGAUUUCUCGUGAAAGAAAAAUCCAGAAAAAUUCUAGAUAAUUAAUUUAAACAAUGAAAAAACUCUAAAAAUCCAAAAAUUUCAGGAAAAAUCAUCUCUAGUUUGGGACAUGAGGAGUCCAAAUAAAAUACUUGGACCUCGUGAAAAGGAUUCUAGAACCUUCCAAAAAUUGGAUUUAGCUUUAGAAAAAAAUGAGAAUAAAUCUUAGAAAAAUCUGAAAAUUCUCAUAAGAACCUAAUCAGCAUCUAAACGCAUUCCAAAACCUUUGCACUUAUGAAAUACCAAGAUGCAUUGGUGUGAAUGCAACCCAUACACAAUCAUUAUAUUUAAUUCAGAAAAACACUCAAUUGUUUUCCUAUACUAAAUUUCCUCUUAAGAAAAUAAAUGUUGGAAAAAUUUUAAAAUUGUGAAAAAAUUAUUGUUUAAUUAUUCUUUUUAAUCAAAUCCUGAAAUUUCAAAAAUUUUAAGGUGAGGCAGAUACCCUCAGGUUUACAGAAUUUGACAUCCAUGUGCAAAUUGGAUCUAUCCUUCCAUGAUCUACAAGGUGAAGUGCCAAAAGUUUUUUUUUGGCAAAUGCAACUUACAUGUCGAUUUAUGGAAAUGAUCAGCUUUGUGGUGGAAAUACCUCAACUUCAUUUAACUCCAUGCUCCAUGUCCAGUGCAAAAAAGAAAAAAAAGGAAAUUUGUCGAAAACCCUUGUGAUCACCCUAACAUCAAUCGGUGCAGUUGUAUUCUCAGUUUCAGUACUUACUGUAAUUGUGUUGAUCUGUAAGAAGCUUAGGAAAAGGCACGAAAGUCAACUCAUAUCCACAACUGAGGAACGGUAUGAAAGAGUUUCUUAUCAUGCUUUGUCAAAUGGGACCAAUGGAUUUUCAGAGGACAAUUUACUUGGACAAGGAAGCUAUGGCAUGGUUUAUAAAUGUACUUUACAUGACCAGGGCACUACAGUAGGCUACUGUAAAGGUGUUUAACACACAACAAUCUGGGACUUCUAGAAGUUUUGUCGCUGAAUGCGAGGCACUCAGAAGGGUGCGUCCUCGUUGUCUCGUAAAGAUCAUCACUUGUUGCUCAAGCAUCAAUCACCAGGGUCAAGAGUUCAAGGCACUAGUUUUUGAGCUCAUGCCAAAUGGUAGCCUAAAUGGUUGGCUUCACCCAGAGUCUGACACACUUACCCAGACAAAUACCCUUAGCCUUGAACAAAGGCUACACAUUGCUGUCGAUAUCCUGGAUGCUUUGGACUAUCUUCAUAAUCACUGUCAGCCAUCAAUCAUUCAUUGCGAUCUCAAGCCAAGCAACAUCUUUCUUGCGGAGGACGUGAGUGAGUGCCCGAGUUGGAGGUUUUGGCAUACGAAGAAUCCUUCCAGAAAGUGCUAGUAAAACCCUGCAAAAUUCGAAUAGCACAACUGGAAUAAGAGGCACCAUUGGUUAUGUUGCACCAGGUAAUGAAAGAGAUAUUUUUGGUAUUUGUAAAAUGUUCUUAGUUCUUACGUAUACAUGACCUGCUGACCUUUGGAUUUUUUCCCCAAUCAGAGUACGGUGAAGGUUCUUCUGUCUCAACUCAAGGUGAUGUUUAUAGCCUCGGCAUAUUGCUGCUUGAGAUGUUUACUGGAAGGAACCCAACAGAUGAGAUAUUCAAUGAUUCUUUGGAUUUGCACAAGUUUUCAGAGAAUGCUCUUCCAGAGAGAAUAUGGGAUAUAGUUGAUCCGACAAUACGGAUGCACACAGAUGCCUAUAACAGCACUAUAAGAAGUGGAAUUAAGAAUUGCUUGGUUUAUGUUGUUUCUCUUGGAAUAUCAUGCUCGGAGAAACAACCUAGGGAGCGGAUCCCGAUUCUGGAUGCAGCCAUUGAGAUGCACGCUAUUAGAGAUUCGUAUCUCAAGUUUGCCAGAUCUCUUUUGGUGGAGCAUGGAGUAGUAGCAACAACUCACAGUGAUUUUCCACAACAGUGAAUACAUAGGACUGAAAAUGCGCAAGAUGUCUGCAGAUGAUCAGUUUACCUGAAAUAACUGAAGAUGUAUGAAGCUUCAGCUUUAUAAUUUGUCCAUGCAUUUGUUUGCAUCAGAUAUAUGGAAGUAUAAAAUAAGUUUAGAAAAUGUUUCAAAAUAGAUUAGAUCCAGAGGUUUUAGUUGUCGUUUGUAUGACACAUUUUUGUAGAGAAUUCAGUAAUAUGUAUGAUUCAUAAUACAAUCAAUGCUCUGCAAAUUUCAGAUAGCACAAUUGGAAUAAAAAGCUCAUUCCUUGAUUAUGUUUCUCUAGGUAACUCAACUUAUUGUGAUGUUCACUGUAGAUUUCUCCAUGGUCCAAACGACCUUUGUGAUCAGUUAUGUUUAUGCAUUUUGUAGAAUUGUAAAGUCUUUCCCUAACCUGCUGACAUAUUAGCCGGAGCAUAGCACUUUGCCGUUCUGUACCACUCGCCUCUAGGAGGCGCUUGCCGCUUGGUGGCUGCCGUGGCGACCGACGGCAUCCGUACCUGCUCUGUCGGAGAUGGGUGGAGCUGCUCUGCUCUGCCGGUACGAGCUCACUCGCGCCGUGAAUGGCGCGCGCCUCUAAGGUCUCAUCAGCUGCAGGUGCAGAUGGGUGGAGAGCUUAGCGGCGCUAGGUCUUCAGAAGAUGGGGCUUUGCAGCUCUGAAUGGUGAGGCGGGCAGGGACGACGGAGCUGGACGCGUGGGGAGGAGACGAUGGGCAUUUCUGAUAAUAGUUGGAUCGCGAUCCAAAUUAGGGGGCUAUUUACAAAUAAUAGGGGGUAUUCCGUAAAUAUUCGGAUCGCGAUCAUUAAUCGCGAUCCAAAUGAGGGGUUAAUUGAAAUUAUGAUGGGGUGUCUUUUGAAAUUCCGGAUCGCGAUCCCAUCCUCCGCCGCGGCUCGCCGGAGCGCCGCCAGACGCCGGCCAUCCCUUGGGGUACCUCUUCUUCCUUCCGCUUGUCGGAGCCCUAAGACGUGGUCGGUGUUUGAUCUGACAAGGAACCUUGAAGUCCGGACUAACUGAAGAAGACAGACAUGAUGCUGACCUGGAAGACGACGGCCUCGCCAUGGCUGGAUGCGGCGCGGUGGAAGGACAGUGUGGUGGAGGGCGUGGUCCACCACAUUCCGUCGACGGGCGGCGCACUUGCUGUCGCCUGUCGGCUACUUCCAGGCCGUAGCUGAGCUUCAGAGUUCAGACAGGGUGCUUGUGCUUGCAACAAGUUCAGAACGAUGUCAUUAAUUUGAUGCAGAGGAUGGAGCAAACCGGUUGCAAAUUGGAUUCUGAUACAUAUAACUUAAUAUUGAACCUUUAUGUCGAUUGGAAAUAUGAGAAGGGGUGCACCAAAUAUGGGAUGAGAUGGAGAGGAGUGGAUCAGGCCCAGAUCAACGAUCAUUUACUAUUAUGGUUCAUGGUCUUCAUUCCCAAGGAAAGCUUGAUGAGGCUCAACAAUGAAGUCAAGAGGGUUGAUCCCUGAACCAAGGACCAAGAUACUGGUGAAAGCUAUACAUAUGAAGAAAGAUGGGGCUGUCACAGAAGAUCAGUCUGCAAAUAUGACAGGGAAGAAUCUAAAACUGGAUCCACGAUCUAGACUAUUCCAUGUUCAUAAAUAGUUUGCUGUCAGAUCUUACUUCUAUAACCUGAACAGAGGAUUGCUGGGCACGUAUUAUGUGUCAAAAGAAUAUCUUCUACCAGUGUCCAGAUCACAAUGGCCACACCUUGGGCUACAAUAAAUCAUCAGCAAAGUGUAUUGGCAUUAUGUAUCCCAGAAAGUUUUGCUCAGACUUUCAAUGCCAGGGUAUGCUUUUUAUGUCUGAUACGGAUCAAUUGCCAGUACUGUAUUACACCGCUCGUAUUAUGAAGGUUAUGUGAAAUAUGACAGAUGUUUGUUUAUUCAUCUGUUAUGCAUGGCUGUGUCUACUGUCUAGUUCUUGGCUUGUUGCCAACAUAUGCAGCAGCAGGUAGCUUCAGCCGCUCAGAAGCCCAAAUGAAGGAUGGCCCAGGCAGAAUAGCUAUGUCUAGACCCAGAAAGCUUAGGACAUGUCUUGCCAGCCUGCAGUUUUGUACUCGUAGCACCAACCAUCUCCGGGUUCUGGCCGGUUAUAUACAUGAUCUGGAAUGGGCAUCCGCUGAUCGAUUGAAACCUUGAGUUGCUUCCGUGUGUCUUUUGCCAUCUAUAUAUUAUGGUUAGUCAACGGCAUGCAGUACACCCAUGCAUAUGAUUGCAGUAGGAUGACAUGGCGCGACCAGAACCCUUCUUUUGCCAGUUUUAGAUUCUUAUACACGGCCAACUGACGCAGCAGGGAGUGGCAUGCUAAGCAGUUCAGCGUAGGUGGUGUGUUCUUAACUCUGAUAUGGCUUAUGGAAGAACACUGUCACGGUGUCACUGUCCAACCUCUUACUAGGGACAGCAAUGGCCCUGUCCACUGUUUCGUGGCUGGUAUUAUUACCCCUAUGCAGUGAAUCUGACAUGUGGAUCUAUGUGUAUAUUAUGUCGUCAAAAGAACAUUAUUUGAACUCUAUUUGUGGCGCCACCUUUGAUUCUAUUAAUGUGUCAUGGUCAAUUGAUGUCAAACUCUAUUAUCUUCAAGUCUUAUUGUAUUGAUAAAAUCACGAUGCUGCUACUGCCAUUUUGAUGUUUAUAAAAGGGUAUUGAGAACCUGGUGGGUAUCCAUUCGAUGCGCAGGGGUGGGGGUGGGGAAAAAUGAGUGUAAAGGAUAGGGAUACAGUAUUUAGAAAGAUGGGGCUGCCACAGAAGAUAGUCUCCAAGUAUGGCAGGGAAGAAUCUAAAAACUGAUUCCUUGAUCAAGACUGUCCCAUAUUCAUAAAUAGUUCACUGACAGAUCUUGCUUGCAUAUUCUGAACAGCUGAUGCUGGGCACAUAGGAGGUUAACCGGUCAGCGGAUCGAAGGAAAAAAAAAUCUUGCCUGUCAGUGUCCACAAUGGCCUCAUCUUGGGUUAGAGACAAUCAUCCCUAAAGAAUCAUAUUGCCGGAUAAGGUUAUCUGUGAUUGGUGGGUGCAGAUCCAUGCUCAUCCUAGAAACAAGCCAGGGCUAAAUGCGCCACUCAUUUUAGAUGCUUGGAUGUUGUGGUCACACCGAAAUGAUCGUGUGUUUAAUGGAGUUUCCCAUAGUGACUAGCGUGCAGGCUGUCCUCGUAUUCGAGAAAAAAAAAAUCAAUGGGCGAAAUAUUUUCACCCAGGUAAUUGUUGCAUUGUAUGAAUAGGUUAGAGUAUGAAUGUGCGUGUACUGUGACACAAGAAGAUUUAUCAUAUCCAUAUAUGAAUUAGUGUUAAAUUUGCUACAUAAAUAUCUUCUCUUAUCUCAUUGUAUGUGUAUAUAUGACACAGAAGCACAUGUAUAUCGGCAUUGUAGAGAGAGAGAUGAGAGAGAGAAGCUUAUCUGCUUUUUGGAGAUAAAUAUUCAAAUUACUGGUGUAUGAGAGGGAUAUAAUUAUUCUAUUAAAUUGUUUAUUCAACAUCUAAAAAGAUUCCAAUGUUUAGUCAUCUAUAUAGGCAUUGUAGAGAGAGAGACUAGUGUUCAGCUGGUUGGAAGGAUGAGAGAGAGGAGAGAGUUCAGAUGAGAAAGAGACUAGUGUUUAGCUGGUUGGAAGGAUGAGAGAGAGAGAUAGAGUAGAGUUUGGAUGAUAGAGAGAUUAGUGUUCACCUGGUUGGAAGGAUGAGAGGGAGAUGAGAGAGUUCAGAUGAGGAGGUGGAGAGUUUGGAAGAGAGAGAGAGAGGUGAGAGUUUGGAUGAGAGAGAAAGCAGCUAAGAAGGAUGAGAGAGAGAAAGCGGUAUUCAGCUGGAUGGUGGAGACUUCAUAUAUUACUUAGCGUUGCUACGGCGAAACGACGUUGCUUAGCGCGCGAUGUUUUUAUCGUGUCGUGUAGCGCACCACAUUUUUUAUCGUGUUGUGUAACUUUUUUAUUUUAGUAGUAUUAGACUUUUCAUACAUAAGGGGCCACGUGAGUGUGUCCAUAUCCCAACCGUGCGGAGACCGCUUGUCAUUGAAUUUGUUAUCUCUUGCUCUAUCUUGUGAUUGGUAGGCUUCUACAGCAAUUCUGCACAAAGAAGGCCCCACUUCGCCCCACUCCUGACGUCCGGUUAUUCCCACGCCUGCCCUCUCCCUCUCCAAUCCUCACCGCCAGCUCCUCAGGGUCUAGGUCGGCCCGUGAUGUAGUGGCCUAUUAUCCUUCCACCGUUGGAAGCGAGCAGUGAUCGCUGCUCUGUGAACCUAGCCUCAAGCUGUUCCUACCACUUCAGGUCCAGUGAUGCCCGAGCUUUCGCUUGGCCCGAACAGGCCACUACCAACUUGGAACGGGCAAGGCCAGCAAGGGCACAGAAUAGACCCAAGCCCAGAGUCCGCGCCCAACCAUCCACACCACCUUAAUGCCCCCACUUGGGUUACAAGCCCGCGCAACCAAGCUCGGUGAGGAUGGCUCGUGAGGACGAACAUUUAAGCUGGUGCGUUGCUGCUUCAGAUGGCGAGGUGAUACUAAUAUAACGAAUAGGAAAAUUUCACGUGGGUCCCAUGCCGCACCCACCCCUAUCCUUAUCCUUUCUCAUCUCUCUACUGUCUGUCCGGUCCUUAUCCUCCUCAUCUCAUCUCUCUCUCUCAAUCCCUCUCUCUCAAACUCUCUAUCUCUCCUAUCCCCUCUUUCUCUGGAGAACGCGGUGCACGGCCAGCCCCAGCGGCGGCCUGGAGGCGCGAGGUGCCGCCGGCGGCCGAGGGUUGCGGGGCUGCGGCAAGGAGCCUCCUGGCUGUGGAUGCGACGGCCUAGCCACGGGUGCCGGGCCGCGUCACACCGCGCGCUGCUGCCGUCGAGCGGGCCGCACGCACUGCCCACACACCAGGCGGCGUGGGCGGCCAGGCUGAGCGGCGCGGCCGGGGCUGGGGAGGCGACUCUGGUGCGGCCGAGGUAGCUUGGGCACGGCCGGCUGUGGUGGGUAGGGAGAGGUGGACGGCGGCACAACGGCAGCGCGGAGAGGCGGACGUCAGGCACGAACGGGUGAAAGGGGAGACUGGGAAAGAAAGCUGGACCCACCUAUCAAUGCAGCCGGGGCCGGGGCAGCGCGGGCGGCUGAGGCCGAGGCCAGGCGGCGCGGUCGGGGCCAGGGAGGCGGCUCUGGUGCAGCCAGCCGUGGCUGGCAGGGAGAGGCGGACAACAGCGCAACGGCGGCAUGGAGAGGUGGACGUCAGGCACGGGUGGGUGAAAGGGGAGACGGGGAAAGAAAGCUAGACCCACCUGUCAAUGCGUUAAUCUUACCUAUUAUUAAACAUCAGGGCCACCUCUCAUUGAUAGAAGUUGGACCAAACCAAAAAAAAGUGGGCAGAAGUGUUCCUCACUUUAAUAGUAACAAUAAAGUAUAGAUAAUGCAUCCAAACAACAUUUGGAAUUUAAUUCUAAGAAAAACAAAAUAUGAUUCAUGGAAUGAGUUUCAACUCUAGGAAUCCAAACAGGCCUUAGUUAUUUCUUAUGUAGCUCAAAUCAGAUGCAAGGUACGUCCUAACUUAAAAAACGUAAGUUACUUUGUGUUAUCUUGUGAAUCAGUGAUUAAUUACUUCCAAUCUUAUGUAAAAAGAACUACGAGUUAAAUUCUUUGUCAGAUUUAUACUGACAAGUUACAAGCACAUACCUCUGCAGUAACAGGCGAGCCCUAGACUAGUGGGCAAACCAAAAACAACAUGAUUCGUCAACUGAUCGAAUGCUAAUGACUAUUUUGCUAGGAGAAUGAACAUGAUUCAUGAAAAAAAGGGAGCUACUAACUUGGUCAAGGUCUCCGUCCUCUAGCGUGGGGAAGGGGCCAUCUUGCUCCACGCCACGUCUGCGUGGUUGCUCGGCGGGCGCGACGGCGUCGGCUGCGGAGUGCGGACGGCGCGUAGAUAUGUCAUUGUUGAUCAGGACAUGCACUGCUAUCACCGUCUGUUAUUGGUCAAGGUCUCCGUCCUCUAGCGUGGGGAAGGGGCCAUCUUGCUCCACUCCACGUCUGCGUGGUUGCUCGGCAGGCGCGACGGCGUUGGCUGCGGAGUGCGGACGACGCGUAGAUAUGUCAUUGUUGAUCAGGACAUGCACUUCUAUCACCGUCUGUGGUUGGCGUCCGCGGCCGAGCGGGUCAAGGUCUCCGUCCUCUAGCGUGGGGAAACAGGAUCUCUUCAAUCAGUGCUUCUACAGAAACGGUGCACGGUCACCACGGACCAACGACAUACCAUGAGAAAAGCAGAGCGAAAUGUUGCAGUAGCAGAGUGACCGGAGACUGGAGAGCACUUGCUGCUAAAAGCUGCCUCUUAUUUUGUAUCGUCUUAACAGAAGACUUUAAGUCAACCGCCAUUCGAUUCCAAUAUAAACUAGCAAGUUGGCCCGCGAUAAUACUGCGGCUAGAUUUGAUACAGUAUAAUUUUUUUAAAUACUAUGUUAGCUUAGUAUAUUUCUUUGUCCCUCUUGAUUUGUUUUUCAUCCUCUUGAAAUCACUGAGUAUAGUUAGGUGCCUUACUCUACACAUUGAGUAUCAAGCCAUAUGUGUAUAUUUGUUUUUUUGCAAAUGAACUCCGAUGCCACAUGUGCAUAUGCACGCCUAAUUAAAAUUGCUCACUUGUAACAAAAUAAGAACAACUUGAGUAGUUGAUUCUGAUCUUAUGUUGAAGUUUUUGCCAACUUUUCCUAGUAUUGUUGUGUUGAGUAGAAAGCCUGUGUAGAGAAAGAUACAAAACAAACGAUCGUGUCAACUACUCCCCAUGCUUGCUCAAAUGAUUUUGAAAAAAAAAAACAACCGCGCUCUAAGUCCUAGGGCGGUGAUAUUCCUCCUUACUUUCCUCCUCUUGUUUUCCAUGCACAAUCGAGGAUGACAAAUACCACAAACCACUUAGGCUCGAUCAUGUUUCAUCAUCACAUUCCUCAAAUCUUGAUCACGUUGUUGUCUUCAUUAUGCUAGCAGUACACAUCUCUCCGCCUCUUCUAUUCCACAAAACCAUAAUUGUUCACCGGCUCCAGCAUUGUUGUUGCUCUCCACCAAUCGAGGAAGCUCUUGUCCUUGACAUCACCUUAUCCACUGACCAGCUGAAGUUAUCUGUACAUCCAAAGGUCUCAUAAGAUUUUUGCUGGAUUUGCAUUAAUAUUAAUAUUGCCACCAAUCUAGUCUCAACCUCGCCUUGUGUUCUCCGUGGUCAUUUUUUAUUCUAACUUGCAAGCUCCACAACUACAUAUGAUGGUUCUUCUAUAUACAUAAUAUAUCGCAUCUUCUAAGACAUAUAUCGCGGGCCGGCGGCGCGCGGGGGAGCGGCGCCGGUGGAGCGGAGGCGACCGGUGGUGGGCGGAAGCGGGUGGGCGCGAGCGCGGGUGGAGGCGGAAGAGCGUGCAGGCGGAGGCGGAUGGGUGGAGGCGUGCAGCGGCGGCGGGCGCGGGCGUGUGGCAGCAAGGCCGGCGGCGCGGGGAGGCGGAGACCGGUGGCGGCCAGCCGGCGAGCGUGGGGAUUCUUUUUAUUUUUUUCGAAAUUUUUUAGUCCCGAUUAGUGGUUGGUAACCCAACCGGGACUAAAGGGGACCUUUAAUUCCGGGUGGAUGACCCGGGACUAAAAAUCUCCUCUUUUGUCAAGCCAUCACUAUUGUCCAUAUCACAACGCCUGUGCCUUCUCUUGUUGUCCUCCCCCUUCCCUCUACCUUGCACCUUCUGUUUUCCUGAUCCUAUUGCCAGUUUGUUGCAGCCAUUUAUGGGCACCUCUUUCAUCCAUUGUCCACUGUUGUUGCCCGCUGCUUCAGUUCUUCUCUGACCAAAGCGGUCGUAUCGCGCUGGCCGGUAGGAAGCCAUCAUCUCGCAAAAGCGUCAUCGUCGUCGCCAAACCACAUCUAGCCGAUGCCGAACCAUACUUGCCAUCUUCUUUGCCAAUUUGCCGCUAUGGAAGCCUCCAUGCAUCGCUCAUCAAGUCUAUCCUAUCUCUAUCAGCUCCUGUGGUAUCCUGUUUUGUUUUUGCCUCAACCACGAAGCCAUAGGUUGCUGGUGCUAAAUUGCAGGGCUAGCAACAGGUAUUUCCUCUCCCUGGCCUUGCGGCCAUGCUAUGUAUUUUUCUCUUUAAAAAAAUUACAAUGAUUUAAUCCUAAUGUUCCGAUCAUGUGUGAUUGGUUUAUUAAUUAAAGUUAGAGUUAUACUUGAGUAUAUUAUAUAAAAAUAAUAUAUAUAUAUAUAUAUAUAUAUAUAUAUAUAUAUAUAAGUUACCAUACAAAGUACAACUUCCUACAAGGUGGAGAGGUUCGGAUGGAAUUUUGAUUCAACUUACUCUAUUCUAGAUAUUAGAGUUGUACUAGCAAAAUAUGCUAGUAUGUUGCUACGGUAAAAGAUCAAUUGUGUUUUUCAAAUUAAUAAUAUUUUUUAUUUUCAUAACUAAAUUUUUAUUCCACUUAUUGGAUGUCCACACAUUUAAUAGAAAACUAAAAGAAUUUUUUAUUCAAGCAAGAUAGUUAAAUCAGCCUCCGAUGGCCACCGACGGGGGCUCUUUAGGACUCCUUUAGCCCCGGUUGUAAAGCUAGUGGUCCUCGGGAUUCUGGUGAGGCGUUUUGUCCCGGUUGUAACUACCAACCGAGACUAAAGGGGGGGCCUUUAGUCCCGAUCAGUGUUUCCAACACAGACAAAAUGCUCCUCACCUCCACAUACACAAUGCGCGUGCCCCAAUUUCUCUCCUCCCUCCCCUUAAUUCCAGCGGCCAGGCCUCCUCUCCUUAAUUCCAACACCCACAUGCCUCCUCUCCUCCUCCCUUCACCCCCUACCUCCUCUCCUCCCUCUCUCUCUCUCCUCCGCCGGAUCCGGCCGGCCCCCACUCCCUCUCCCCAAGCUCCUCCCUCUCCCUCGGCCGAGGCGGGUGGCGCAGCCGGGGCCAGGGCGGCGUGGGUGGCCAGGGUCGGGGCCAGGGAGGAUGAUAGGUGGUUAUGAGGAUGAUACCUGCAGAUAAUACUUUUAAUCUCAAUUCUUACAGAAGAAUUGCACUAUGAACUACGCUUUCAUUUAUACCACACCGCUCAGCUAUAAAAAAUGGUGCAAAUCGACCAAAAUAAAUGAAUAAAUCACAUGGUUUAGACUGGUGGCAUAUGUAUGUUUGAUGAGUUUUGAAUCCCAACAGACCUCUGUUUGCUUAUCCAACCGGAGGAAAAACCUUUACUUACUAAAUCAGCUUUGCAUGCCAGGCUGCAAUUGUUAGAGCAGAAUUAGGUAAUUUGUGAACAUAAUUGAAUCAAAGUUUUGUCUCUGACAAGUAAUAGAAAAUGGUAAUGCUCCAUAGCAAGAACACGUUCCUACACUAGUUUAAAAAAUUCCCUGAAAUUGGGAACAAUGGUCAAGUCCAAACCAUACUUGCAACUUGGAGGACCGCUGGCCGAUGUAAGUCAAAGUCAAAAACAGAAGGAGACAGCGACGUCUCACCAGAUCACGAAUCAGAUGCGAUGCAUGUGCAUGUUCAGCAAGACAUUGAAAAGCAAGCUCUUCAAUACGCUCCAGCCCAGCUCCACCAUGGCUUUGGCAAUGCGCGUCAUGAGCUUGCUUCCUGCCACCAUCGCCGUGAUGAUCGCAGUGGCCUCUUGGGGAGCGCACGGCGGUGCCAGCGACGAGGCCAGCGCGCUGCUUGCUUUCAAGGCUCAGCUCGCCGGCAGCGGUUCCGGCAUGCUUGCAUCCUGGAAUGGCACCGCUGGCGUCUGCGGCUGGGAGGGCGUGGCGUGCACCGGCGGCCAGGUAGUGGCACUGAGCCUGCCCUCCUAUGGGCUCGCCGGAGCCCUCUCCCCGGCCAUUGGGAACCUCACUUUCCUGCGGACCCUGAACCUGAGUUCCAACUGGUUCCAGGGGGAGGUCCCAGCAAGCAUCGGCCGCCUAGCGAGUCUGCAGACGCUUGAUCUGAGCUACAAUACGUUCUCUGGUACGCUUCCUUCCAACCUCAGUGCCUGUGUCAGCUUACUGCUGUUGAGGCUCAGUAGUAACCGGUUCCAUGGGCGUAUCCCUGUUGAGCUUGGAGACAAGCUAACAAGUCUUCAGAUGUUGUCACUGCGCAACAACAGCUUGACGGGUGCCAUACCAGGAUCACUAGGUAACCUGUCAUCCCUGAUCUACCUUCAUCUGACAGAAAACCACCUCGAGGGUCCGAUCCCACAUGAACUUGGCAGCAUGGGCGGCCUGCAGGUCCUUUUCCUCUAUGAGAACAGACUCUCCGGUGUGCUUCCACACUCCCUGUACAAUCUGUCCUCACUGAAAAGCUUGUGGGUAGGAUACAACAUGCUGUCUGGAACCAUCCCUGCUGAUAUCGGCGAUAGGUUCCCCGGUAUGGAAGCUCUUGACUUUUCUAGCAACCGAUUCAGUGGAGCUAUCCCACCUUCGCUCGCCAACCUCUCUGCUCUCACAAAACUAGUCCUUCAAGGAAAUGAUUUUAUUGGAUAUGUGCCUUCUGCUUUGGGGAAGUUAAGUCUUACUGCCCUUUACUUGGGUGACAACAGGCUAGAAGCAAACGACAGUCAAGGGUGGGAAUUCAUAGCUUCACUGGCAAACAGCUCCCAGCUUCAGCUUCUUGUUCUCGGCAACAACUCUUUCAGCGGGCAACUGCCUAAUUCAGUCACAAACCUGUCAUCAACUCUGCAAGGUCUUUAUUUGGGACCCAAUAUGAUUUCUGGGAAUAUUCCAAUAAACAUCGGAAAUUUGGUUGGUCUUACAGUACUUGAGAUGGCAAAUACUUUUGUAUCUGGACAGAUUCCAGAGAGCAUUGGUCAGCUAAGAAACUUGGUUCAGCUAGCCCUUUACAACACUAGCUUGUCAGGCCUCAUACCUUCAUCACUAGGAAAUCUUACACAGUUGAAUAGCCUUUUAGCAUACUAUGGAAACUUAGAGGGGCCAAUUCCAUCAAACUUGGGGAACUUAAAGAAUGUGUUUUCCUUUGAUCUCUCAACAAAUCGACUCAAUGGUUCAAUUCCUAUAGAGGUUUUAAAACUUCCUCGACUUUCCUGGUACUUAGACUUAUCAUAUAAUUCAUUAUCCGGGCCACUUCCAACUGAGGUUGGUACCAUGGUGAAUCUUAACGAACUGAUUCUGUCUGGAAACAAGUUGUCAGGCACCAUACCAGCUAGUGUUGGGAACUGUAUAUCGUUGGUACGGCUGCUGCUCGAUAACAACUUAUUAGAAGGAAGCAUACCGCAAUCUCUGAAGAACUUAAAAGGUCUUGAAUUACUGAACCUAACAAUGAAUAAGCUAUCUGGUAGUAUUCCUGAUGCCCUUGCUAGCAUUGGCAACCUGCAACAACUGUAUCUUGCACACAACAACUUGUCAGGUUCCAUCCCCAAAGUUCUACAGAAUUUGACAUUGUUGGCAAAACUGGAUUUGUCCUUCAAUGAUCUGCAAGGCGAAGUGCCAAAAGGGGGUCCUUUUGCAAAUGCAACUCGCUUGUCACUUGAUGGAAAUGAUGAGCUUUGUGGCGGAAACCCUCAACUUCAUUUAGCUCCGUGCUCCACAGCUGCUGCGAGGAAGAACAGAAGGCGAAUGUCAAGAUCACUUAUGGUCACCGUUGCGUCAAUCUGCGCAUUUCUAUUCUUAGGUUUAAUAGUUUGUCUUAUCCAUUUGAUCCACAAGAGGCUCAGACAAGGAAAGGAAAAUCAACUCAUUCCCACAGCAAUUGAUGAACAGCACCAAAGGGUUUCAUAUCAAGCAUUAGCAAAUGGGACUGACCAUUUUUCGGAGGUUAAUCUGCUCGGACAAGGAAGCUAUGGUGCAGUUUAUAAGUGCACUUUACAUGACAAGGGAAUUACCGCAGCUGUAAAGGUAUUCAACGUACGGCAAUCUAGGUCUACUAGAAGUUUUGUGGCUGAAUGUGAGGCACUGCGAAGGGUGCGCCACCGAUGUCUCAUAAAGAUCAUCACCUGUUGCUUAAGCAUUGAUCACCAAGGCCAAGAAUUCAAGGCACUGGUUUUUGAGUUCAUGCCCAAUGGUAACCUAAAUGAUUGGCUGCAUCCAGCAUCCAAGAUACAGAGUCUGAGCAAUACGCUCAGCUUAGCUCAGAGACUGAACAUUGCGGUAGAUAUCAUGGAUGCUCUGGAUUAUCUUCACAAUCAGUGUCAACCGCCUAUUAUCCAUUGUGAUCUCAAACCAAGUAACAUCCUCCUUGCCGAAGAUAUGAGUGCUCGGGUUGGAGAUUUCGGCAUAUCAAAAAUCCUUCCUGAAGACACUAGCAAAACUCUGCUGAAUUCAGUUAGCUUCACUGGACUAAGAGGUUCCAUCGGAUAUGUCGCUCCAGGUAACAGAAACUAACACUGAUAUUGCUAUGUUCAGUUUUUAACUUCCAUUUUGCCAAGUCCAGUUAUCUCGGCAUGCACGUUGAUAAGUAGCUUGCCAUGAAUCCACUGACCAAAUAGUGUCUGAAAUCUGAAUUGACUGCAGAGUACGGCGAGGGUCGCGCUGUCUCAACUCUUGGAGAUGUUUACAGCCUCGGCAUACUGUUGCUUGAGAUGUUCACCGGGAUGAGCCCUACUGACGACAUGUUCAAAGGCUCCUUGGACCUUCAUAAGUUCGCCGAGGCCGCUCUCCCCGACAGAGCCUUGGAGGUAGCCGACCCGGCAAUCUGGUUUCAUGAAGAAGCAAAGGGGGAAAACCCUGCCACGGUGAGAAGCAGAAGCGAGAGGUGCUUGGCUUCAGUGAUCGGGCUUGGCGUGUCCUGCUCAAAGCAGCUGCCAAGGGAGCGGACGGCGAUGCGGGAUGCUGCCGCUGAGAUGCGUGCGAUCAGAGAUGCCUUCCUGGUUCAAUGUGCAACAGAGACUUGGCCUGCAGUCGGCACCACCGGCCUUGGAAGCGCAGACAGUUGAAUGGUGGACGGAGCUACGGUCUCUUGACGCACCAAGGAGCACUGGACUAGCAACUCUGCAACUAAACAGAGUGGAGAAAGAGCCCCUUAAUGAACAGAAAAACAGCCGGUGCAAGGCUUUAUACAAAGAAUGUGACAGCCACUGCGUGUAUCCGAGAGCCUUAUCUAAUCUACCAAGGAUUGUCCAUGUACUCCCUCCGUCCCAAAAUAAACACACAUGUCACUUGUCGAGGAGUCAAACUUUCUAAGUUUGACUAAAAUAAUGUACUACUAUUUAUAAUGUAUAAUAAGUAUCAUUAGAUUGAGUAUUGAGUAUACUUUUCUAAUACAUUUAUUUGAAGAUAUAAAUGUUGAUAUUAUUUUCUAUAUUCUUAAUCAAACUUAAAAACGUUUGACUCUCGAGAAGUGAGAUGUGCGUUUAUUUUAGGAUGGAGGGAGUACCCGUCACACGGAUUAGUUAUGAUAUAAGUAGGGACUAGCAAGCACCAAAACCCCAUUCACUGCCCAUGGAUCGCUCAAAUAAAAGAAACCAUUGCAUAUGGUGGUGAUGCGCUGGCGAGCCUUUCUCCAAACUUUCUGCUCUCGCGGACCUUGAACUCGCAUGGAACAAUUUUAGUGGAAGCGUGCCUCCACCUUUAUGGAGAUUGCGAAGCCUCAUUUACCUGUCCGUGGCAAUAAGCUAGGAUUGAAUGACAAGGACGGAUUGGAAUUCAUCACCAUGCUGGCAAACUGCAGUCAGCUUCAGCAACUGGCUUUUGACAAUAAUUCAUUCAUCGGGGAACUUCCUAGCUCAAUUGCAAAUCUAUGGACAACACUCCAAUUACUCUAUAUAGGAAACAAUUGGAUUUCGGGAUUUAUUCCAUCCAGCAUAGGUAAUUUGGUUGGUCUAGAACUGCUUACGUUGGCAAAUACUUUCAUAUCCGGAGUGAUUCCAGAUAGCAUUGGUCGCCUAGAAGGCAUGUCCGUGUUAGGCAUUUACUACACUAGCUUGUCAGGCAUCAUACCUUCAUCACAAGGAAACCUUACACAGUUGAAAGCUCUCUAUGCGUACGAUAGAAACUUGGAGGGUCCAAUUCCAGCAAGCUUGGAGAACUUAAAGAAUCUUUUUGUCCUUGAUCUCUCAACGAAAGUGUGUAACCUGCUAAGAUUUCAUGUCGAAGUAGAGCAUAAACCUCUCUCAAAAGACUGCGAAGCUACCAUAGAGUAGAUCAGUCUAAGGGUCGGACUAUACCCUAUCAACGCCUCCCCUCUUGCCCUUUCGAUAAGAUUACCCCAAAGGUCCAAACUAGAGUCUUUAAUUAAUUAACCAAGACCAAAGCCAUAUAGUUCUUGUGGUUGUACUAUUUUCCUGGGUGGUCGCUCCAUGUUCCAAUUAAGCAUGGCGGUCUUGUAUUAAUAAAAGGUAUAUCAUAAAUAAAACAAGUUUAAUCAUUGAGUUCAUUAAAACCAUCAUAACCCAAGGUAUUGCAACUAAGCAUAUCUACCCAAUAAAAAGGUAAAACCCAGGUUGACAAGGAAUGAUCAUAAAAACUAGGUCAAUAUUAAAUGCAGAGCAGUGUAGAAGUGAUUAAAUAUAGUUAUUGGUACAAAAACACAAACAAGGACACACUUGCCUUUCUCCAAAGAAUAGCUGCUCAGAUUAUCUUCAGCUCUUGUUCCUCAAAGCUCUCGAACAACGUUCCUUCUACUCGCAUCAAUCAUCGGCACAAGUAUACAAAGCAAACAACAAUCACAACUAAGAACAAUACAUCAAUCAUAGGAAAGCUUUAAAAGAGCGUACUAAAGGAUAAGGCUCGAAUCUAAGGUCACACGAAUGCAAGAAACGCUAGGAACGAAACUAUGGUUGAAAAGACAAAGCUAUCGAGAGAUUUGAAUUAUAAAAGAAAGAAAAGCCUAUGUGCUUCAUAUAUUUUAAUAAUGAAAAUAAUGUAAAGAUAUUUUAGAGAGACAUCCUUAGCAAGUUAUAUUUAUAUAUGAAAAGACGAUGUAGAAUAGUCAAAUUUUCUUUAUAAACAUUCAAGUACAAUUUAUGCAAAUUAAAUAUUUAAUUUGAAAAUAAAGUAUAUGUAAACAUCUAAGCGCAUAGCUUUAUGGUUAUGGUUCGGGUUGAACUAACCAAAUAUAAUUCAAAAACACAAUUAUUUUUAUAUUAGUCAAAUUAACAUAUAAUUAUGAAAACUCGAGAUAUAACUUAUGUAGCUUUUAUUUAGAAAACAAAUUGAAUAAAUAUUAAUCAAUUUAAGUUUAAUUAUGAACCACCGUGGUGCAUCUCUAAUUCGCUUUUAAUUGAAAGAGUUGUUUAAUUAAGCAUUAACUAAAUUAACAUUUAUUAUGAAAAGCGGUUAUAACACUAAGUAGCUUUUAAUUAAAGAAGACAUGUUUAACAUGCAUUAAUUAUAUUAAUAUUAAAUUAAUUUUAAAAACAUGCAUGAUGGAAGGAUCACUACUAACAUGUAAUUUGUGUUAUCACGAACCUAACUCAACAAGAACGGAUAUAAACGAAGCUGUAAUGAGGAGCCUAUGGGUUAAACAAGGUCGUAGGGCCUAAUCACGAUUAACGGAAGGUUAUUGGGGUUAGCAAGGAAGAUUUGCAAGACACUAUAAUAGAGCUCGCCAUUAGGUCAAAGCAUAGGGUUAGAUCUAUUAAAGUGCUCAGGUUGGACUUGGUUGCACGGAUCCAAUCUAAUGAGGGACAUGGAUGAAAAAAACAAGACACAAGGAAAAACUAACUAUUUACAAAGCUUUCCGGGGCCUAUGCGCAAAAGCACCACAACUCAGCAUCCAUGGCGGACGGGCUCCUGGAUGGCAAAAUCCUCGUGUCGGAUUUAUAAGCCCACAGUCCACCAAGGGGUUACCCAAGUCGUUGAUUGUGGCGGAACCGCCCAAAUUAACCUGACUAAAAUGCAUUGAAGUCGCCUGACACGCGAUUAUGCACUUUAAGCAAGUCAACUUGGUCGACCGUCGGAUUUCCUCCGAUAAACCACAUAAACAGGAUCGAGAAGCAUCGCUCACGCGAAGGUGAGUAGCACAGAGGUUACAACAAUCCAUCAUGACAACAUAGUUCAACAAUUUAUUACAUCAGAGUUUUUGAAAUUCAAACCGAAAUUUGCAUGGUUCGAAGUCAAAGGAAAACAGCGGAAACUAAACGUCGAUACAUGACAUCACGACGGAGCCGAUCAUGACAUCAAAAAUUUCUUCCUUCGCCAUCCGAGGAAGGAUCCCACUCGACGGUCCAGCCUGGAGGAAGCUGGGUCGGCCAAGUGGUACCAACACCCAAACUAUUGACAUUACCUGAAAAAGAUUAGCCACAACAAGGCUGAGCAACUAGUACUCAGCAAGACUGACCCGUCGGAAAGACACGACCGAGACCUAGACAUGCAAGGCUUUCUGGCUCUGGGGUUUUCUUUGCCAAAAGCGUCUAAAGUCAGUCCUUAUUUUCAACAUUUUAGCUCAUGUUCUAUGUUCUUUAUCCAUUCUAGAUUAGCAACUUAUACUAAACAAACAUGGUUUCCAAGCAAUUACUUAACAAGCAUCAAGAUUAAAAUCAUCAUCAUCAUGUUCCAUCUUUACUCAGUGCAGAAUAGCGAUCAAGUAGUCCCAAUCUGUGAGAGGCAGACGAAUCGAUUCGAAUUUAUUAACCAUGCAUGGCAAACCUAAUCUCACGACAUCCGCGCACCACGAAGGGUCGCUUCAUUUGUCAGCCGUCCCCAUCGAUCCCUUAGGCACGUGUCAGGGCCAACUUCCUUUGGCAUGCAAUGCUCCACAGUCCUGGCCUAUUGCUGCACUGUGACCGCACUUGCACCCACAUGAUGCACCAUGGGAACGACGUUCCAAGGACAGCCGGAGGGUAUGCCACGCCCCAGUUCAAUCAGGUACUAGGCUUCCCCAUCCCAUACUAGGUAUGAGAUUAGUACUUUCAAACACUUGAUCACGAACGCCGACACGUUUCGACCAUAGUUCAUUUUCAUUUAGACAGACGGGGCAAUCCACCAAGUAUCGAACACAAGCCUGACCCCGUCCGUCGUCCUUAUAGUUGCGACAUAUCUGAAAUAUUCAACUCCUAUAACUCGCGAGUGACAGGAGAUCACUCGACUUUUACCGAAACCUAUUAAGCAAUGCAACUACUCGGCAAGGUCUUCUUCCGGCGCCGGGUGAAGCUCGUACGUUCCGUCGGCGAGAUUCAACUCUACACGAAAAUGCAAUGCUGGGGUUAGACAUUUUAGAUGGUUAUUUCAACACACUCAUGUUUUAACACGGACACUUUGCUACAGGAAAGGUGGGGGAGUUCAACUUCUGUUGGUGGAGAACAGGAUGAGAGGGUCGGAUUGGGGGAAACUUAGGGUCUGACCCUCAGGUUUAAGGAAAAACCGUACCGAGGUCGUCAGACUCAACACAGAGGAAUCCCCAAAAUUAUUUCAUCGUACCCUCGGGUCAAAGAAAAAGUUACAACCGAGCCCUCGGGCGAGGCGGAGAAAGGGUCGGCGAAACUUGGCAGGGUCGGGCGAGGCGAAAGGAAAAAGGUCGGGCGAGAUGAAAAGAAAAGGGGUCGGGCGAACCGAAACAAAGGGGUCGGGCGAAACGAAAAGGAAGGGGUCGGUCGAGAGGGAACACAAGGGGUCGGUCGAGACGGAACACAAGGGGUUGGUCGCUUACCUCCAGGUCUACCGGUGAAGCCUUGGGGCCGAACAGGAGUAGGCUGGGGUGGGAAGUCGUACACGCUAAGUCUUGGGCAACGGCGAGUCUUCGACGGUGGUCAGGUGGCGGUGGUGCUUCUUGCGGACACCAGCAAGCUCGAGUACCGUGCGGAGGAGCGGGCGGCUGGUCUGUUGGGAGAAACGGCUUGAGGGUGGCGGCGAAGUCGCCGAAGUGUGGGGGUGGUGUAAAAGGGGUGAGCUCCACGGAAGCUCAGCGGCGGCGCGGGGAGAAAGCGGCGGCGCAGGUGCGGGCGGUGGCAAGGGGUGGCAUUGCCGGUGAGGGGGGUUCCCUUUUAUAGGGUCGGGGUGGCGCGGAGGGUCGAGGCGGGGCUUCGGUGGGGAAAGGAUAAGGCCGGGAGCGGCGAGUGCGCGGACAAGGCGGCCAUUGGCCAGCAACGCCAUUGGGCAGAGGAGGUGGAGCUCCGGGUGGUCUUCGGCGGCGAUUGGCCUUGGGCGACGCCCGUCUGGGGCUUCCGGUCUGUCGGGCGGGCGAGGCGGAGAGCUACCGUGGGGGUUGGGCGAACGGGCGGAGGCGCGGGAUGUCGGGGGCGUGUCAGCUUUCUCGGCGGACGGGCGGAACAGGGUUGGCGGAGCAGAGCCGUGGCAGGCGGAAGGCGGCACGCGCGCAGCCGGCGGUUGGCUGGCCCGGCGUUCGCUCCGUCCUGUCGCAGGCGCGGGUUGGGCGCCGUGGCUCUCGUCCUGUCGCUGUCGUGCUGGGGAUAGGGCGCCGGCGAGCUGCCGGUGGCCGGCGGCCACGUGGCGCGCGGUGCGCGAGCGAACAUGCUCGGGCGUGCGGGCGUCGAGGCUCCCUUCGGGCAGCAAGCCCGACCAGCUUUGGAGUGAUCCUUCCUCCGAAUCUUUCAACACAACUUCCGAAACUCCCUUAAACAAACUUGCUCAACUCUGAUUGUUCUUCAAACUUUGUUUAAGGUGCUGGUUUAGAUUGUGAAAGGAUUCAAAGAUAUUUCCGGCCAAGUUAGCCAAAAAUCUGGGAUUCCAGACUUAGGAUUUAAGGCAUCCGGGGUGAGUUGACUGGUUUACCUCACUUUGACCGGGAUUUUGAACAAGUUCGGGUCCGAUUUGGAUCUGGGUCAGAGUAACAAAGUUGGAAUACACUCGAGGUACUACAACUUUCAUUAAGGCUCUGACUUGGGUUUAGAUAGGAAAACGGGAUAUGAAAGCUUGUAAAGAUGGAGGAAAACUCGAAUUCCAGGACUUAAGAGAUUUUCAGGGUCCUUUAGAAAAACCGGCUUUGGUUGCUGUUUUUGACUUCCUUCCACUCCGAAUUGGUCAAAGUGCUUUUAACAAAAGUUGUUGGAAUUAAAAAGUUUUACAACUCUUAUUUGGGCAGAAACUUAAGUUUGUAUAUAAUAUUUCAAGAUUUAAAUCAAACUCCAAAAGGAGCUUCUUAGGUUUAUAAAGGUCAUUUCACUUCUUAAAUUAGGGAUUUAUCACUGGUUUAGAGUUAAAAGUACUUAAUUUAGGUAGAGUUGUUACAGCCUACCCCCCUUAAAGGAAUCUUGCCCCGAGAUUCAAGUGCAGAAGGAACUAGUGUGGUUGGUGCAAUGUACCUCCUUGCUCGAAAAGAAAACCGCGGAAGUUAGCGUUGAGGUACUCUUCCGUCUCCCAGGUCGCUUCAUCUUCCGUAUGGUUACUCUACUGAAUUUUGUACAUCUUGACCAUUUGCCGACGAGUAUGUCUUUCCUUGCGGUCGAGGAUCUUAACAGGAUACUCCUUAUAUGAUAAAUCGGGUUCGAUCUCCAAUUCUUCCGGGGGAAUGAUUUCAGUUGGAAUCCUGAUGCACUUCUUAAGUUGCGAGACAUGGAAAACAUCAGGUAUUGCUACAAUCUUCUCUGGAAGUUUAACUCGGUACGCUAUGGGUCCACACGCCUCUACGAUCUCAUAGGGACCAAUAUAGCGCGGAGCUAACUUUCCCUUUACUCCAAAACGUUGUACACCUUUGGUCGGUGAAACCCGUAGGUAUACAAAAUCCCCAACCUUAAAUUGGAUGGGUCUUCUUCUUUGAUCGGAAUAGCUCUUGUGUCGAGAUUGGGCGGCCUUGAGAUUUUCGCGGAUGACUCUCACUUUUUCUUCGGCCUCUAUGACCAGGUCAGGUCCAUACACCGUUCGCUCUCCGGGUUGCGACCAGCUCAGUGGGGUCCGGCAUCUACGUCCAUACAAGGCCUCGAAAGGUGCCAUUUUCAGGCUAGCUUGGUAACUGUUGUUGUAGGAGAAUUCCGCUAAUGGCAAAUACCCCAGUUCUUGUCAUAAUGAAUAACACAGGCGCGUAACAUAUCUUCCAAAAUCUGAUUAACCCUUUCAGUUUGCCCGUUGGUCUGAGGAUGAUAUGUGGAACUACGGAUCAAUUGAGUGCCAAGUGAAAACUGCAACUGCUCCCAAAAGCGUGCUACAAACUGACUACCUCGAUCAGAGAUGAUCAUUUUAGGUACUCCAUGCAAGGAAACAAUCCGAUCAAGGUACAAUUCUGCAUAUUUCUGUAUGGUGUGGGUGGUGUGUACUGGAAGGAAAUGUGCCGUUUUGGUUAGUCGGUCUACUAUAACCCAUAUGGAGUCAUGCUUGCGGGGGGUAUUGGGUAGUCCGACUAUAAAGUCCAUGCUUAUGUCUUCCCAUUUCCACGAGGGAAUAGGCAGCGGCUGCAAGGGGCCAGCUACCCUCAAGUGGCUUGCCUUGACUCGCUGACAGGUAUCACACUCUGAAACAUAGCGUGCAAUGUCGGGUUUCAUCCCACUCCACCAGAAAUUUUGUCGGAGGUCGUGAUACAUCUUGGUAUUGCCGGGGUGAAUCGAGAACUUGGAUAGGUGUGCUUCGUGCAGAAUUUGUCUCUUAAGCUCGGGAUCAUUUGGAACUACAAGUCGAGCUUCAUAAUGUACCACUCCUUUCCAGCCCUGUCGGAAACGUUUAUAUCCCUCAUCCUUCUGUGCAAGUUUCCCUUUGAUAAUGUUUAUCUCUUUGUCCUCUAGCUGUGCUAGAAUGAUUUGGUCAAGUAGGGUGGGCUCUAGAGAAAUAUGACUUAAGGUGUCGUGUGGAACAAUUUCCAAGUUGAGUCUAGCCAUUUCGUGACACAGGGUCUCGGCAUAAUUACUCGCCGAUAAGCAGUUACAAUGGAUCUUGCGGCUAAGGGCAUCUGCAACUAUGUUGGCUUUUCCUAGGUGAUAAUGCACUUCUAGGUCAUAAUCCUUGAUUAAUUCUAGCCAUCACCGCUGAUGCAUGUUGAGGUCUUCUUGAGUGAAUAUAUACUUAAGGCUCUUGUGAUCUGUAUAGAUGUUGCAUCGGGUUCCCAUGAGUUAAUGCCUCCAUAUUUUCAGAGCAUGAACGACUGCCGCUAACUCAAGAUCAUGAGUAGGGUAAUUCAACUCAUGUGGUCGUAAUGCUCGCGAGGCAUAGGCAAUGACUCGGCUGUCUUGCAUAAGAACACAACCAAGUCCAGUGCCAGAGGCAUCGCAAUACACAUCAAAUGGCCUAGUGGUGUCGAAAACUUCGAAUCUGAUGAACUGAAGUGGGCGGCUUCCAGUCCAUUACUUCUUGCACCUUGCUUGGGUCUACUGCUAUACCGUCUCUGGAUAUGGUGUGUCCCAAGAAUUUAACACUGUCCAGCCAAAAGUCACACUUAGAGAAUUUGGCAUAGAGUUGGUGGUCUCUUAAGCGUUGGAGUAAAGUAUGUAGGUGCUCUGCAUGUUUUUCUUCAUUCUUCGAGUACACCAAGAUGUCGUCAAUGAAUACCACGACGAAUUUGUCGAGUUCGGGCAUAAACACCGAAUUCAUGAGGUACAUGAAAUAAGCCGGUGCAUUAGUAAGCCCAAAUGACAUGACUAAGUACUCGUAGAGUCCAUAUCGUGUAGAAAAGGCAGUCUUUGGAAUGUCGCACGGGCGGAUCUUGAUUUGAUGGUAGCCAGAACGGAGGUCAAUUUUGGAAAACACUCUAGCUCCAGCUAAUUGGUCGAACAGAACAUCAAUGCGGGGUAGUGGGUACUUAUUCUUUAUCGUCACCGCAUUGAAAGGUCGGUAGUCCACACACAUACGCAGACUAUCGUCCUUCUUUUUCACAAACAAGGCAGGGCAACCCCAAGGUGAUGUACUUGGGCGAAUAAAACCCUUUUCCAACAAAACAUGCAACUGAGUUUUCAUUUCUGCUAGUUCGGCUGGUGGCAUCCGGUAUGGUCUCUUUGAAAUUGGGGCGGUACCUGGUUGCAACUCAAUGGCAAACUCGAUGUCUCUCUCAGGCGGCAUACCCGGCAAAUCGUCUGGAAACACAUCCGGGUACUCGCACACUACUGGGAUAUCUUCCAAUCGGGCUUUAGACACGGGAUAGGCACAAGAAGUUUGGCACUCUCGGGGAGGUAAGUGUAUAGUCGAGCUACCAUACUUGGGUGAAUUUAUAUGGAUUGCCCUGGCAGGGAUAUCUAGGGUCACUUGGUGUCGGGUCAUCCAAUCCAUACGCAAGAUAACAUCUAUUCCUUCUAUCCCAAGGGUAAGCAGAUCUUCCUUAAGAAGGGUCCUCCCUAACUGGAUAGGUACUCUGCAGCUUACUUGGUGUGAAGUUACCUUUCCACCCGGGGUAGAGAUUAUGUAGGUACCUUUGGUGUGACAGAAAUCUAACCCACACUUAGCACUGAUUCUAGUCCCAAUGAAACUAUGAGAUGCUCCCGAAUCAAACAGAAUAAGGACGGGUUGAUCACAGAUAGAAAAGGUACUCGUCAUCACUGGUGCGCCCUCUGGAAGUUCAGCAAGGGUGGUGAAGUUCAGCCUGCCUUGUCGGACCUGCACCUUUGGCUUCUUCCCCUUGUUGCCCAGUGUAUGGCUCUGACUGGGUCGUUGAUUCUGGUUGCGGGGGCAGUCCUUGGCGAAGUGUCCUGGGUUCCCGCAAGUGAAACAGCGGUUUCCAGUGACCGGGCGCAGCGGCAUCGGGAGAGCAGGGCGGGGUCCUUGCGGCUGGAAUCCGGGGAAACGAGGUGCUGCCUGCGGUGGAGGUCGAGCAACCCAUCUCCCAGGCUGUGCGGGCGUGCGAGGUGCUUGUGGGGAAACCAUUCUGUACUUCUGGGCAGGCGGGCUGGGUGCCGGCAUUGGGGCCUUCCUUUUCAUGUCGGCCUUGAGGGCCCUCAUGCAAUCUUCCUGGGAAAUGGCCAGGUUCACCAGUUCAUUGUAGGAACCCACUUUGAUGGGAUUCAGCCUUUCCUUGAGCUUCAAACUCAAGCCUCUGCGGAAACGGUCCCUCUUUUUCUCAUCGGAGUCCGCAUGGUAGCCUGCAUAGCGACACAGGUCAUUGAAAGCCUGCGCAUAGUGCAGACAUCGCGGCCUCCCUGGGUGAGAGCCAGGAACUCGUUGAGCUUGCGCUCCAGAAGACCUUCAGGGAUGUGAUGGCCCCUGAACGCCGUCUUGAAUUCCUCCCAACCGACGACGUGGUCGGCCGGCUGCAUGGCAUGGUAGUGAUCCCACCACAGGAGAGCAGAACCACGCAACUACUGCGCGGCGAACCGAACCUUGUUCUCGUCCGGGCAGUAGGCGGUGAGAAGGGAGAACUUGGACUCGAUAGUGCGAAUCCAGGCAUCGGCGUCAAGUGGGUCCUCCGUCUUGUGAAAUAGAGGAGGCUGGGUCCCCAGAAAAUCUUCGUAACGAGCAACAUGGGGCUGUUGAUGGGCCCUUCCUCCCUGAGGCUGCUGCUGCUGCUGCCCCUGAGCGAUGUGCCUCAACAGCUCGGUCUGGGCUGCCAAGAUCGACUCGAGGGUGGUCGGAGGCGGAGGUGGGGGAGGCACCUCGCUGCCACUGGGAACGGAGCCGGAGCGUGUGCGAUGCGCCAUCCUUGGGCGAGCCAAAACCUUAUCCCCGGGGUCUCACUAAUUCCGACCUCUGGUGCCGGGGUCGGGCGAAACGGAGCUUCUCAACACGGGAUCGGACAAAACGGAGCCUUUCAUCCCGGGGUCGGGCGAGGCGGAGACCUGCCGCGAGGGGUCGGGCGCGUCCGACCUCGCGACUCGGGGUCGGUCAACUUUGGACAGGCCCACAGGAGACGGGUGUGUGGUCACAGCACCAAAACCCACACAACUUGGCAUUCACGGCGCGUCGCAAAGGGUCAAAAGUCGAGUCAAGAGUGAAAGAAAAACAGGAACUGCUUUCACCAAGAUCAUUUCAUUGCUGGUCUUAAAAUAUAGGAGGAGUACUCAACUCAAGGCUAACCUAUUACAUCAUUGGCCAAAAAUAUAGGUCGUCGAGGAGUACAAUCAAAAAUAAAAUAGAACCGCUCAACCUAGUUUGUUAUAACUAGAAGUCGUCGAGGUUGCCCACGGAGGCAAAGCUAAGGACCGGAGAGUGAGCAUCACCAACUGGAGGCUGCGGUGAGGCAUUCUCAUAGUCCAUGCUUGAAAAGCCUUCGAUCUCCUCAGGCUCCUCCUCCUGGGCCAUCGGCUCAUCCAGCUGCACCUCUAAGGCGUGGAUGGCAUUAAGCUCAUCGUGAUGCUCCUGCAGGUGCUCAUUGGCGUUCGCCAGCUCCAUGUUCACAUCAUAGAACUGGUCAGCCAAGAUCUCCAUAUCGUGAUCCAUAUCCACAAUCUCUUCCUCCAAACGAGUAAUCUUGUCCUGCAUCUCAGCAAUCUGAACAUCCUUCUGUACCAGCUCGAGCGACUGGUCCACCAUGCCACUCUGCACGGUAGACAAGGCAACCUGGUUGGCCACUGCCAUCCCAAUCACCAUAGCCAUCGCUCGGCUCUGCAGCUCAACCAUCCUGUAGAACACAUUCAGGCAACGAGCUGAAACAAAAAUCGUGCACUGAGGAUCCAUAAGCCCGAGCAAGUCCAUAUGCUCCAUACGAUCCAACCAGUCCGGGUCCCUCGUACCCCGGGCAGGGAACAACCCAAUCGGGUCUAGCAUGAUCUCAAGAGGGUGUGCCCAGCAAAACUGGGUCAAGGUCUGCAAGGCUGCGAACUCCCAGGCGUCGUGGAGCGUGUGUCCCUCAGCCACUACCUCCAACAGCGACAACGGUGGCUGAUCCGGAGGCGGGGGUACCCGCACGUGUAUGCGGCUCCGCGGAAUCCCGUGGUCCUGGUACGCACGGCCCGCAUAAACCGGCGGCGACUGGUACCCGAAAGAGCGCAGGGUGUCCCACAACACAGUUGGAAAACCCUCGUAGUGAAGGCACCGUGAGUAGGUGGUGCCCUCCGUACCGACUGCCACGUGCACGGGCUGCGCCAUCUGUAACCAAGGGUCACGUGAGAAAUGGGGUUAACACUUGGAAAUCAAACAGAUUUCUGGCAGUUAGAGAAAAGCUCAUAACUCAGCAAGUAUUCCUCCAAAAUUUCUCAAAUUUUACCAGCAUGUUCUUUAGAUAGUGGGUAACAAGUUUGGUAUUCAAAGGUAGGGCUAGAACAGACCUAACAAGGUGAUAAUCUCAGAUUCCCAUUAAGUAUACCUGCUGGAACUCUUCAGACCGAGUCAAGAUAAACUGAAUACAUCUUCCAAACCAGAGACUUAACAAAACCGAAACUCUACCAGUAAGUCCUUCACUAAGUUCUAAAAAACUCUGCUUAAAGGACUCCUCGCAGAAAAGGUCCUUAAGGUGGUCGAAAUAGCAGAAACUCCGUUGGUGUGCACUUUGGGCUAACAGCCAACAGGGGGUCACCAAACUGAUCACAACUCUCAACCCAAAUGGUAGUACCUUGAGGCAGUUUUACUUGGGAGUUUUAACACAACUUUCUUAUACAAAGUUUCUGGAGUUAGCAUGGCGGAAAAAGGACAGCUAGACAAUCCUUAACGCGGUGCAUUACUUUUUACGACGUACUCGAGUUUGGUUUUAUUUCCUUAGGUUGUGAUUUUUAUUUCUUAAUGCAUGCACGUCCUAGUCGUCCUCUCAACCAAAAAUAAUUUCCAAAAACCUUUGGACUUACGUGGUCAGUGCCGGUGGCAAGGCAACAAUACGGCUCUCACUAUAAUAGCUAGUCGAGUUACUAGGCCUCGUUUCGAACGCAACGUUUGUUAGUGUACCUGCAGAAAAACACAACACAGCUUGAACCUUCCGUGCCAGCACUCAUGAAAGCGUCCACAAUCAUUACCGUUCACUAUAGAAAUGGCACCCAUGCGUUUAACACUGCAUGGACAGUGCAACAACCGUGGAAAUAGGUUCCUUUGAAUAGAAUCCUAUAACCCUUCGCAUUCUCGUGAUGCAGAAUCAUGCACACGUGUAACAAACGUGGGCGAACAACCGUGACGAUAGGCUCGUUGGAAUCGAACCAUACCAUCCUUCGCAUGUAUUAACAUACGGAACCUGCGCACGUAUAAUAGAUGUGGGCGAAACAACCGUGAUGAUAGGCUCGUUGGAAUCGAAUUCCCAUCACCCUUCGCAUACUCGCGAUGCGGAUUUCGGCACACGUAUGAUAGACAUGGCAACAAGUGCUGGAAGUUAGAAGAUAACCAAUAACUAUUAGCCACCUUAAAAAUAACCCCAAAAUCCCCUAGGGCUCCUCGAACUAAACUCAUCCUUAGCGAACUUACGAAUUUCUCAAUUUUACUUCUUCCAAAUUUUAGUUGGAAAAAGAGUUUUAAGGUUUGUUGUUCUCCGUACUGUGCUUCGAGCUCUGAUACCAGCUGUGGCGGAACUGCCCAAAUUAACCUGACUAAAAUGCAUUGAAGUCGCCUGACAUGCGAUUAUGCACUUUAAGCAAGUCAACUUGGUCGACCGUCGGAUUUCCUCCGAUAAACCACAUAAACAGGAUCGAGAAGCAUCGCUCACGCGAAGGUGAGUAGCACAGAUGACAACAUAGUUCAACAAUUUAUUACAUCAGAGUGUUUGAAAUUCAAACUGAAAUUUGCAUGGUUCGAAGUCAAAGGAAAACAGCGGAAACUAAACGUCGAUACAUGACAUCACGACGGAGCCGAUCAUGACAUCAAAAAAUUUCUUCCUUCGCCAUCCGAGGAAGGAUCCCACUCGACGGUCCAGCCUGGAGGAAGCUGGGUCGGCCAAGUGGUACCAACACCCAAACUAUUGACAUUACCUGAAAAAGAUUAGCCACAACAAGGCUGAGCAACUAGUACUCAGCAAGACUGACCCGUCGGAAAGACAUGACCGAGACCUAGACAUGCAAGGCUUUCUGGCUCUGGGGUUUUCUUUGCCAAAAGCGUCUAAAGUCAGUCCUUAUUUUCAACAUUUUAGCUCAUGUUAUAUGUUCUUUAUCCAUUCUAGAUUAGCAACUUAUACUAAACAAACAUGGUUUCCAAGCAAUUACUUAACAAGCAUCAAGAUUAAAAUCAUCAUCAUGUUCCAUCUUUACUCAGUGCAAAAUAGCGAUCUAGUAGUCCCAAUCUGUGAGAGGCAGAAAAUCGAUUCGAAUUUAUUUACCAUGCAUGGCAAACCUAAUCUCACGACAUCCACGCACCACGAAGGGUCGCUUCAUUUGUCAGCCGUCCCCAUCGAUCCCUUAGGCACGUGUCAGGGCCAACUUCCUUUGGCAUGCAAUGCUCCACAGUCCUGGCCUAUUGCUGCACUGUGACCGCACUUGCACCCACAUGAUGCACCAUGGGAACGACGUUCCAAGGACAGCCGGAGGGUAUGCCACGCCCCAGUUCAAUCAGGUACUAGGCUUCCUCAUCUCAUACUAGGUAUGAGAUUAGUACUUUCAAACACUUGAUCACGAAGGCCGACACGUUUCGACCAUAGUUCAUUUUCAUUUAGACAGACGGGGCAAUCCACCAAGUAUCGAACACAAGCCUGACCCCGUCCGUCGUCCUUAUAGUUGCGACAUAUCUGAAACAUUCAACUCCUAUAACUCGCGAGUGACAGGAGAUCACUCGACUUUUACCGAAACCUAUUAAGCAAUGCAACUACUCGGCCUUAGCAACUAGUAUUCAAAAACAAGGUACUAAGUUUAUGCAUCUAAGGUUCCAUUACAACUCCUCGAAACGUAAAUGCGCAAUCAAGUAAUCAAUAAUAUUGCAUGAACUCAAGAUAGGAAUUUAUGCUCCGGGGCUUGCCUUCAGGAAAAGCUUGCGGGUCCUCGGGGUCUUGCUCCGGUUCGGGCUCUCCUUCGAAGGGAUGCAGUUCCUCGGCGGGGUCUUCUUUCGGCGCCGGGUGAAGCUCGUACAUUCCGUCGGCGAGAUUCAACUCUACACGGAAAUGCAAUGCAGAGGUUAAACAUUUUAGAUGGUUAUUUCAACACACUCAUGUUUUAACACGGACACUUUGCUACAGGAAAGGUGGGGGAGUUCAACUUCUGUUGGUGGAGAACAGGAUGAGAGGGUCGGAUUGGGGGAAACUUAGGGUCUGACCCUCAGGUUUAAGGAAAAAUCGUACCGAGGUCCUCAGACUCAACACAGAGGAAUCCCCGAAAUUAUUUCAUCGAUACCCUCAGGUCAAAGAAAAAGUUACAACCGAGCCCUCGGGCGAGGCGGAGAAAGGGUCGGCGAAACUUGGCAGGGUCGGGCGAGGCGAAAGGAAAAAGGUCGGGCGAGACGAAAAGAAAAGGGGUCGGGCGAACCGAAACAAAGGGGUCGGGCGAAAUGAAAAGGAAGGGGUCGGUCGAGACGGAACACAAGGGGUCGGUCGAGACGGAACACAAGAGGUCGGUCGCUUACCUCCAGGUCUACCGGUGAAGCCUUGGGGCCGAACAGGAGUAGGCUGGGGUGGGAAGUCGUACGCGCUAAGGCUUGGGCAGCGGCGAGACUUCGACGGUGGUCCGGCAGCGGCGGUGCUUCUUGCGGACACCAGCAAGCUCGAGUACCGCGCGGAGGAGCGGAUGGCUGGUGUGUUGGGAGAAACGGCUUGAGGGUGGCGGCGAAGUCGCCGGAGUGUGGGGGUGGUGCAAAAGGGGUGAGCUCCACGGAAGCUCAGCGGCGGCGCGGGGAGAAAGCGGCGGCGCAGGUGCGGGCGGUGGCAAGGGGUGGCAUUGCUGGUGAGGGGGUUCCCUUUUAUAGGGCCGGGGUGGCGCGGAGGGUCGAGGCGGGGCUCCGGUGGGGAAAGGAUAAGGCCGGGAGCGGCGAGUGCACGGGCAAGGCGGCCAUUGGCCGGCGACGCCAUUGGGUAGAGGAGGCGGAGCUCUAGGUGGUCUUCGGCGGCGAUUGGCCUUGGGCGGUGCGCGUCUGGGGCUUCCGGUCUGUCGGGCGGGCGAGGCGGAGAGCUACCGUGGGGGUUGGGCGAACGGGCGGAGGCGCGGGAUGUCGAGGGCGUGUUAGCUUUCUUGGCGAACGGGCGGAACAGGGUUGGCGGAGCAGAGCCGUGGCAGGCGGAAGGCGGCACGCGCGUGGCCGGCGGUUGGCUGGCCCGUUCGCUCCGUCUUGUCGCAGGCGCGGGUUGGGCGCCGUGGCUCUCGUCCUGUCGCUGUCGUGCUGGGGAUAGGGCGCUGGCGAGCUGCCGGUGGCCGCUAGAUUUUUCUCACUAUGAAUAUAAUUCAUAGCAAUUACUUUGGAGUUUUUCAGCUUUCUAACAGAUUUAAGCCUCCGCUUCACAUGCCUCGAGGACUUCAUAUUAUCCUUAGUACUCAUAACUUUGAUCAAUACCGUUUGGUUAUCAUAGUACAUAAGGAUUGCCGGAACUGGUUUCUCCACCAGUGGCAAGUCCAUGAGUAGCUCUCUUAGCCACUCGGCCUCAACAGUAGCCGUGUCAAGUGCUACAAGCUCAGCUUCCAUGGUUGACCACGUCAAAAUGGUCUGUUUACACGACCUCCAUGAAACUACAGCACCUGCUAGUGUAAACAUAUAGCCACUCGUGGCUUUAAUUUCAUCCGCAUCAGAAAUCUAGUUGGAAUCACUAUAUCCUUCCAAUGCAGAUGGAUAACCAGUAUAGUGAAUUCCAUAUUCGAUUGUACCUCUCAUGUAACGUAGCACUCUCUCUAGUGCCUCCCAAUGAUCCUUCCCUGGAUUGGAAGUUAAACGACUUAAUUUGCUCACAGCAAAAGAUAUGUCGAGACAUGUUGCACCAGCAAGAUACAAAAGGGACCCAAUUAUUUGUGAAUAUCUCAAAUGGUCCAUCCCUUCAUCUUUAUUUUUCCUUAGCUUUACACUAGCAUCGUAGGGUGUAGGGGAUACUUUUGCAUUUUCAAAGCAAAAGCGACAAAAUAAUUUUUUCACAUAAUGAGAUUGAUUUAGAAUAAUCCCAUUCUCAUUUUUGGUCAACUUAAUAUUUAGGAUAACACUUGCUUCUCCCAGAUCCUUCAUGUCGAAGCCUGAAGAUAAGAAUGAUUUGACCUUCAAGCCCACUGCACACCGAAUUCGAAGGUCGACAAGGCGCCAUAGCAAGAGAUUCAGCACAGCGAGUGGGAAGACGAGCGUGUAACAGCGUCCAUUCAACCAGGACAUCUCCUGGUGUUAUAGACCUUCGUAGUGCAUCAGUUUCCCCAUCAAACAGCCUCAUCAAGCAGUAGAAACUGCCAAUUUGAACGAUAGAAACGGCUUCCAUCAAAUUGUUGAAACUGACACACCUUAUUGCUGUUUAAAACGGCAAUUUCAAUCACAUUGAAUUGCCAUUAGGCUCAGCAUAAAAAAAAUAAUAACUGCACAAACAAUAGUCACAACUCACGCGAUUUUCCACGUGAAAAUGUGCGUGAGCUUCAUGUGCGUGUAGCAACAAUCUCCUUCUCUCUCAUUUGCAUCUAUUUUGCAUAGAGAGGAGACUCCCAUAUUUAAGCAAGGCAACCUCUCCUUGAAUUAGCAAUAUAAGACUAAAGGUUGUGUAUGCUUUGGAAUUUUCUAAUUGGGCCACAUAUGGGCCUAAAUCCAAGACGGUGAAGGUUCUUCUAUCUCAACUCAAGGUGACGUUUAUAGCCUCGGCAUAUUGCUUCUUGAGAUGUUUACUGGAAGGAGCCCAACGGAUGAGAUGAGAUAUUCAAUGAUUCUUUGGAUUUGCACAAGUUUUCAGCGAAUGCUCUUCCAGAGAGAAAACGGGAUAUAGUUGAUCCGACAAUAUGGAUGCACACAGAUGCCUAUAACAGCACUAUAAGAAGUGGAAUUAAGAAUUGCUUGCUUUCUGUUGUUUGUCUUGAAAUAUCAUGCUCGAAGAAACAACCUAGGGAGCAGAUCCCGAUUCAGGAUGCAGCCAUUGAGAUGCACGCUAUUAGAGAUUCGUAUCUCAAGUUUGCCAGAUCUCUUUUGGUGGAGCAUGGAGUAGUAGCAACAACUCACAGUGAUUUCCCACAACAGUGAAUACAUAGGACUGAAAAUGGGCAAGAUGUUGCAGGUGAUCAGUUUACCUGAAAUAACUGAAGAUGUAUGAAGCUUCAGCUUUAUAAUUCGUCCAUGCAUUUGUUUGCAUCAGAUAUAUGGAAGUAUAAAAUAAGUUUAGAAAAUGUUUCAAAAUAGAUUAGAUCCAGAGGUUUUACUUGUCGUCUGUAUGACACAUUUUUUGUAGAGAAUUCAGUAAUAUGUAUGAUUCAUAAUACAAUCAAUGCUCUACAAAUUUCAAUAGCACAAUUGGAAUAAAAAGCUCAUUCAUUGAUUAUGUUGCUCUAGGUAACUCAACUUAUUGUGAUGUUCACUGUAGAUUUCUCCAUGGUCCAAACGACCUUUGUGAUCAGUUAUGUUUAUGCAUUUUGUAGAAUUGUAAAGUCUUUCCCUAACCUGCUGACGUAUCAGCCGGAGCAUGAGAAGGGGGUGCACCAAAUAUGGGAUGAGAUGGAGAGGAGUGAAUCAGGCCCAGAUCAACGAUCAUUUACUAUUAUGGUUUAUGGUCUUCAUUCCCAAGAAAAGCUUGAUGAGGCUCUGCAAUAUUACACAACAAUGAAGUCAAGAGGGUUGAUCCCUGAACCAAGGACCAAGAUACUGGUGAAAGCUAUACAUAUGAAGAAAGAUGGGGCUGUCACAGAAGAUCAGUCUGCAAAUAUGACAGGGAAGAAUCUAAAACUGGAUCCACGAUCUAGCCUAUUCCAUGUUCAUAAAUAGUUUGCUGUCAGAUCUUACUUCUAUAACCUCAACAGAGGAUUGCUGGGCACGUAUUAUGUGUCAAAAGAAUCUCUUCUACCAGUGUCCAGAUCACAAUGGCCACACCUUGGGCUACAAUAAAUCAUCAGAAAAGUGUAUUGGCAUCAUGUAUCCCAGAAAGUUUUGCUCAGACUUUCAAUGCCAGGGUAUGUUUUUCAUGUCUGAUAUGGAUCAAUUAUAUUGCAAGUACUGUAUUACACGCUCGUAUUAUGAAGGUUAUGUGAAAUAUGACAGAUGUUUGUUUAUUCAUCUGUUAUGCAUGGCUGUGUCUACUGUCUAGCUGUUGGCUUGUUGCCAACAUAUGCAGCAGCAGGUAGCUUCAGCCGCUCAGAAGCCCAAAUGAAGGAUGGCCCAGGCAGAAUAGCUAUGUCUAGACCCAGAAAGCUUAGGACAUGUCUUGCCAGCCUGCAGUUUUGUACUCGUAGCACCAACCAUCUCCGGGUUCUGGCCGGUUAUAUACAUGGUCUGGACUCUGGAAUGGGCAUCCGCUGAUCGAUUGAAACCUUGAGCUGCUUCCGUGUUUGUCUUUUACCAUCUAUAUAUUAUGGUUAGUCAACGGCAUGCAGUACACCCAUGCAUAUGAUUGCAGUAGGAUGACAUGGCGCGACCAGAACCCUUCUUUUGCCAGUUUUAGAUUCUUAUACACGGCCAACUGACGCAGCAGGGAGUUGCAUGCUAAGCAGUUCAGCGUAGGUGGUGAGUUCUCAACUCUGAUAUGGCUUAUGGAAGAACACUGUCACGGUGUUACCUAGCCGGUUGGAGGCCAACCUCUUACUAGGGACAGCAAUGGCCCUGUCCGGCCACUGUUUCGUGGCUGGUAUUAUUACCCCUAUGCAGUGAAUAUGACAUGUGGAUCUAUGUGUAUAUUAUGUCGUCAAAAGAACAUUAUAUGAACCGUUGAUCCACCUUUGAUUCUAUUAAUGUGUCAUGGUCAAUUGAUGUCAAACUCUAUUAUCUUCAAGUCUUAUUGUAUUGAUAAAAUCACGAUGCUGCUACUGCCAUUUUGAUGUUUAUAAAAGGGUAUUGAGAACCUGGUGGGUAUCCAUUGGAUGCGCAGGGUUGAUGGUGGGGAAAAAUGAGUGUAAAGGACAGGGAUGCAGUAUUUAGAAAGAUGGGGCUGCCACAGAAAAUAGUCUCCAAGUAUGGCAGGGAAGAAUCUAAAACUGAAUCCUUGAUCAAGACUGUCCCAUAUUCAUAAAUAGUUCACUGACAGAUCUUGCUUCCAUAUUCUGAACAGCUGAUGCUGGGCACAUAGGAGGUUAACCGGUCAGCGGAUCAAAGAAAAUCCACAAUGGCCUCAUCUUGGGUUAGAGACAAUCAUCGGUAAAGAAUCAUAUUGCCGGAUAAGGAUAUCUGUGAUUGGUGGGUGCAGAUCCAUGCUCAUUCAAGAAACACAUGAUUCUUUACGGAUGAUCAUCUCUCAGCACACCCUGCUGAUAAGGUUAUCUGAGAUUGGUGGGUGCAGAUCCUAGAAACAAGCUAGGGCUGAAUGCGCCGCUGUACUUGGAUGUUGUGGUGACACCGUAAUGAUUGUGUGUUUAACGGAGUUUCCCAUAGUGACUAGCGUGCAGGCCGUCCUCGUAUUUGAGAAAAAAAUCAAUGGGCGAAAUGUUUUCACCCAGGUAAUUGUUGCAUUGUAUGAAUAGGCUUAGAUACCUGGUUACUGUGACACAAGAAGAUUUAUCAUAUCUAUCUAUGAAUUAGUGUUAAAUCUCCUACAUAAAUAUCUUCUCUUAUCUCACUUUAUGUAUAUAUAUGACACAGAAGCACAUGUAUAUCGGCAUUGUAGAGAUAGAGAUGAGAGAGAAGCUUAUCUGCUUUUUGGAGAUAAAUAUUCAAAUUACUAGUGUAUGAGAGGGAUAGAAUUAUUCUAUCAUAUUGUUUAUUCAACAUCUAAAAAGAUUCCAUGUUUAGUCAUCUAUAUCGGCGUUGUAGAGAGAGAGACUAGUGUUCAUCUGGUUGGAAGGAUGAGAGAGAGAGGAGAGAGUUUGGAUGAGAUAGAGAGAUAGUGUUCAGCUGGUUGGAAGGAUGAGAGAGAGAGAGAGGAGAGUUUGGAUGAUAGAGAGAUUAGUGUUCACUUGGUUGGAAGGAUGAGAGGGAGAUGAGAGAGUUCGGAUGAGGAGGUAGAGAGUUCGGAAGAGAGAGAGAGGUGAGAGUUCGGAUGAGAGGUGUGAGAGAGGUGAGAGUUCGGAUGAGAGAUAAAGUAGCUUAUAAGGAUGAGAGAGAGAAAGCGGUAUUCAGCUGGAUGGUGGAGACUUCAUAUAUUACUAAUAAUGCAUCCAAACAACAUUUAAAAUUUAAUUCUAAGAAAAACUUUCUCGGUAAAUCAAAACAAGAAAAUUCAAUUGAAUCAAAUUCUACGGAAUCCAUUUCCUAUGAAAUCUAAUUGCUAGAAUAUGAUUCAUGGAAUGAGUUCCAAUUCUAGAGAUCCAAACGGGCCCUAAGAGAAUUGUAGUGAUCAACUCCCAAGUUGCAAUAUAUCCUAGGAAAUAGGUGGUUAUGAGGAUGAUACCUGCAGACAAUACUUUUAAUCCCUCAAUUCUUACAGAGAAUUGCACUAUCAACUGCAUUUUCAUUUGUGCCACGCUGCUCAGCUAUAAAAAACGGGGCAAAUCGACCAAAAUAAAUGAAUAAACCACAUGGUUUAGACUGGUGGCAUAUGUAUGUCUGAUGAGUUUAGAAUCCCAACAGACCUCUGUUUGCUUAUCCAACAGGAGGGAAAAAGUUUACUUACUAAAUCAGCUUUGCAUGUCAGGCUGCAAUUGUUAGAGAGUAGAAUUGGGUAAUUUGUGAACAUAAUUGAAUCAAAGUUUUGUCUCAGACUAGUAAUAGAAAAUGGUGAUGCUCCAUAGCUAGAACAACACGUUCCUACACUAGUUUAAAAAAUCCCCUGAAAUUGGGAACAAUGGUCAAGCCCAAACCAUACUUGGAACUUGGAAGGCCGCUGGCGGAUGUCAAAGUCAAAAACAGAAGCAGACAGCGACGUCUCACCAGAUCACGAAUCAGAUGCGAUGCAUAUACAUGUUGCAGGCAUUAGCACGCAUCCCUUAGGAUUAAACAAUUCAGCAAGUAGCUCCCCUGCUGACCAAGAAAAGCAAGCUCUGUCUCGCAGCAAGCUCUUCAAUACGCUCCAGCCCAGCUCUACCAUGGCAUUGGCAAUGCGCGUCAUGAGCUUGCUUCCUGCCACCAUCGCCGUGAUGAUCGCAGCGGCCUCCUGGGGAGCGCACGGCGGUGCCAGCGACGAGGCCAGCGCGCUGCUUGCUUUCAAGGCUGAGCUCGCCGGCAGCGGCUCCGGCAUGCUUGCAUCCUGGAAUGGCACCGCUGGCGUCUGCAGCUGGGAGGGCGUGGCGUGCACCAGCGGCCAGGUGGUGGCACUGAGCCUGCCCUCUUAUGGGUUCGCCGGAGCCCUCUCCCCGGCCAUUGGGAACCUCACUUUCCUGCGGACCCUGAACCUGAGUUCCAACUGGUUCCAGGGGGAGGUCCCAGCAAGCAUCGGCCGCCUAGCGCGUCUGCAGACGCUUGAUCUGAGCUACAAUGCGUUCUCUGGUACGCUUCCUUCCAACCUCAGUUCCUGUGUCAGCUUACUGCUGUUAGAUCUCAGCAGUAACCGGUUCCAUGGGCGUAUCCCUGUUGAGCUUGGAGACAAGCUAACAAGUCUUCAGAAGUUCUCACUGGGCAACAACAGCUUGACGGGUGCCAUGCCAGGAUUACUAGGUAACCUGUCAUCCCUGAACUACCUUGAUCUGAGAAAAAACCACCUCGAGGGUCCGAUCCCACAUGAACUCGGCAGCAUGGGCGGCCUGCAGGUCCUUUUACUCCAUGACAACAGACUCUCCGGUGUGCUUCCACACUCCCUGUACAAUCUGUCCUCACUGAAAAAGUUGGGGGUAGGAGACAACAUGCUGUCUGGAACCAUCCCUGCUGAUAUCGGCGAUAGGUUCCCCGGUAUGGAAGCUCUUGACUUUUCUAGCAACCGAUUCAGUGGAGCUAUCCCACCUUCGCUCGGCAACCUCUCUGCUCUCACAAAACUAGUCCUUCAAGAAAAUGGUUUUAUUGGAUAUGUGCCUUCUGCUUUGGGAAAGUUGCAAAGUCUUACUGCCCUUUUCUUGGGUGUUAACAGGCUAGGAGCAAACGACAGUCAAGGGUGGGAAUUCAUCACUUCACUGGCAAACAGCUCCCAGCUUCAGGUUCUUGUUCUCGGCAACAACUCUUUCAGCGGGCAACUGCCUAAUUCAGUCACAAACCUGUCAUCAACUCUGCAAGGUCUUUAUUUGGGAGACAAUAUGAUUUCUGGGAAUAUUCCAAUAAACAUCGGAAAUUUGGUUGGUCUUACAGUAUUUGUGAUGGGAAAUACUUCUGUAUCUGGACAGAUUCCAGAGAGCAUUGGUCAGCUAAGAAACUUGGGUGUGUUAGGCCUUUACAACACUAGCUUGUCAGGCCUCAUACCUUCGUCACUAGGAAAUCUUACACAGUUGAAUAGGCUUUAUGCAUACUAUGGAAACUUAGAGGGGCCAAUUCCAUCAAACUUGGGGAACUUAAAGAAUGUGUUUGUCUUUGAUCUCUCAACAAAUCGACUCAAUGGUUCAAUUCCUAUAGAGGUUUUAAAACUUCCUCAACUUUCCUGGUACUUAGACUUAUCAUAUAAUUCAUUAUCCGGGCCACUUCCAAUUGAGGUUGGUACCAUGGUGAAUCUUAACGAACUGAUUCUGUCUGGAAACAAGUUGUCAGGCACCAUACCAGCUAGUGUUGGGAACUGUAUAUCGUUGGUACGGCUGCUGCUCGAUAACAACUUAUUAGAAGGAAGCAUACCUCAAUCUCUGAAGAAUAUAAAAGGUCUUGCAUUACUGAACCUAACAAUGAAUAAGCUAUCUGGUAGUAUUCCUGAUGCCCUUGCUAGCAUUGGCCACCUGCAACAACUGUAUCUUGCACACAACAACUUGUCAGGUUCCAUCCCCAAAGUUCUACAGAAUUUGACAUUGUUGGCAAAACUGGAUUUGUCCUUCAAUGAUCUGCAAGGCGAAGUGCCAAAAGGGGGUCCUUUUGCAAAUGCAACUCACUUGUCAAUUGAUGGAAAUGAUGAGCUUUGUGGCGGAAACCCUCAACUUCAUUUAGCUCCGUGCUCCACAGCAGCUGCGGAGAAGAACAGAAGGCGAAUGUCAAGGUCACUUAUGGUCACCGUAGCGUCAAUCUGCGCACUUCUAUUCUUAGGUUUAGUAGUUUGUCUUAUCCAUUUGAUCCACAAGAGGCUCAGACAAGGAAAGGAAAAUCAACUCAUUCCCACAGUAAUUGAUGAACAGCACGAAAGGGUUUCAUAUCAAGCAUUAGCAAAUGGGACUGACCAUUUUUCGCAGGUUAAUCUGCUCGGACAAGGAAGCUAUGGUGCAGUUUAUAAGUGCACUUUACAAGACAAGGGAAUUACCGCAGCUGUAAAGGUAUUCAACGUGUGGCAAUCUGGGUCUACUAGAAGUUUUGUGGCUGAAUGUGAGGCACUGCGAAGGGUGCGCCACCGAUGUCUCAUAAAGAUCAUCACCUGUUGCUUAAGCAUUGAUCACCAAGGCCAAGAAUUCAAGGCACUGGUUUUUGAGUUCAUGCCCAAUGGUAACCUAAAUGGUUGGCUGCAUCGAGCAUCCAAAAUACAGAGUCUGAGCAAUACGCUCAGCUUAGCUCAGAGACUGGACAUUGCGGUAGAUAUCAUGGAUGCUUUGGAUUAUCUUCACAAUCAGUGUCAACCGCCUAUUAUCCAUUGUGAUCUCAAACCAAGUAACAUCCUCCUUGCCGAAAGUAUGAGUGCUCGGGUUGGAGAUUUCGGCAUAUCAAAAAUCCUUCCUGAUGACACUAGCAAAACUAUGCUGAAUUCGGUUAGCUUCACUGGACUAAGAGGUUCCAUUGGAUACGUCGCUCCAGGUAACAGAAACUAACACUGAUAUUGCUAUGUUCAGUUUUUAACUUCCAUUUUGCCAAGUCCAGUUAUCUCGGCAUGAAUCGUUCGUAAGUAGCUUGCCAUGAAUCCACUGACCAAAUAGUUUCUGAAAUCUCAAUUGACUGCAGAGUACGGCGAGGGUCGCGCCGUCUCAACUCUUGGAGAUGUUUACAGCCUCGGCAUACUGUUGCUUGAGAUGUUCACCGGGAUGAGCCCUACUGACGACAUGUUCAAAGGCUCCUUGGACCUUCAUAAGUUCGCCGAGGCCGCUCUCCCCGACAGAGCCUUGAAGGUAGCCGACCCGGCAAUCUGGCUUCAUGAAGAAGCAAAGGGGGAAGACCCGGCCACGGUGAGAAGCAGAAGCGAGAGGUGCUUGGCUUCAGUGGUCGGGCUUGGCGUGUCCUGCUCAAAGCAGCUGCCAAGGGAGCGGACGGCGAUGCGGGAUGCUGCCGCUGAGAUGCGUGCGAUCAGAGAUGCCUUCCUGGUUCAAUGUGCAACAGAGACUUGGCCUGCAGUCGGCACCAGCGGCCUUGGAAGCACAGACACUUGAAUGGUGGACGGAGCUACGGUCUCUUGACGCACCAAGGAGCCACCGGACUAGCUGCUCUGCAACUAACAGGGUGGAGAAAGCGCCCCUUAAUGAAAAGAAAAACAGCCGGUGCAAGGCUUUAUACGGAGGGGUGUUUGGAUCCCCGGACUAAAUUUUAGUUCCUGUCACAUUGUCCAUCGAAUAUUUCGAUACUAAUUAGGUCUAUUAAACAUAGACUAUUUACAAAAUCCAUUACAUAGAUGGAGGUUAAACGGCGAGACGAAUCUAUUAAGCCUAAUUAGUCCAUGAUUUGACAAUGUGCUGCUACAGUAACCAUUUGCUAACGAUGGAUUAAUUAGGCUUAAUAAAUUCGUCUCACCGUUUAGCCUCCAUCUGUGUAAUUAGUUUUAUAAUUAACUCAUAUUUAAUCCUCCUAAUUAGUCUUCGAAUAUUCGAUGUGACACGGACUAAACUUUAGCUCCAGGAUCCAAACAUCCCCAAAGAAUGUGACAGCCACUGCGUGUAUCCGAGAGCCUUAUCUAAUCUACCAAUGAUUGUUGUGUAUGGAUGCAUAUAGAUUAUGCACGAACUCCCUCCGUCCCAAAAAAAUGUACUACUAUUUAUAAUGUAUAAUAAGUAUCAUUAGAUUGAGUAUUGAGUAUACUUUCCUAAUACAUUUAUUUGAAGAUACAAAUGUUGAUACUAUUUUCUAUAUUCUUAGUCAAAUUUAAAAACGUUGACUCCUCGAAAAGUGAGAUGUGUGUUUAUUUUGGGACGGAGGGAGUACCCGGGGAUUAGUCACGAUACAAGUAGGGAUUAGCAAGCACCAAAACCUCAUUCAUUGCCCUUCGAUCGCUCAAAUAAAAGCAACCAUUGCAUAUGGUGGCGAUGCGCUUGCGGGCCUUUCUCCAACCUUCAUUCUCCAACCUCUCUGCUCUCGCGGGCCUUGAACUCGCAUGGAACAGUUUUAGUGGAAACGUACCCCAACUUUGAAGAGAUUGCAAAGCCUCAUUUUACCUAUCCUUAAGUGGCAAUAAGCUAGGAUCGAAUGAUAAGGACGGAUUGGAAUUCAUCACCAUGCUGGCAAACUGCAGCCAGCUCCAGCAACUGGCUUUUGACAAUAGUUCAUUCAUCGGGGAACUUCCUACUCAAUUGCAAAUCUAUCGACAACACUCCAAUUGCUCUGUAUAGGAAACAAUUGGAUUUCGGGAUUUAUUCCAUCCAGCAUCGGUAAUUUGGUUGGUCUAGAACUGCUUACGUUGGCAAAUACUUUCAUAUCCGUGAAGGAUCGAAACUGGCGACCAGAGGGGGGUGAAUGGGAGCCUCACAAAAAUUCGCGGAAGCAAUUUGAGUAAAAUUAGAAUAAAAUUUAUUUGCAAUUUCCAACACAGAUAAAAAGACAGGGGUAAGCAAAAAGCUAAAUCACGUGAUAAAGACCCACUAAACAAAAUAUUAAACAAAAGAGCAUAUGGUUGCAAAAAGGUUGUUUACUGUUCAUAGAAAGUGACCUCACCUUCCCUGGUGCAUGCGUGAGUGAUGUUUCUAGAAACAAUAUUAAUGUGUAAUAUUGAAAGUGCUAAUGAGAAGGAAAUUUGCAAAGCAGAGACACGACCUGCAAGUCACCUGCAGGCACAUGCGUGCGCUGUUCGGAAGCAGAACGCUGUUCCUGGCCGGUCACCUCCCUUGUACGGGGCACACACAGUAAAAUCCAGAGACGUGCGCUUCAGUAGAGCAGGCAGCGUACGAACUAAUCAUACGAGCUCAUCGGCGGCUGGCCCUGGUGCGACGCUGCGAGCCGUGGCUGACCGCCAGGAGCAGACCUUGUCCUCCCGCAACGAUGUGUCCCUGAACAGCAAAACGGGAACAACCAAACCGGCGGCGCAAACAACGAAAACAAAGGGAACGGAGGAAAAUCGGAUCUCGCACGAACAAAGAACAAAUCACAAGGACGAAUGAUUAAAGUGUAAUUAUUCUACAAAAGUGCAUCUAGCCUCCGCCCGAUCGUCCUCCCUCUCUUCAUUGGAGAGAUCAACAAAAAUCCCUCGCUAGUAUUGAAACCCUAGGCUAGACAAAAAGCGAGAAAGCAAGAGAACCCUCUCAACCCUAGGUGCCACAUAUUUAUAUCCUUAGGGUGGCACGACCUAUUUACACAUAACCCCCUACGCUAAAUAAAUCUAACGUAGGGGCGUAAAUUCCAAUUACGUCCUCCAUGGUAAAUUCCGCGAUGUCCGCAAUCCCUCCAUCUCUACGACGUGAUCUUCGCGAUGUCGCCGCACGACCAUCCGAAAUCGUAUCGCGAUCGUCGGAAUUUCCAUCUUGGGCCAACGCCUGUCGCACGGGCGUCCCGAUACGAUGCAUGGCUUUGUGGCUCAACCAGCGAACCCCGGAUUUUGUGGCAUAAUCCGGAAACCUCCCUCGACGUCCUCCCGCCGUGUAGCCAGGUACAGUAGAUGUAUACCGCACGAUCGCCUGUCCCUCGAACGCAAGCCUCGAUCCGCCCUUCUCCGCCCCCGCGGUUUUUCAACGUGGCAUCCUAUCUUCGUUCUUCACUCGUCGCCGCAUGUACCUUGUCUCCACCUGUCACCUGCAACCACAACCUACCAAGAGACACGUCACACGCACACCGUGUUAUCAAUCGCUCAUCACCAAGGUGCUAGCCCACCGGCAUCUCAAUCUCCCCCUUGAUGAGUGCAUUGACAACACCACACCGCACAAAUUUAUUCGUACGGAAAAAGAAAAAUAAAAAGAAAGAAAAAGAAACGAUCUUAAUCCCCAAAGACAUGGGCUAGCGAAAAAGCUAGGCUCGACACAAUAAAGACAGAAAUUCACUCUCCCCAAAGUGAAUCAAAAGCCAUAUCAAUCUCCCAAAAGCAAUCUCAGCAGCAAAACUCACAAAUUUCAGCAAAACUCCCCCUACAAGAAUGAACGAACUUCCCCAGCAAGAAUGAAGUUGUGCGCUACUCACUCUCCCCCUUGUUGACAAAGCACUCCAUCAAGAUAAAAGGCAAGGAACCAAUUUAGAGAAAAGCAUGUGAGAAAGCACAAGUUGAAGCUUCUGAGACAUAUGCCAAAUACUUAUAAAAGAACAACACUAGCUAUCCAGAGAAGGAACAAUACAAUGCCAUGACCAAUAAAAAUUUAGAACUGAAAUCUGUUUGAAAACUAAUGUGCCAGGCAAAAACGUGCACAUUCCAAACUCAGUGCAAAGCUGAAGACAAAACAUAUAGCAAGCUCACACGACAGAUACACAGCUUCAGUCCAAGUUCACUGCAACGCCCACAAAUGCAUUCACUUGUCAUAUUUAAUUCUAACUUUUGUGAGCAUGAUAAGCAGGGACAUGGGAAGCAAGAGUUGUGCCCAGCCAGUUUGUUUAAUUUUGUUUAUGAGCGAGAACCAGCAGGGACAUGGGAAAAACAGAGUUGCACCCAUAUUUAAAUUCUGAGUAAGGCAAGCAGAUCAUGAGCUAAAUAGCAGAGAUAUGGGAAUUCAGAGUUUUUGCUCACAACCAUACUAUGUACUCCCGAGUUAAAACUUGUAUUGUGAGUUACAUUUGCAGUGAAAACCCAUUAAAAGAAGCUGACUACCGAACCAUGAGCAAGAUAUAUGUCAAGUAUUCAACAAGUCACUAGAUCCAGAAAAGCAAACAUAGCCCAACAUAAUUUUUUAAGUAUAUAUCUGUGCUUUUUUUAAAAUAAAAAUUGGUCAAGCAAAGCAUUCAAACCUCUCCAAAAGCAUCGAUUGCAAACUAGCCAAAACAAGUAUAAAGCAUAUGUAACUGAAGCAACUUACAAUGAUACUAGAAUGGGUAACACACCCCGAACUCACCACGCAGACGUGCAAACGUGGUUUGAUCUAGUGGCUUAGUCAAAAUAUCAGCAAGUUGCUGACUAGUAUCAAUAUGCUUAAGAUCAAUAUCACCCUUUUCAAAAUGAUCCCUCAGAAAAUGAUGACGAACCUCAAUGUGUUUCGUCUUAGAGUGAAGCACAGGAUUCUUUGCAACACUUAUAGCGCUAGUGCUGUCACACAAGAGAGGAACGCGAGAAAACGACAAACCAAAAUCGCGAAGGGUAGCUAUCAUCCAUAAAAGCUGAGAACAACAACUAGCAGCAGCAACAUACUCAGCCUCUGUAGUAGAUUGAGCAACAUUAGAUUGUUUUCUAGAGGACCAAGAAACAAGCGAAGAACCCAAAAAUUGGCAAGUACCCGAUGUAGACUUUCUAUCCAAACGACACCCAGCAAAAUCAGCAUCCGAAUAACCACACAAACUGAGAGUCGAAGCAGCAGAGUACCAAAGGCCAAAUGCAGGAGUAAAUCGGAGAUACCUCAUUAUGCGCUUCACCGCCUGACGGUGAGAAGUCCUGGGGGACGCCUGAAAACGAGCACACAUACACACAGCAAAGUGUAUAUCUGGCCUCGUAGCAGUCAAGUACAGCAGCGACCCAAUCAUGCUUCGAUAUUCCUUCUGAUCUACAGGCUCUCCGUCCUCAUCAGCAUCCAAAGCUACGCUAGUCGGCAUGGGCGUAGAAAUUGGCUUCGCAUCAUCCAUCGCAAACUUCUUCAGGACAUCCUUCGUGUACUUUCCCUGAUGCACAAAUGUACCUUCCAAAGUUUGUUUUAUUUGUAAGCCAAGAAAGAAAUUCAGCUCGCCCAUCAUAGACAUCUCAAAUUCUUUGCUCAUCACAUCUACAAACUUUUUCACAAGAGCAUGAGAGGAACCACCGAAAAUGAUAUCAUCCACAUAAAUCUGAACUAUUAAAGUGUCAUUUCCUUGCCUGAGGAGAAAAAGAGUUUUAUCAACUGAACCCAUUUUGAACCCAUUUUUAAGCAAAAAAGUUUUCAAUCUAGCAUACCAAGCGCGAGGUGCUUGCUUCAAACCAUAUAAAGCCUUUUGCAACUGAAGAACACGAUCAGGAAAAUUGGGAUGUUCAAAACCAGGUGGUUGUUUAACAUAAACUUCUUCUUCUAUAAAACCGUUCAGAAAAGCACUUUUCACGUCCAUUUGAUAAAGCUUAUAACCACGUGAAGCAGCAAAUGCAAGCAAAAUACGAAUGGCUUCUAAACGAGCAACAGGAGCAAAAGUUUCACCAUAAUCAAUACCCUCUUUCUGAGAAAAGCCCUGAGCAACCAGCCUAGCUUUAUUUCUAACAACAUAACCAUCUUCCCCUUGUUUGUUCUUAAAGACCCAUUUAGUCCCAAUUGGUUUACAAGAGGGAGGAGGAUCAACCAAAACCCAAACCUGAUUCCGUUCAAAAUUUUCUAACUCCUCAUGCAUGGCAUUGACCCAGUUAGAAUCAGAUAAAGCAUGUCCAACAUCUCAGGGUUCAAAAAAGGCAACAAAAGCAGUAUGCGCAAAGACACAAUAAUUUUUAUUUUUCAUACCUUUGUUCCUUGUCGUGCGCUCAUCCAAAUUACCUAUUAUGUUCCUUGCAGGAUGACGAUUCUGAAUGUGUUGUGGUGCUGUACGUUCUGAAAUCGCCUCCCCCUCAACUGCAGCCGGCACCUGAUCAACAGUCGGUGAAGCUGCAGGCGCUGCUGUAGAUGUACGUGUCGACGACGGUCCAUCCUCCAAAGUGGUGGAGGGCGCCUGCUCAGACUGGGCGCCAGGCUCCCCCUGCAUCGCAGGCUGGGCGUCAUCGUCGUCGUCGUCGUUGCAUCCAUCUUCCUCUUUCUCAUCCUCAAAAAUAUCCUGCCCGAUCUCAUCAUCACCUGCACACUCAGAAGCAGAAGAAAAACAAGGCAUUGUCUCGUUGAAGGUGACCUCACAUGUCUCCUCGAUGCGGUUAGUAUCAAGAUUAAGCACACGGUAUGCUCGCCCUUGCAAGGCAUACCCCAAAAAUAACCCAUCAGAAGAACGCGAUUCAAAUUUAUCCAAAUUUCCCUUUUUCAAUAUAAAACACUUGCAGCCAAAGACUCGAAAGUGGAAAACUUUGGGAGGUCGACCAAAUCUCAACUCAUAAGAUGUUUUUCCCAGAAAAGCUCUCAGAAAAAUGCGAUUAGCAACAUAGCAAGCGGUGUUGAUCGCCUCAGCCCAAAAACGUCUAGGAGUUUUAUGUUCAUCAAGCAUUGUCCUAGCCAUCUCAACAAGCGUACGAUUUUUACGCUCAACAACACCAUUCUGGGGAGGAACGUAAGGUGAGGAAAACUGGUGAUCUAAACCUUGUUCUGAACAAAAAGCUUUCAUACGAGAAUUCUUGAAUUCCAUACCGUUGUCACUGCGAAUUGCUCUAACGGCAUUAUUUGACAACUCGUUUUUCAGCUUCAGAACAAGAUCAUGAACAUGUGAAAAAGCCUCAUCCUUAGAUUCCAAAAAGAACACCCAUGAAUAUCGAGAAAAAUCGUCCACAACGACGAGCACAUACCACUUCCCACCAGCGGACCGAACACGGGCUGGACCAACUGUGUCCAUAUGUAACAGCUCACCCGGUCGUCUUGUCAUCACCUGAGUCAUAGGUGCAUGAGAAGCAGCAACCAUUUUUCCAUGUUUGCAGGGAGCACAAACCAAAUCCUUCUCAAAUUUGAGUUUCGGUAAACCAGCAAUUAAAUUCAUGGAACUCAAGCGGCAAAGCAAAUCAAAGCUCAGGUGGCCCAAGCGACGAUGCCACUUUCAAAUAUCAGGGGAACCAUGAGCAACCAAACAACGAGUCUGUCCAAAAGAUUUAGAAAAAUCAACCUUAAAAACUCGUCCAAAGGGAGAAAUCUUGCAAACAAGGUCACCAGCAGAAUCAAGAACUCGCGAAUUGCCUUUCUUAAAACGCACUUCAAAAUCAUCUUCAAGGAGUUGCGAGACAGAAAGCAGAUUAUAAUGCAAAUUUUGUACCUUCGCGACAUCCUUUAGCAUGAAUUUUUCAGAUACAUUGAUGCAGCCAUGCGCCAAAACCUUACCUUUACUAUUAUCCCCGAAUGUAAUAUGUUCCUUACCACUCGCGGGGGUGAGGCUGGAGAACCAUCUGUCAUCUCCGGUCAUGUGGCGCGAACAACCGGAAUCCAUUAUCCAUAUGUUCUCCUCGCCUCCAUCCUGCAGUCAACAAUGAGCAUAAGAGUGAGCUAAUGACUCAACACUGGGGUUAGGAUAAUGCAGAGAAAACCAGUGCUGGGCCACUUGCUCAAAAGAGGCAUUAGCAAAAUCAAAACUCUCGAAAGAUUGACGAGAACCACGAGGGGGAAAAUGUAGCCUAUCAUUCCAGUGUGGUGCAGGAGCACGAGUAUAGCCUGUCAUUCCAGUGUGGUGCAGGAGCACGAGUAUGCGAGCGAAAACCAAAAGAACGACCAGCAAGCUUACGACCCAAAACAGGACGAUCAUGAGUACCACGUGCAGGGUACUGCUCACGUCUCUCAGCACGCUUCCGACGGAAGCAAAACUCAUAGAGAUGACCAUCAUGAUCACAAAAUUCACAAUGGUAAUGCUUAUGUGAAGGAGCAAAAGAAACCUUAGCCUUAGAACCAGAAGCAACAAAUUUAGGCUUAGGCAUAGCAGCAUGAACACAUGGAGAAUCAGAUGGCUUAACAUUCUGUGCAACAUUGAAGUGUUUAGGUUUAGGCACCCAAACCUGCUUUUUAGGAACCGAUCUGGAUGGUUCAACUAACAACCCCUCAGAUGUGACACCUGGACCCUCUUUCCUAGGAGGUGGUCCAGUUACUUAGCCAAAGGUGGAUUAAUUUCAUCCACAGGAGGUCCACUCUUUUCACCAAAAACAUGUUUCAAAUCGUAUCCAGGUCCAAAACGCUCAUCCCGUUUAAUUUGAGCAAUAGACAUACCUAUUUGAGGUUCACGAAUAGAGCACCAACCAAGAAUCACUCUCAAAUGUUUAUUUUCUUCUUCCAAAGCAGAAAACUUUACCCUCAAAUCAUUAUUUUCAGCAAAAAAAAGUAGUGCAAGUCAAACAGGGAGGCAAAACAGGACAAGAAUGUUUCUCCAACUCAGUAAUACGAGAUUUAGCAAGAUUCAAUUCAGAUUGCAGGAUUGGACAAGAAACACAAGCACCAAGUAAAGCAGAACCAGAGUGAAGUUUUUCCAACUCAAACUUAGCAUUUUCAAAUUUAUCAACAAUGGAGGCAUACUUAGAUUGCAACUCAGAAAGUGAAACCAUAUGCGCAGAGCACUCUUCACAUUCUACUUCAGCAGGAGUAGCAUCUUUUAAGACUUUUAAUUCAGAAUUGACUCUAUCAUACUCAGCCUUAAGUUUUACUAAAAUUUUAUUUUGUUUAUCAACAAUUUUUGUCAAUUCUUUAAUUUCUUCUUCUGCUGAAUUUUGUACCUCAUUGUCAGAAGAGUUGUCGCUGCGAUCAGAAGCCACAUCGUCAUCCAAGGCCAUGGUGCACAUCCCUCCCUUGAUGUCGGCGAGGAAGCAGAGUCCGUCAGUUUUCUUUUUGGGCAGCUCAUCCUCGGAGUCUGAAUCACUCGAGUUCGAAGAGGCAUCUGAAACAAAAUCACCAAGAGAAGAAAACAAAACAUGUGUAGCCUUUUUUAUUUGUUUAUCAGUGUACUUCUGGCCAUUCUUCUUCAUGCGCCUGUCACCCUUCUUUUUCUUCUUCUCCCUUGAUUGUUCCUGGCGCCUGGAGUUGUUGCCCUGCUCAAAUGUUCUCAUCUUGUUCGGGCAAUCAGCAGCAAAGUGGCCUUGCUCACCACAGCUGAAACAUCCUUCUGAGCGUCUUCUGUUGCGUCGGUUCUCAUAGACUCUCUUGAAUUUGUUGGAGAGCAGCACCAACUGAUCAUCAUCUAGCGCCUCCAACUCAUCAUCUGCAACAUGACAUAAAGAUGACAAAGCAAAGCUGGGAGAAACUGGAUUAGUGUUAAUGUUAGUCUUACUCCCAGAAACCAAAGCCAUAGGAACAUCAGAAGAAGAAACACCAGUGGGAUUUUUCAAUUUGCGCUUGGAGAGGACAUCAAUCUCUUUUGAUUUGAGCUUAUUGAAAAGCUCAUCAGUGGUAAGAGUCUCAUAGCCAGCGGACUCAACGAUCGCCUCUACUUUCAUAUCCCACUCAUCAAUAAGUGAAUGCAACAAUCUGAGAGCCCUUACAAGGUCAUCAUAAGGCAUAUCCUUAUUAAGGGCUCUCAUUUUGUUUACAAUCACUUGAAACCUUGCAAAAAGAUCUUUAAUGGAUUCACCAGGCAAUUGAGAAAAAGCAUCAAACUCUUUUCUGUGAAUUUCGAAUUUUCGUGUUUUCACAGCGUUGGAGCCUUCAUGAUAUUUCUUUAACUUAUCCCAAAUCUGAAAGGCUAGCUCCUCACUGGAAAUACGAUCAUACUCAGGUUUACAAAGAGAAGCUUGCAAAAUAUCAACUACCCGGUUAUUUGCCUCAAGAAGAGCAACAGCAGCAGGAUCAGUAGGGUCCUCUACAGGAAUCACAUAUGUAGAGUUUUGUAUGAUCCUCCACAGAUUCAUCCCCUUCCCCUUUAAAUAAGCUUUCAUACGCGACUGCCAAUAGUCAUAAUCAGUACCAUCAAAAUGCGGAGCGCGUGUAUUGUAUUUUUCGGCGGUCGCCAUGGUUUUCGUAACCGAUUAAGAUAUAGAAAACCUUAACCUGGCUCUGGUACCAAUUGAAGGACUGAAACUAGCGACCAGAGGGGGGGUGAAUGGGAGCCUCACAAAAAUUCGCGGAAGCAAUUUGAGUAAAAUCAGAAUAAAAUUUAUUUGCAAUUUCCAACACAGAUAAAAAGACAGGGGUAAGCAAAAAGCUAAAUCACGUGAUAAAGACCCACUAAACAAAAUAUUAAACAAAAGAGCACAUGGUUGCAAAAAGGUUGUUUACUGUUCCUAGAAAGUGACCUCACCUUCCCUGGUGCAUGCGUGAGUGAUGUUUCUAGAAACAAUAUUAAUGUGUAAUAUUGAAAGUGCUAAUGAGAAGGAAAUUUGCAAAGCAGAGACACGACCUGCAAGUCACCUGCAGGCACAUGCGUGCGCUGUUCGGAAGCAGAACGCUGUUCCUGGCCGGUCACCUCCCUUGUACGGGGCACACACAGUAAAAUCCAGAGACGUGCGCUUCAGUAGAGCAGGCAGCGUACGAACUAAUCGUACGAGCUCAUCGGCGGCUGGCCCUGGUGCGACGCUGCGAGCCGUGGCUGACCGCCAGGAGCAGACCUUGUCCUCCCGCAACGAUGUGUCCCUGAACAGCAAAACGGGAACAACCAAACCGGCGGCGCAAACAACGAAAACAAAGGGAACGGAGGAAAAUCGGAUCUCGCACGAACAAAGAACAAAUCACAAGGACGAAUGAUUAAAGUGUAAUUAUUCUACAAAAGUGCAUCUAGCCUCCGCCCGAUCGUCCUCCCUCUCUUCAUUGGAGAGAUCAACAAAAAUCCCUCGCUAGUAUUGAAUCCCUAGGCUAGACAAAAAGCGAGAAAGCAAGAGAACCCUCUCAACCCUAGGUGCCACAUAUUUAUAUCCUUAGGGUGGCACGACCUAUUUACACAUAACCCCCUACGCUAAAUAAAUCUAACGUAGGGGCGUAAAUUCCAAUUACGUCCUCCAUGGUAAAUUCCGCGAUGUCCGCAAUCCCUCCAUCUCUACGACGUGAUCUUCGCGAUGUCGCCGCACGACCAUCCGAAAUCGUAUCGCGAUCGUCGGAAUUUCCAUCUUGGGCCAACGCCUGUCGCACGGGCGUCCCGAUACGAUGCAUGGCUUUGUGGCUCAACCAGCGAACCCCGGAUUUUGUGGCAUAAUCCGGAAACCUCCCUCGACGUCCUCCCGCCGUGUAGCCAGGUACAGUAGAUGUACACCGCACGAUCGCCUGUCCCUCGAACGCAAGCCUCGAUCCGCCCUUCUCCGCCCCCGCGGUUUUUCAACGUGGUAUCCUAUCUUCGUUCUUCACUCGUCGCCGCAUGUACCUUGUCUCCACCUGUCACCUGCAACCACAACCUACCAAGAGACACGUCACACGCACACCGUGUUAUCAAUCGCUCAUCACCAAGGUGCUAGCCCACCGGCAUCUCAAUCUCCCCCUUGAUGAUUCCAGAUAGCAUUGGUCGCCUAAAAGACACGUCCGUGUUAGGCGUUUACUACACUAGCUUGUCAGGCAUCAUACCUUGAUCACAAGGAAAUCUUACACAGUUGAAAGCUCUCUGUGCGUACGAUAUAGCAACUUGGAGGGUUCAAUUCCAGCAAGCUUGGGGAACUUAAAGAAUCUUUUUAUCCUCGAUCUCGGUUUCAGGUCGAAGCAGAGCAUAAACCUUUCUCAAGACUACGAAGUUACCAUAGAGCAGAUCAGUAUGAGGGCCAGGCUAUACCCUAUCAACACCUCCCCUCUUGCCCUUUCGGUAAGAUUACCUCAAACUAUAGUCUUUAAUUAAUUAGCCAAGACCAGAGCCAUAUAGUUCCAAGUUUAAUCAUUGAGUUUAUUAAAACCAUCAUAACCCAAGGUAUUGCAACUAAGCAUAUCUACCCAACAAACAGGUAAAACCCAGGUUGACAAGGAAUGAUCAUAAAGAUUAGGUAAACCUUAAUAGGACCCAUCAAUAUUAGAUGCAGAGCAAUGCAAAAGUGAUUAAAUAUAGUUAUUGAGAUAAAAGCACAAGGACACACUUGCCUUUCUCCAAAGAAUAGCUGCUCAGAUUAUCUUCAGCUCUUGUUCCUUAAAGCUCUCGAACAACGUUCCUUCUACUUGCAUCAAUCAUCGGCACAAGCAUACAAAGCAAACAACAAUCAUAACUAAGAACAAUACAUCAAUCAUAGUAAAUCUUUAAAAGAGCGUACUAAAGGAUAAGGCUCGAAUCUAAGGUCAUGCUAACACAAGAAACGCUGGGAACGAAACUAUGGUUGAAAAGACAAAGCUAUCGAGAGAUUUGAAUUAUAAAAGAAAGAGAAGCCUAUGUGCUUCAUAUAUUUUAAUAAAGAAAAGAAUGUAAAUAUAUUUUAGAGAAACAUCCUUAGAAGGUUAUAUUUAUAUAUGAAAAGAUGAUGUAGAACUUAGUCAAAUUUUAUUUAUAAAUAUUCAAGUAAACAUUUAAUUUGAAAAUAAAGUAUAUGUAAACAUCAAGGCGCAUAGCUUUAUGAUUCAGGUUGAACUAACCAAAUAUAAUUCAAAAACAUAUUUAUAUUUAUAUUAGUCAAAUUAACAUAUAAUUAUGAAAACCAAAGAUGUAACUUAUGUAGCUUUUAUUUAGAAAACAAAUUGAAUAAACAUUAAUCAAUUUAAGUUUAAUUAUGAACCACCGUGGUGCAUCUCUAAUUCGCUUUUAAUUGAAAGAGUUAUUUAAAUAAGCAUUAAUAACUAAAUUAACAUUUAUUAUGAAAAGCGGUUAUAACACUAAGUAGCUUUUAAUUAAAGAAGACAUGUUUAACAUGCAUUAAUCAGAUUAAUAUUAAAUUUAUUUUAAAACAUGCAUGAUGGAAAGAUCACUACUAACAUGUAAUUUGUGUUAUCAUGAACCUAAGAAUGGAUAUAAACGGAGCUGUAACGAGGAGUCCAUGGGUUAAACAAGGUUGCAGGGCCUAAUCGCGAUUAACGAAAGGUUAUUGGGGCUAGCGAGGAAGAUUUACAAGACAUUGGAAUAGAGCUCACCAUUAGGUCAAAGCAUAGGGUUACAUCUGUUAAAGUGCGCAGGUUGGACUUGGUUGCACGGAUCCAAUAUAAUCAGGGACAUGGAUGAAAAUAAAUAAGACACAAGGAAAAACUAACUAUUUAAAGAGCUUCCAGGGGCCUAUGCACAGAAGCACCAUAGCUCAGCAUCCGGACGGGCUCCUAGACGGCAAAAUCAUCGUGUCAGAUUUAUAAGCCCAGCAAUGCACCAGGGGGUUACCCAAGUGGUUGAUUUGUAGGUGAGGGUGAUUGCGAAACCAAGAACUCAAAGGUGAUCGCGAGAACACGAAGCGACACGAAGGUUUUAGAUAGGUUCGGAUCUCCAGAGAGUAAUAUCCUACGUUCUGUAUGCUGGUGUGUAUUGCUUGAGAUUGAUCUGAUUGUUGGGAUGCCUUAUAAUGAAUCUAAUCUACUCGAUAGUUACAUAGAAAGUAAUAUGAGUUGGACAACAAUACGCGUUCCAUGAUAUUCGGGCAGAUUUGAACUGUCUUGUUGCCUUGACUUACACUCCAAGUAACUUCAUGCCCUUGGCCCGCACGCCCUGGUCGGGCGGGCCCUACUUGUCAGGUCCAUCUAGUAUCCUAGUUGAUGGGGGCUCAUGGGGUACCCAUAUCCCUCAAGCUCCCGAGCGAUGUGUAGGCGAACAGGAACUUGAGGUCAUCACAGCGAAACUUGAAAUGAAGUCGGCUGAAGCUGCGAAGGCGUCAUGGCGACGGAGAGACUGUGCAGUGCUCAAAAGAAGAAAAUUUGAGCAAACACAGAGCCAACGCAUAGAGCAAAGACGAGUGCUGAGUUGAUGGAUGCUGGCAUCUAGCAGGUCGGAGUGAAGGUUAUGGAGGGUGUCGCAAGACGCACUCCGUAGGAGUAGUCCCCAAGCAUUGAAGCGAUUAAGAUAAUCAGUACAAUGGUCAAAGAAGAAAAAAUUGUCUUCUGAAGCAGAUCCUAGUGCCUGAACACAAGGAUGGGCGCAGCCACAGAGGCCCGCCGACCAGAAGUAGGCACCCAGACCCAAGGACGAGGACUGGCAGGACCGCGGAGCCACGGCGACCUGAAAUAGGCACCCAACCCCCAAGAAUGAGGAGUAGCAGAGCUGCGGAGGCAUGCCGACCUGAAGUAGGUGCCCAGCCCCCGAGGACGAGGACUAGCGGAGCCAUGGAGGCAUACCGACUUGAAAUAGGCGCCCAGCCCCUGAGGACAAGGACUGGCAGGGCCACGGAGGCACGCCGAUAACAAUUAGGCGCCCAACCCUGAGCAUGAGUAUGAGGACUGGUGGAAGCACGUCGAGUCGCCUCCCGCCCUGAGCCGAGGCAGAGAGGUAGGCUGGGCGAUGGGAGGCACACCGAGUCAUCUGCGCCCACCAGCCGCCGAGUCUGGGAGCCGGACGAGUCACAGAAGCAUGCCAAGUCACCUCAUGCCCUGAGCCAGAGAGGUCAGCCGGGUGACGGGAGGCACGCCGUGUCGUCUGCGGUGCCCAGCACCCAAGCCUGGGAGCCGGCUGAGCCACAGAAGCACGCCAAGUCGCCUCCCGCCCUGAGCUAGAGAGGUUGGCCGGGUGAUGGGAGGCACGUCGAGUCGUCUGUGGCGCCCAAUCCCUGAACCUGGGAGCCGGACGAGCCACAGAAGCAUGCCAAGUCGCCUCCCGCCCCGAGCCAGAGAGGUUGGCCAGGUGUUGGGAGGCAUGCCGAGUAGUUUUUGAGCUGUAAAAGGACAAUACAAUCAUUAUGUAGCAUAGUGUAGAUCAUUCAAUAAUUUAACAACUCAGAAGUUUAAUUCGAUAUAGAAGUAAACUCUUGCGCAUCCUGCUAUUGUAGGUCAAGUAAUUUCCCAGGUAGUUAGCCUGUUACGUUUAAGCACCUAGCUUUGCUGACCACUGCUCACGGAGAGGACAGCUUAUCUCAGGCUAUAGCGUUGGGGCUGACCCGAUGCUCGCAUAUAGGAGACGCGCAUGAUGAGUCAAGGUUUCACGAAUUAAGGCGUGUGCUACUCGAGUACUUUAGCAACCGUUAAGAGGGACGGACAAGCCACAAAUCAGCCGGAACUCUACGGAAAAGCACCAGCAUGAGCUGGGCACCCAUGGGGUGUAGCCCUCGACCGCCCGUGUAGUGGACGGACCAAGCUGUAUAAGUAGUCGGGGUGCGAUCAAGGUGGUCGGUGAAAGUCACGGAGACAUAGGAGAGCCGAGGUGGUCGGCGAAAGUCACAGGGACAUGUAAGAGCCGAGGCAUAUGUAGGUAUACGGAAGCCGUAAAAUAUUUAAUUGUAAAUAAGACUUACCUUGAUUCAUGAUUGAGUCGGAGAACCCACAUGUCGUCUUCGCGUUUAGGCUUAGAAGCUCCUGAGCGUGGCCGGCGGACAGUUGUUGGUGAAGCAAACUAGUCGGUCUCCAUGCCCAACUAAUUUGUGUCGAGACUGAGUUGUUGGAGUUGUCAGGGACGCAUCUGUGGUUGCGAUCGUGGUAUGCUGCUGCCGAGUCGACGCGGCCGUCGGGUCGUGGUCGGCUGGCCGCCACGCUCGCAGUACAGCGUGCAUGGGUUGUGCUGCCAAACCAAGGGUGCAUGUACAUCUUUCCGAACCUCGUAAGGAAGCCCUCACGUAUUAAGGAAAUAAGAAAAAAAAUUAUUAGCUGCCGUAGUAAGCACCGAGCAACGUAGGAGAUCUACUGGAUAGAAUAGAUUAAAUAAUAAAGGGAAGGGAGAAUUGUUCCUUUUUUUUCCGUGGCAGAUCUGACGUGUCUGCAGGCAACAAGUUGGGGUCCACGUGUCGUGCUAAAUCAACCGGAGGCGUGGUGCUUGGCCUCCUGCGCCUCGCAAAUCUUCUGCAUCUGGAGCAUCCGCUCUAUGACGAGCUCGUACUGGCACUUCUCGUAGGCGUGGCACUCAGGCUCGCACUUCCAGGAGAGGUAGAACUCGGAGGUGCGCGCACUGGUCGUGGCAGGCGAGCAGCACCCGGGACUCCGCCAUCUCCACCUGCGUGAUGAUCUGGGGCUUCAAGGAGCCGAGCUGCACGCCGGCCGCUGCCGCCGCCUCCAUUUGUCACUUUCUUUCCCUCUCUCACCGGCGAGGUCAUUCUGUCGAUAGAUGGGUGCUGCGGGUUUGGUGCGGCGUGGGUAGGUGGGGUGUAGCAAGGACAUGGAGAGAGAUUGCAUACCUACUGGGCAAGCGGCAUGAUGGUCUUGGAUGGAGAACUUGCUCCAUCGGAGUAAAUCUGAUGGAUGCUGAGUUGACGACGGGCGUCGAGUCGAAGUCCACCGGCAUGCUCCCAAAGCGGAGCUGAAUUGGACUGGCGAGGAAUUCCUUCAUGCUCUUGGGGAAAACAAUGCCGGGGUGGGAUGCCAUCGAGCUCGCUGGGGAGGAUCUCAUAAUCACCUGUACCUGGCGUCCCAAUUGUCGGAUUUAUAAGCCCAGCAAUCCACCAGGGGGUUACCCAAGUGGUUGAUUUGUAGGUGAGAACGAUUGCGAAACCAAAAACUCAAAGGUGAUCGCGAGAACACAAAGGGACAUGAAGGUUUUAGACAGUUUCGGACCUCCGGAAAGUAAUACCCUACAUCCUGUAUGCUGGUUUGUAUUGUUUAAGAUUGAUCUGAUUGUUGGGAUACCCUCGGGGGUGCCCUUGGCCACUUUGUAUAGGCUAACGACCAAGAGGUGCAAGUUGGUUUGGAUCUAAUCUACUCGGUAGUUAAAUGGAAAGUAAUCUGAGUCGGACUACAAUACGCGUUCCAUGAUAUCCGGGCAGAUUUGAACUGUCUUGUUGCCUCGUCGUGCACUCCAAGUAACUUCAUAUCCUCGACCUGCACACCCUGAUCGGGCGGGUCCUACUUGUCAGGUCUGACCAGUAUGCUGGGGUACCCAUAUCCCUCACCUUGGUGCUCCGACAGUUAGGGUCGGCGGCAAGGAUGGGGAUUGGAAGCGGAGAUCGAGGGAACUUUAUGGAGAUGCUCACCGUUCCAUCCGGAAUUUGGCUAGCGGCGGAAGAACAUGGCAGCUAGCUCGGGUCUUUGCAAGUGACGGUACUUCAGUGGUGGAGCGGCAACGAAGAUUGGUGGCAGAGCUGCUCCUCGACGUCACGAAGCUCCCUGAGGCUCCAACUUGCUCCGAUAGUUGACGGGCACAGCGAAUCGGCCAGAGAAGGCCGGCGGCGGCUCUUGGCUUUGGCGGAUGUGGGGUAUGGCGGUGCUCUCGCAAGUUGGGAAGAGCGGCGGAGUGUGGCAGGGCAGCACCAGAGGCACUAUCUCGACUUUAUAGGCACGUGGGUCCACGCCUGCCUUGGCGCACACGCUGAGGUUCGGCGGUGGCGAUGCCUCAAGCUGCCGGUGGCCGAUGGGCCUAGCGGGCUUGGCUGAGCCAUCAGCUGGGCCGGGUCGGUGCGGGUUGGAUGGAGAGGUUCGGGCCCCAAAGGCUUGGCCCGAUCGAUUAGGAUUUUCCUUUUUUUCAGAAAUGAUUUCUCGUGAAUGAAAAAUCUAGAAAAAUUCUAGAUAAUUCAUUUAAACAACAAAAAAACUCUAAAAAUCCAAAAAUUCUAGGAAAAAUCCUAGAGAUAGUUUGGGGGGGGGGACAGGAGGAGUCCAAAUAAAAUACUUGGAGGGCGUGAAAAGGAUUCUAGAGCCUUUCAAAAAUUGGAUUUAGCUGUGGAAAAAAAUGAGAAUAAAUCUUAGAAAAAUAUGGAAAUUCUCAUAAGAACCUAAUUGGCAUCUAAACGUAUUUCAAAACCUUUGCACUCAUGAAAUACCAAGAUGCAUCGGCAUAAAUGCAACACAUACACAGAACCAUUGUAUUUAAUUCAGAAAACACAAUCUUUUUCCUAUACUAAAUUUCCUGUCAAGAAAAUAAAUAUUGGAAAAUUUUAAAAUUAUGAGAAAAUCAUUGUUUAAUUAUUCUUUUUAAUCACAUCCUGAAAUUUCAAAAAAUUUAGGGUCCAAAAUUCUUUUUACGGAAUUUGACAUUCAUGUCCAAAUUGGAUCUAUCCUUCAAUGAUCUGCAAAGUGAAGUGCCUAAAGGGUUUUUCUUGCAAAUGCAACUUACAUGUCGAUUUAUGGAAAUGAUCAGCUUUGUGGUCGAAUACCUCAACUUCAUUUAGCCCCAUGCUCCAUGUCUAGUGCAAAAAAGAAAUAAAGAAAUUUGUCGAAAACCCUUGUGAUCACCCUAACAUCAAUCAAUGCAGUUGUAUUCUCAGUUUCAGUACUUGAUGUAAUUGUGUUGAUCCGUAAGAAGCUUAGGAAGAGGCAUGAAAGUCAACUCAUAUCCACAACUGAGGAACUGUAUGAAAGAGUUUCUUAUCAUGCUUUGUCAAAUGGGACCAAUGGAUUUUCAGAGGACAAUUUACUUGGACAAGGAAGCUAUGGCAUGGUUUUAUAAAUGUACUUUACAUGACCAGGGCACUACAGUAGCUGUAAAGGUGUUUAACACACAACAAUCUGGGACUUCUAGAAGUUUUGUCACUGAAUGUGAGGCACUCAGAAGGGUGCGUCACCGUUGUCUCGUAAAGAUCAUCACUUGUUGCUCAAGCAUCAAUCACCAGGGUCAAGAGUUCAAGGCACUAGUUUUUAAGCUCAUGCCAAAUGGUAGCCUAAAUGGUUGGCUUCACCCAGAGUCUGACACACUUACCCAGACAAAUACUCUUAGCCUUGAACAAAGGCUACACAUUGCUGUCGAUAUCAUGGAUGCUUUGGACUAUCUUCAUAAUCACUGUCAGCCAUCAAUCAUUCAUUGCGAUCUCAAGCCAAGCAACAUCUUUCUUGCGGAAGACAUGAGUGAGUGCCCGAGUUGGAGGUUUUGGCAUAUCAAGAAUCCUUCCAGAAAGUGCUAAUAAAACCCUGCAAAAUUGGAAUAGCGCAACUGGAAUAAGAGGCACCAUUGGUUAUGUUGCACCAGGUAAUGAAAGAGAUGUUUUUGGUAUUUGUAAAAUGUUCUUAGUUCUUACGUAUACAAGACCUGCUGACCUUUGUUUUUUUUCCCAAUCAGAGUAUGGUGAAGGUUCUUCUGUCUCAACUCAAGGUGACGUUUAUAGCCUCGGCAUAUUGCUGCUUGAGAUGUUUACUGGAAGGAGCCCAACGGAUGAGAUAUUCAAUGAUUCUUUGCAUUUGCACAAGUUUUCAGAGAAUGCUCUUCCAGAGAGAAUAUGGGAUAUAGUUGACAAUAUGGAUGCACACAGAUGCCUAUAACAGCACUAUAAGAAGUGGAAUUAAGAAUUGCUUGCUUUCUGUCGUUUCUCUUGGAAUAUCAUGCUGGAAGAAACAACCUAGGGAGCGGAUCCCGAUUCAGGAUGCAGCCAUUGAGAUGCACUCUAUUAGAGAUUCGUAUCUCAAGUUUGCCAGGUCUCUUUUGGUGGAGCAUGGAGUAGUAGCAACAACUCACAGUGAUUUCCCACAACAGUGAAUAUACAUAGGACUGAAAAUGGGCAAGAUGUCUGCAGGUGAUCAGUUUACCUGAAAUAACUGAAGAUGUAUGAAGCUUCAGCUUUAUAAUUCGUCCAUGCAUUUGUUUGCAUCAGAUAUAUGGAAGUAUAAAAUAAGUUUAGAAAAUGUUUCAAAAUAGAUUAGAUCCAGAGGUUUUACUUGUCGUCUGUAUGACACAUUUUUUGUAGAGAAUUCAGUAAUAUGUAUGAUUCAUAAUACAAUCCGUGCUCUGCAAAUUUCAGAUAGCACNNNNNNNNNNNNNNNNNNNNNNNNNNNNNNNNNNNNNNNNNNNNNNNNNNNNNNNNNNNNNNNNNNNNNNNNNNNNNNNNNNNNNNNNNNNNNNNNNNNNGAGAGAGACUAGUGUUCAGUUGGUUGGAAGGAUGAGAGAGAGAGGAGAGUUUGGAUGAUAGAGAGGUUAGUGUUCACCUGGUUGGAAGGAUGAGAGGGAGAUGAGAGAGUUCGGAUGAGGAGGUGGAGAGUUCGAAAGAGAGAGAGGUGAGAGUUUGGAUGAGAGAGAAAGCAGCUUAGAAGGAUGAGAGUGAGAAAGCGGUAUUCAGCUGGAUGGUGGAGACUUCAUAUAUUACUAACUAGCAAGGUGUCCGUGCGUUGCUACGGAGAAAUGACGUUGCUUAGCGCGUAAUGUUUUUUAUCGUGUCGUGUAGCGGACCAUAUUUUUUAUCAUGUUGUGUAACUUUUUUAUUUUAGUUGUAUUAGACUGGCCACUUGAGUGUGUCCAUAUCCCUACCGUGCGGAGACCGCUUGCCAUCGAACUUGUUAUCUCUUUCUCUAUCUUGAGAUUGGUAGGCUUCUACAGCAAUUCUGCACAAAGAAGGCCCCACUUCGCCCCGAUCCCGUUAGUCCCGCGCCUACCCUCUCCCUCUCCGAUCCUUGCCACCAGCUCCUCCUGGUCCAGGUUGGGCCCGUGAUGUAGCGGCCUGUUAUCCUUCCACCGUUGGAAGCGAGCAGUGAUCGCUGCUCUGUGAACCCAACCUCACGCCGUUCCUACCACUUCAGGUCCAAUGAAGCCUGAGCUUUCGCUUGGGCCAAACAGGCCACUACCAACUUGGAACGAGCAGGGCCAGCAAAGGCACACAAUAGAUCCAAGCCCAGAGCCCAGAUACUUACAUUGACAAAGUGUUGAAGCGGUUCAGCAUGGAAGAGGCAAAGAAAGGGUUCUUGCCUAUGUCACAUGGCAUACAUCUCAGCAAGACUCAGUGUCCUUCGACUGCUGAUGAGCGGGAUCGCAUGAGUAGAGUGCCAUAUGCCUCGGCUAUUGGAUCUAUCAUGUAUGCAAUGAUAAGUACUCGCCCAGAUGUUUCAUAUGCGCUAAGUAUGACAAGUAGACACCAAUCUGAUCCAGGUGAGAGUCACUGGACAGCGGCGAAAAACAUUCUUAAGUACUUGAGAAGGACUAAAGAUAUGUUCCUCGUCUAUGGAGGUGAGGAGGAGCUCGUUGUAACAGGUUACACCGAUGCUAGUUUCCAAACCGACAGAGAUGAUUCAAAGUCACAAUCAGGAUUUGUCUUCACGCUAAAUGGUGGUGCUGUUAGUUGGAAGAGUUCCAAGCAGGAGACGGUGGCCGAUUCUACGACAGAAGCCGAGUACAUCGCGGCUUCGGAAGCCGCGAAGGAAGGUGUUUGGAUAAGGAAUUUCCUCAUUGAGCUUGGUGUGUUCCCGAAUGCGUCCAGCCCAUUGAAUCUCUACUGUGAUAACAAUGGGGCAAUUGCGCAAGCAAAGGAGCCAAGGAACCACCAGAAGAACAAACACGUAAUGCGGCGAUUUCAUCUCAUUCGAGACUUCGUUAACCGGGGUGAGAUCAAGAUAUGCAAAAUACACACGGAUCUGAACAUUUCUGAUCCGUUGACAAAACCACUCCCGCAGGCUAAGCAUGAUGCGCAUGUAAGAGCUAUGGGUAUUAGGUACCUUCUAGAUUGACUCUAGUGCAAGUGGGAGACUGUUGGAGGUAUGCCCUAGAGGCAAUCAUAGAGAUGAUGAUAUUCCAUUUGUAUCCAUGAUUUGUAUAUUGUGUUCAUUGAAUAUCCAUUAAAGGCUACUUGAAUUGAUUGCAAUUAUGUGAAUUGUAUGUGAAACUCUUUACUUGUAUGGUUAUUCUAAAGUUGUCCCUAGUCGGAGUUCAUGUAAGGACACACAUGAAUAUAAGACUAGCACAUGUAUUAGUUGAUGACUAUGUUUCACAAGUCAUGGACAUGGAGAUGUUGAACUAAUAAUGUGGACACAUGUGGAGACAUGUGUUAGGACUGACCCAACACGAGAAGUAGUUCUCUCUUUAAACAACAUAUACGCUUUGUCCUUAGACCUGAGAUUGUCGCAUGUAUUCUAGAUGUGGAUCGACCUACUUAGGGGCUAUCAAACGCUACACCGUAACAGGGUAGUUAUAAAGGUAGCUUUCGGGUUUGUCAAGAAGCAUGCUAUGAGACAUGGUCAAUCAAGAUGGGAUUUGCCCCUCUCUGAUUGAGAGUGAUAUCUCUGGGCCCCUCGAGUGAUCGGAUCCGAAAAUGCAUGGCCAUGCUACGUACGGUUAAGAGUUAACCUACAAAGGGAUUCCGAAUCAUAGGAUCGAGAAAGAGUGGUCGGCUUGAAGCUAGACCAAAUAUCGUGAGGCAAAGGGAAUAGCAUGUAUAUCAUGUUGUGAUGGUUCGUCUGAUAUGAUCUUCGUAUACGUAUAGGAGUUGGCACGUCUUGCUAGAGGCCGCUACCGACUAUUGGACCGAGUAGGAGUACUCGGGCCAUGUCUAUACGUAUCCGAACCCAUAGGGUCACACACUUAAGGGGCUGGAAGCCCAAUUCGGAUCUGAUCCGAGUUGGAUUAGGUUUAGGAGUACUAAUGGGCCUCGGAUCCAGAGGCCCGUCAGGAACCCCUAUAAAUAGAGGGGUGGGGGCGCCCUAGGGUUUACACCUUUUGGCGAAACACUUCUGCCGCGCCUCCCACGCCCUCGCCUGUUGCAACUCGCGGAUCUAGCAAUCCGGCUUGCGACGCUUCCUCCCUGCACGUGUGGAUACCUUGGAGGUGUUGCGCCUGCAGCACUUGGACGAGCCAUCGACGAGCCGCCGACGAGCCACGACGAGCCGACGACGAGCCGCGGCACCGGAGGCGAUCUUGCUGUGCACGUGGACGAGCUUGCUGUGCACGUGGACGAGCUGCUGAGGAGCUGCUGGACGUGAUCGACUACGUACGACUACGUGAUCAUCUUCACUGCACCGACGCAUAUCUACAUCUUCCGCACCAGUAGUGCGUCGAGUGGUAAUCCCGUAAUCCUUAUACGGCAGCUCUUCCUGGUUAUACGCGGUAGAAAAUUUUGUUUUGCGCUAGCGUAGCCUACCUCGUAUCCCAACAGUGGUAUCAGAGCCGUAGCUGCUUAGUUUUGGAUUCGGGAUGUGUGCAUAUGGAGAUAUGCGAGUUCUCUGUUUGAUCUAUGUCCUGAUUUCGUGCCCUUGCUGCAAUGGUAGUGUAACGACAUACUCCUACCGGUCGGUUUCCGCCAUCGGAGUUAAGUGAUACACGUAAAUCCAGUUGCAGUGAGGGAAGAUCAAUAUGAUUGGUCAAAUCGAGAUCCAGGGUCAUACGCCAGGCGCAUUAGAUGUGCAAUAGUAGAUGUGAUCUACUGCCGGGGUCGGGAUUUUGCCGUAUGCGCAUGCUUCGGUAAAUCAGCCGUAACUUUUUGGUACGAUCUCGGAUCGGGGCGAUUUCUAUACGAAAAUUGAUCUACAGAAAAAGUUACACAUGAAUUUCAACGGCUUCGCCGUUUUCGGCGAAAUUAGAUUUGCCAAAUUCGGCUUGGAAGAUGGAGUUUCGGGCCUCCCAAGUUUGGAACGUUAGGACGCCUAACUCUCUUUUGCAGGAUGUAUGUAUAUAUCUUGUGAUCAGUAUGGCCCCCUUAUGUAUGUGAUGCAUGUGUGUAACUUAUUCGUGACCUGCGUGUCACGCGUACGGCAACACGGCAGGAGCCAUAUGUGUUGUCACUUUAAUGUAUUUAAUGGUCUGCGUACCAAUCUGUGAUGAUCCAAGCAACUGUGUAAUCUUCAUUACUAGAUUCUUUACUAGCUAUUAGGCGUAAUAGCAUAGUUCUUGGAGGACUCAUCACCAGGAGGAUGGCGCACAUGGAACAUGGAGAUGGAGAUCACCAUGGUGAACAGGUUCUAUGGAGAUGGAGAUCACCAUAUGAAAAACGGGCCAUACUGUGUCACAACUGUGUGAAUGCUAUUCUGUUUAUGUUUUACUUUCUGCAUGCUGUGAUGUUAGAAGUAGAACGAUCCCUCACAAAGUUUAAGUUAGUAUGCCCUCCCAACUAAAACUUGCACCGUCCCAUGUCUUGUACAAUUAGUGGUGGGUCUAUGAAAUUAGGGUGCCACUAGUUUUCCUUGACUAGACGGGUUUGUGUCGGACACUUACACGCAUAAGGGUUGGUUAGCUUAACGAGGUCAUCUUAACGGUUAAGGACCUUGGGGCAUAAAGGUUGGGCGCCGAGACAUAGAGAUGUCACCCAACAACAGGAGUCAUAUGCGAUAUGAUUAGCAAAAGUUGCUUACCGAUCUACCUCGUUUGCUAGCGGUGAUGCUAAAGCUCACUAGUAGACUUGUUAGUUGUGGAUCCUGAAUCACUAAGUUUCAAUAGAGGGAUAUUGAUUUUAGUGGGAGUAGAUUCUGUUAAAAUAGUUUUUGCUCUAUCAUGGAUACGUUUGUCUUAGUGUAUUUUGCAUUACUUUUGUUGUAGAUUAAAUGGCACCUAGCAACACCACCGCAUCGUUUGCUUUGCGUUCGGUCCUUGAGAAGGACAAGUUGAAUGGAACAAACUACUCGGAUUGGAUCCGUAACCUGAGAAUUGUUCUCAGGGAUGAGAAAAAGGAAGAUGUUCUAGACACCCCACUACCACCAGUACCUGUUGAUGAUGCAUCUGCUGCCGUUAAGGCUGCUUACAAGAAGGCAUUUGAUGCUAAUCUUGAGGUAAGCUGCCUUAUGCUUGCUUGCAUGGAACCCGAGCUGCAGAUGCAGUUCGAAACAAAUCAUGAGGCUUACGAUAUGAUCGUGGCGCUCAAGGACAUGUUCCAGACACAGGCUAGGACCGAAAGGUUCAAUGUGUCCAAAGCCUUUCUGGAGUGCAAGUUAGCAGAAGGCGCAGCAGUAGGACCACAUGUAAUCAAGAUGGUUGGUUACACUCAGCGAUUGGAGAAGCUGGGCUUCCCAAUGGGCAAAGAGUUGGCCACUGACUUCAUUCUCUCAUCUCUUCCGCCUAGCUAUGGGAACUUCAUCUCGAACUACCAUAUGCAUGGGACGGAGAAGGGUCUGAAUGAGCUGUGUGGUAUGCUCAAGACAGCAGAGGUAGACAUUAAGAAAAGCGCUAGUACCAGCCAUGUGAUGGCUGUACAGAACAAGCCUACUUUUAAGAAGAAGGGCAAUUCUUGGAAGAAGAAGGGCAAGGCUGGAACGUCCAAGCCAAACCCACCGCCCAAGGCUAAAGCUGGACCUGCUCCAGAUAAAGAGUGCUUUUACUGUCAUGAACUUGGUCACUGGAAGAGAAACUGCAAGCAGUACCUAGCUUCGUUGAAGAACGGCGGAAGUAAGAGUACUUCUACCUCAGGUACGCUUGUUGUUUAUGUUAUAGACAACAUAUUUCUCGCUGAUACAGUUAUUAAUUCUUGGGUAUUUGAUACCGGAUCGGUUGCUCAUAUUUGCAAUUCGAUGCAGGGAAUGAUAAGAAGUAGAAGCGUGGAAAGAGGAGAAGUUGAUUUCCGCGUGGGCAAUAAUGCAAGAGUUGCUGCUUUGACCGUCGGGACGAUGCAACUCCACCUCCCGUCAGGAUUUAUUAUGGAGUUGAAUAAUUGUUAUUUUGUUCCUAGUUUAAGUCGAAACAUUUUGUCUCCUUCAUGUUUGAUGAGGGAUGGUUAUUCAUUUGCGAGUGAAAAAAAUGGUUGUGUGAAAAAAUGAUCUCUAAGAAUAAUAUGUUUAUGGCUUUUGCACCCAUUGUGAAUGGAUUAUUUGUUUUAAAUCUUGAUGGUUCACCUGUCUGUAAUGUAAGUGCUAAAAGGCCUCGGCCUAAUGAUUUGAGUCCUACCUACUUGUGGCAUUGUCGUUUGGGUCAUAUAAGUGAAAAGCGCAUGAAGAAGCUCCAUUCUGAUGGACUUCUAACUUCGUUUGAUUUUGAAUCAUACGAGACAUGUGAGGCUUGCUUGCUAGGCAAGAUGACCAAGACGCCUUUCACAGGAUUUCCUGAGAGAGCAGUAGACUUGUUGGAACUCGUACAUAGUGAUGUAUGCGGACCAAUGAGCACGACGGCUAGAGGAGGAUUCCAAUACUUCAUAACUUUUACUGAUGAUUUUAGUAGAUAUGGCUAUGUCUACUUAAUGAGGCACAAGUCUGAAACCUUUGAAAAGUUCAAGGAAUUUCAGAAUGAAGUUGAAAAUCAGCGUGGCAAGAAAAUUAAGGCCUUACGAUCUGAUCGUGGAGGCGAGUAUUUGAACCACGAGUUUAGCAAUCAUCUAAAGAGUUGCGGAAUUGUUCCACAACUUACGCCGCCUGGAACACCUCAGAGAAACGGUGUGUCCGAGCGACGUAAUCGAACUUUGUUAGACAUGGUUCGAUCAAUGAUGAGCCAGUCGGACCUACCGUUGUCAUUUUGGGGAUACGCUCUAGAAACAGCAGCUUUCACACUUAAUAGGGUACCAUCUAAAUCCGUAGUUAAGACGCCAUAUGAGAUGUGGACUGGAAAGGUUCCUAGUUUGUCUUUUCUAAAGAUUUGGGGAUGUGAAGUGUUUGUCAAGCGACUUCAGUCGGACAAGAUCACACCCAAGUCGGAUAAGUGCAUUUUCGUGGGAUAUCCAAAGGAAACUUUGGGAUAUUAUUUCUACAACCGAUCAGAAGGCAAAGUGUUUGUCGCUCGGAACGGGGUUUUCCUAGAGAAAGAGUUUCUCAAAGGAGAAAAGAGUGGAAAAACAGUGCAUCUUGAAGAAGUUCAAGAUGAGCCAAUCGGGCAAGAAUCAAUGAGUGAUGCUAACGUAGCAGAACAAGUUGAGAUACCCAUGGCAAGAGAAGCACCGCCACAACCACGAAGGUCGGCAAGGCUCCGCGAAAUGCGGGAAAUAUUAUUGUUGGACAAUGAUGAGCCUGCGACAUAUGCAGAAGCAAUGAUGGACCAAGACUCCGAAAAAUGGCAGAGUGCCAUGCAAUCCGAAAUAGAGUCCAUGGGAGACAAUCAAGUUUGGAACUUGGUUGACCCGCCUGAUGGUGUUAAGGCCAUAGAGUGCAAGUGGAUCUAUAAGAAGAAAAAGGACAUGGAUGGAAAUGUUCACAUCUAUAAAGCACGACUUGUCGCAAAAGGUUUUCGACAAGUUCAAGGAGUUGACUACGAUGAGACCUUCUCGCCCGUAGUGAUGCUUAAGUCCAUUCGGAUUAUUCUAGCUAUAGCUGCAUAUUUCGAUUAUGAGAUAUGGCAGAUGGAUGUCAAGACAGCUUUCCUGAAUGGAAACCUAGCUGAGGACGUGUAUAUGAUACAGCCCGAGGGUUUUGUCGAUCCGAAAAAUGCUGGAAAGGUAUGCAAGCUUCAGAGAUCCAUUUAUGGAUUGAAGCAAGCAUCUAGGAGUUGGAACAUUCGUUUUGAUGAAGUGGUCAAAGGGUUUGACUUCACCAAGAACGAAGAAGAGUCUUGUGUUUACAAGAAGGUUAGUGGGAGCUCUGUAGUAUUUCUAAUCUUAUAUGUGGAUGACAUAUUACUGAUUGGAAAUAACAUUCCUAUGCUUGAGUCCGUAAAGACUUCACUGAAAAAUAGUUUUUCGAUGAAGGACUUAGGGGAAGCGGCAUAUAUUCUGGAUAUUAAGAUCUAUAGAGAUAGAUCGAGAAGGCUUAUAGGUUUAAGCCAAGAUACUUACAUUGACAAAGUGUUGAAGCGGUUCAGCAUGGAAGAGGCAAAGAAAGGGUUCGUGCCUAUGUCACAUGGCAUACAUCUCAGCAAGACUCAGUGUCCUUCGACUGCUGAUGAGCGGGAUCGCAUGAGUAGAGUGCCAUAUGCCUCGGCUAUUGGAUCUAUCAUGUAUGCAAUGAUAAGUACUCGCCCAGAUGUUUCAUAUGCGCUAAGUAUGACAAGUAGACACCAAUCUGAUCCAGGUGAGAGUCACUGGACAGCGGUAAAAAACAUUCUUAAGUACUUGAGAAGGACUAAAGAUAUGUUCCUCGUCUAUGGAGGUCAGGAGGAGCUCGUUGUAACAGGUUACACCGAUGCUAGUUUCCAAACCGACAGAGAUGAUUCAAAGUCACAAUCAGGAUUUGUGUUCACGCUAAAUGGUGGUGCUGUUAGUUGGAAGAGUUCCAAGCAGGAGACGGUGGCCGAUUCUACGACAGAAGCCGAGUACAUCGCGGCUUCGGAAGCCGCGAAGGAAGGUGUUUGGAUAAGGAAUUUCCUCAUUGAGCUUGGUGUGUUCCCGAAUGCAUCCAGCCCAUUGAAUCUCUACUGUGAUAAUAAUGGGGUAAUUGCGCAAGCAAAGGAGCCAAGGAACCACCAGAAGAACAAACACGUAACGCGGCGAUUUCAUCUCAUUCGAGACUUCGUUAACCGGGGUGAGAUCAAGAUAUGCAAAAUAAACACAGAUCUAAAUAUUUCUAAUCCGUUGACAAAACCACUCCCGCAGGCUAAGCAUGAUGCGCAUGUAAGAGCUAUGGGUAUUAGGUACCUUCUAGAUUGACUCUAGUGCAAGUGGGAGACUGUUGGAGGUAUGCCCUAGAGGCAAUCAUAGAGAUGAUGAUAUUCCAUUUGUAUCCAUGAUUUGUAUAUUGUGUUCAUUGAAUAUCCAUUAAAGGCUACUUGAAUUGAUUGCAAUUAUGUGAAUUGUAUGUGAAACUCUUUACUUGUAUGGUUAUUCUAAAGUUGUCCCUAGUCGGAGUUCAUGUAAGGACACACAUGAAUAUAAGACUAGCACAUGUAUUAGUUGAUGACUAUGUUUCACAAGUCAUGGACAUGGAGAUGUUGAACUAAUAAUGUGGACACAUGUGGAGACAUGUGUUAGGACUGACCCAACAUGAGAAGUAGUUCUCUCUUUAAACAACAUAUACGCUUUGUCCUUAGACCUGAGAUUGUCGCAUGUAUUCUAGAUGUGGAUCGACCUACUUAGGGGCUAUCAAACGCUACACCGUAACAGGGUAGUUAUAAAGGUAGCUUUCGGGUUUGUCAAGAAGCAUGCUAUGAGACAUGGUCAAUCAAGAUGGGAUUUGCCCCUCUCUGAUUGAGAGUGAUAUCUCUGGGCCCCUCGAGUGAUCGGAUCCGAAAAUGCAUGGCCAUGCUACGUAUGGUUAAGAGUUAACCUACAAAGGGAUUCCGAAUCACAGGAUCAAGAAAGAGUGGUCGGCUUGAAGCUAGACCAAAUAUUGUGAGGCAAAGGGAAUAGCAUGUAUAUCAUGUUGUGAUGGUUCGUCUGAUAUGAUCUUCGUAUACGUAUAGGAGUUGGCACGUCUUGCUAGAGGCCGCUACCGACUAUUGGGCCGAGUAGGAGUACUCGGGCCAUGUCUAUACGUAUCCGAACCCAUAGGGUCACACACUUAAGGGGCUGGAAGCCCAAUUCGGAUCUGAUCCGAGUUGGAUUAGGUUUAGGAGUACUAAUGGGCCUCGGAUCCAGAGGCCCGUCAGGAACCCCUAUAAAUAGAGGGGUGGGGGCGCCCUAGGGUUUACACCUUUUGGCGAAACACUUCUGCCGCGCCUCCCACGCCCUCGCCUGUUGCAACUCGCGGAUCUAGCAAUCCGGCUUGCGACGCUUCCUCCCUGCACGUGUGGAUACCUUGGAGGUGUUGCGCCUGCAGCACUUGGACGAGCCAUCGACGAGCCACCGACGAGCCACGACGAGCCGACGACGAGCCGCGGCACCGGAGGCGAUCUUGCUGUGCACGUGGACGAGCUGCUGAGGAGCUGCUGGACGUGAUCGACUACGUACGACUACGUUGAUCGACUACGUACGACUACGUGAUCGUCUUCACUGCACCGACGCAUAUCUACAUCUUCCGCACCAGUAGUGCGUCGAGUGGUAAUCCCGUAAUCCUUAUACGGCAGCUCUUCCUGGUUAUACGCGGUAGAAAAUUUUGUUUUGCGCUAGCGUAGCCUACCUCGUAUCCCAACAGCGCACCAGGCAGCACGGGCGGCCGGGGCCGGGGAGGCGACUCUGGCGUGGCCGGCUAUGGUGGGCAGGGAGAGGCAGAUGGUGGCGCAACGGCGGCAUGGAGAGACGGACGUCGGGCACGGACGGGUGAAAGGGGAGAUGGGGAAAGAAAGCUGGUCCCACCUGCCAAUGCAGCCGGGGUCGGGGUGGGGCGGGCAGCGAGGCCGAGGCCGGGCGGCACGACCGGGGCCAGGGAGGUGGCUCUGGCGUGGCCGGCUGUGGUGGGCGGGGAGACUCGGACAGCGGCGCAACGGCGGCACGAAGAGGUGGACGUCGGGCACGGACGGGUGAAAGGGGAGACGGGGAAAGAAAACUAGACCCACCUGUCAAUGCGUUAAUCUUACCUAUUAUUAAACAUCAGGGCGACCUCUCGUUGAAAAAAAAAAAUGGGCACAAGUGUUCCUCACUUUAAUAAUAAUAAUAAAGUAUAGAUAAUGUAUCAAAUAGCAUUUGUAAUUUAAUUCUAAGAAAAACUUUCUCAGUACCAAACAAGAAAAUUCAAUUGAAUCAAAUUCUACGGAAUCCAUUUCUUAUGGAAUCUAAUUGCUAGAAUAUGAUUCAUGGAAUAAGUUUCAACUCUAGGGAUCCAAACAUACCCGUAGUUAUUUCUUAUGCAGCUCAAAUCAGACGCAAGGUACGUCCUAACUAAAAGACGUAAGUUACUUUAUGUUAUCUUGUGAAUCAGUGAUUAAUUACUUCCAAUCUUAUGUAAAAAGAACUACGAGUUAAAUUCUUUGUCAGAUUUAUACUGACAAGUUACAAGCACAUGCCUCUGCAGUAACAGGCGAGCCCUAGACUAGUGGGCAAACCAAAAACAACAUGGUUCGUCAACUGAUCGAAUGCUAAUGACUAUUUUGCUAGGAGAAUGAACAUGAUUCAUACAAAAAAGGGGAGUUAGUAAAAGGGGAGCUACUAACUUGGUCAAGGUCUCCGUCCUCUGGCGUGGGGAAGGGGCCAUCUUGCUCCACUCCACGUCUGCGUGGUUGCUCGGCGGGCGCGACGGCGUCGGGUGCGGAGUGCUGACGGCGCGUAGAUAUGUCAUUGUUGAUCAGGACAUGCACUUCUAUCACCAUCUGUGGUUGGCGUCCGCGGCCGAGCGGGUCAAGGUCUCCGUCCUCUAGCGUGGGGAAACAGGAUCUCUUCAAUCAGUGCUUCUACAGAAACGGUGCACGGUCACCACGGACCAACGACAUACCAUGAGAAAAGCAGAGCUAAAUGUUGCAGUAGCAGAGUAACCGGAGACUGCAGAGCACUUGCUGCUAAAAGCUGCCUCUUAUUUUGUAUCGUCUUAACAGAAGACUUUAAGUCAGCCGCCAUUCGAUUCGAAUAUAAACUAGCAAGUUGGCCCGCGAUAAUAGCGCGGCUAGAUUUGAUACAUGUGCAUAUGCACGCCUAAUUAAAAUUGCUCACUUGUAACAAAAUAAUAACAACUUGAGUAGUUGAUUAUGAUCUUAUGUUGCAGUUUUUGCCAACUUUUCCUAGUAUUAUUGUGUUGAGUAGAAAGCCUGUGUAGAAAAAGAUACAAAACAAACAAUAGUGUCAACUACUCUCCAUGCUUGCUCAAAUGAUUUUGAAAAAAAAAAACAACCGCGCUCUAAGUCCUAGGGCGGUGAUAUUCCUCCUUACUUUCCUCCUCUCGUUUUCCUUGCACAAUCCAGGAUGACAAAUACCACAAACCACUUAGGCUCGAUCAUGUUUCAUCAUCACAUUCCUCAAAUCUUGAUCACGUUGUUGUCUUCGUUAUGCUAGCAGUACACAUCUCUCCGCCUCAUAAGAUUACUAAGGUCUCAUAAGAUUUUUGAUGGAUUUGCAUUAAUAUUAAUAUUGCCACCAAUCUAGUCUCAACCUUGCUUGUGUUCUCCAUGGUCAUGUUUUAUUCAAACUUGCAAGACCUACAAGCGCAUAUGAUGGUUCUUCUAUAUACAUAAUAUAUCGCAUCUCCUAAGACAUAUAUCGCGGGCCGGCGGCGCGCGGGGGAGCGGCGCCGGUGGAGCGGAGGCGACCGGCGGUGGGCGGAGGCGGGUGGGUGCGGGCGCAGGCGGAGGUGGGUGGGCAUGCGGGGGAGCGGCGCCGGCGGAGCGGAGGCGGGUGGGCGCGGGCAUAGGCGGAGGCGGAGGCCGGCGCGGGCGCGUGCGGAGGCGGACGGGUGGAGGCGUGCAGCGGCGGGCGGGCACGGGCGAGUGGCGGCUGGGCCGGCGGCGGCCUCGCGGCACGGGUGGAGGCGGAGACCAGCAACGGCCGGGCAGCCCUCCGGCGAGCGUGGGGCUUUUUUUUUAUUUUUUUCAAAAUUUUUUAGUCCCGGUUGGUAGUUGGUAACACCAAUUGGUACUAAAGGGGGCCUUUAGUUCCGGGUGGAUUACCCGGGACUAAAGACCCCCUCUUUUGUCUUGAAAAAUUUAUCCCGGAUAGCUUAGAGAGAUUUGAGCCUAUCCAACCGGGACUAAAGGUGAGUUUUCCAUCGGUGAAUGUCAGAGGAGGCUCAUCCUAAAUGGUGACACCAUGCUGAUCAUGCAAUUUAUCAUUAUUUUAUCGCCCUCAUGCAUGCUGCAUGAUAGAUAUUGGUACUGGGCAGCUUAGAUUCCUCAGCGCAUCAUGCUGCUCAGCCAUGGAGGUCAAGUCAUCACUAUUGUCCAUAUCACAACGCCUCUGCCUUCUCUUGUUGUCCUCCCCCUUCCCUCUACCUUGCACCUUCUUGUUUUGCUGAUCCUAUUGUCAGUUUGUUGCAGCCAUUUAUGGGCACCUCUUUCAUCCAUUGUCCACUGUUGUUGCCCGCUGCCUCAGUUCUUCUCUGACCAAAGCGGUCGUAUCGCGCUGGUCGGUAGGAAGCCAUCGUCUCGCAAAAGCAUAGUCGUCGUCGCCAAACCACAUCUAGCCGAUGCCGAACCAUACUUUUGCCAUCUUGUUUGCCAACUUGCCGCUAUGGAAGCCUCCAUGCAUCGCUCAUCGAGUCUAUCCUAUCUCUAUCAGCUCCUGUGGUAUCCUGUUUUGUUUUUGCCUCAACCACGAAGCCAUAGGUUGCUGGUGCUAAAUUGCAGGGCCAGCAACAGGUAUUUCCUCUCCCUGGCCUUGCGGCCAUGCUAUGUAUUUUUCUCUCUCAAAAAAAAUUCCAAUGAUUUAAUCCUAAUGUUCCGAUCAUGUGUGAUUGGUUUAUUAAUUAAAGUUAGAGUUAUACUUUAAGUAUAUUAUAUAAAAAUAAUAUAUAUAUAUAUAUGUAUAUAUAAAAGUUACCAUGCAAAGUACAACUUCCAAUAAGGUGGAGAGGUUCGGAUGGAAUUUUGAUUCAACUUACUCUAUUCUAGAUAUUAGAGUUGUACUAGCAAAAUACCGCUACGGUAAAAAAAUCAAUUGGGUUUUUCAAACUAAUAAUAUUUUUUAUUUCCAUCACUAAAUUUUUAUUCCACUUAUUGGAUGUCCACACAUUUUAAUAGAAAACUAAAAAAUGUUUGACUAAUUAUUUCCUUCACUCAAAUACCCAUUAAAUUAAAAUAUUUUUUUAUUCAAGCAAGAGAGUUAAAUCAGCCUCCGAUGGCCACCGAUGGGGGCUCUUUAGUCCCGGUGGGUAAUAUCAACUGGGACUAAAGAACCCCUUUAGCCCCGGUUGUAAAAGCUAGUGGCCCUCGGGAUUCUGGUGGAGUGUUUUGUCCCGGUUGCAACUACCAACCAGGACUAAAGGAGACCUUUAGUUCCGAUUGGUGUUUCCAACCUGGACAAAACGCUCCCCGCCUCCACACACACAAUGCGCGUGUCCCACUUUCUCUCCUCCCUCUACUUAAUUCCAGUGCCUAUGCCUCCUCUCCUUAAUUCCAACACCCACAUGCCUCCUCUCCUCCUCCCUUCGGUCCCUACCUCCUCUCCUCCCUCUCUUCCUCCGCCGGAUCCGGCCGGCCCCCACUCCCUCUCCCCAAGCUCCUCCCUCUCCCUCGGCCGCGCAGGUCAGGCGGUGCGGCCGGGGCCGGGGCGGCGUGGGCGGUCGGGGCUCGGGAGGAUGACAGGUGGUUAUGAGGAUGAUACCUGCAGACAAUACUUUUAAUCCCUCAAUUCUUACCGAGAAUUGCACUAUGAACUGCGCUUUCAUUUAUGCUACACCGCUCAGCUAUAAAAAAGGUGCAAAUCGACCAAAAUAAAUGAAUAAACCACACGGUUUAGACUGGUGGCAUCUAUAUGUUUGAUGAGUUUUGAAUCCCAACAGACCUCUGUUUGCUUAUCCAACAGGAGGAAAAAACUUUACUUACUAAAUCAGCUUUGCAUGCCAGGCUGCAAUUGUUAGAGCAGGAUUGGGUAAUUUGUGAACAUAAUUGAAUCAAAGUUUUGUCUCAGACUAGUAAUAGAAAAUGGUAAUGCUCCAUAGCUAGAACACGUUCCUACACUAGUUUAAAAAAUUCCCUGAAAUUGGGAACAAUGGUCAAGCCCAAACCAAACUUGGAACUUGGAAGGCCGCUGGCCAAUGUCAAAGUCAAAAAACAGAAGCAGACAGCGACGUCUCACCAGAUCACGAAUCAGCCUUAGGAUUAAUACGCUCUGUCUGGCAAUGCGGCAAUGCGCGUAGCUCCCCUGCUGACCAAGAAAAGCAAGCUCCGUCUGGCAGCAAGCUCUUCAAUACGCUCCAGCCCAGCUCUACCAUGGCAUUGGCAAUGCGCGUCGUGAGCUUGCUUCCUGCCACCAUCGCCGUGAUGAUCGCAGCAGCCUCCUGGGGAGCGCACGGCGGUGCCAGCGACGAGGCCAGCGCGCUGCUUGCUUUCAAGGCUGAGCUCGCCGGCAGCGGCUCCGGCAUGCUUGCAUCCUGGAAUGGCACCGCUGGCGUCUGCGGCUGGGAGGGCGUGGCGUGCACCGGCGGCCAGGUGGUGGCACUGAGCCUGCCCUCCUAUGGGCUCGCCGGAGCCCUCUCCCCGGCCAUUGGGAACCUCACUUUCCUGCGGACCCUGAACCUGAGUUCCAACUGGUUCCAGGGGGAGGUCCCAGCAAGCAUCGGCCGCCUAGCGCGUCUGCAGACGCUUGAUCUGAGCUACAAUGCGUUCUCUGGUACGCUUCCUUCCAACCUCAGUUCCUGUGUCAGCUUACUGCUGUUGAGGCUCAGCAGUAACCGGUUCCAUGGGCGUAUCCCUGUUGAGCUUGGAGACAAGCUAACAAGUCUUCAGAAGUUCUCACUGGGCAACAACAGCUUGACGGGUGCCAUACCAGGAUCACUAGGUAACCUGUCAUCCCUGAACUACCUUGAUCUGACAGAAAACCACCUCGAGGGUCCGAUCCCACAUGAACUUGGCAGCAUGGGCGGCCUGAAGGUCCUUUUACUCUAUGAGAACAGACUCUCCGGUGUGCUUCCACACUCCCUGUACAAUCUGUCCUCACUGAAAAAGUUGGAUGUAGGAAACAACACGCUGUCUGGAACCAUCCCUGCUGAUAUCGGCGAUAGGUUCGCCGGUAUGGAAGUUCUUGACUUUAGUAGCAACCGAUUAAGUGGAGCUAUCCCACCUUCGCUCGGCAACCUCUCUGCUCUCACAAAACUAAACCUUCCAGGAAAUGAUUUUAUUGGAUAUGUGCCUUCUGCUUUGGGGAAGUUGCAAAGUCUUACUGACCUGUUCUUGACUGACAACAGGCUAGAAGCAAACGACAGUCAAGGGUGGGAAUUCAUCACUUCACUGGCAAACUGCUCCCAGCUUCAGUAUCUUGUUCUCGGCAACAACUCUUUCAGCGGGCAACUGCCUAAUUCAGUCGCAAACCUGUCAUCAACUCUGCAACGUCUUUAUUUGGGAGACAAUAUGAUUUCUGGGAAUAUUCCAAUAAACAUCGGAAAUUUGGUUGGUCUUACAGUACUUGAGAUGGCAAAUACUUUAGUAUCUGGACAGAUUCCAGAGAGCAUUGGUCAGCUAAGAAACUUGGGUGUGUUAGGCCUUUACAACACUAGCUUGUCAGGCCUCAUACCUUCAUCACUAGGAAAUCUUACACAGUUGAAUAAUCUUUAUUUAUACUAUGGAAACUUAGAGGGGCCAAUUCCAUAAAACUUGGGGAACUUAAAGAAUGUGUUUGCCUUUGAUCUCUCAACAAAUCGACUCAAUGGUUCAAUUCCU